GUAGUUUGCAUAAAGUUUGCUGAAACAUUCAAUGAAAAUAUGCCUUGCAUCCGAGUUUGGGACUGAAAUGUAACCCUUUUAGGCUAGUAGUUAUUAGUAUUUUGAAAUACUCUAGACAUCUAUCUAUCAGGUUAGCAUUAUCUCAUGGCAAGUCAUUACAGAAUGUUUAAUUUGGUUCCAUUCUAGAUUUUGUUGUGCUAUCUUAAUUGCGCUGUUCAAUUUGCAACUUAGAUCAAUGAGUUCCAAGGUUUGGUUUUGUUCUUGACAGCUCAUUUCGUGACGAAGGAAUGAAUUUAUCUGUUCAUGUGGCUUUGUUUGUUGUUGAGAAGAAUCCAAUGACUGCACUAAACAAUGCUCACACAAGUAUGUAUCAACGUGCACUGUCAAUUGGGCUUUGAGCACGAAAUAAGCCAGUAACUGCUGCUUGUAACUCGAAAUGUAUUUGUAGAAUCUCGUUUAACCUAGAAGUUAUCUUCUCUGCACAAAGCAUCACAGCUGUAAUCAUUUCAAGCACAAAGUUAGCAUCGUUUGAUUGUAUUAUUCUUCAGGUUGUUUUGAUGUUGCUGGAUUUCAAACCGACUAUUUUUGUAUGUCGAUAGCAUUACUGCAGAAUCGGUCAGCUACUUGUGUCCAACAGCAUUACUGCACCAUGAAGUUGGACCUUUGGCAUGUAGCAGUAUCAGCAAUUGACAAUAGCAACUAGCAAUUUUUCAUAAACAUUAGAGCCAUUAGCCCAUUACAAGCCAGUCUCUCUGCCGAGCUCACUUAAAAGAAAUGCCAUACUUGCACUUCAUUUGUGAAAUGCAAAACUCGUUAUGGGGAGAUAAUAACAACCAAGAUGUAUAUGUAUUCCAUGGGAAGUAGUUUCAAUAUCCCAAGUCUGCAUCCAUUUGAUGCGAAAAUAAUAGUGUUAAAUCUCAAGUUUGCCGAACAGAAAUGUGAGAAUAAAUAGUGUUACAUCUCAUGCUUGUGGAAGUGAAAUUUAGGCCCUAGAGGGUGAACAUCAUAGGAGGAAAAGUAACAUUAUAUACAUGAUGUUUGGCUGCUGACAGUAAACAAGGCACAUCAGUCCCUGCAACAGAUAGGUUAUGCGAUCAGCACUAAUAACUCGAGAUGAUUGUAAUCAAGACCCAAGAAUUUAAGAAAUGUUGAUAUGGUACUAACCUGUUUAUUAACCUUUCUUGUGCUUUGCGUUAUUUCCAAUUCCAGCUCACUAAGGGCCUGUUUAGAUCUCAAAUCUUUACAUCUCAAAACUUUUGGCUGUAAACUUUACAUUCAAAUAGGUGUUUAGAUGCUUCCCAAAUUUUUUGGUCAACAAGACACAUGACACGGGUCCCUAAGCAAGUUUACACAUUUUUGAAGCUCCAAGGUCCCAAAUUCCAAAUCUUUACAGCCAAAUUUUACAAGCCCCUGUUUAGAUCCAUUCUUCCAAAAAGUGCUCAUUUCUCCAAAAGUUUUGGCUGUAUGGCUGCAUCUAAAUAGGCCCUAAUUUCUACAGCUCGCAUAUUUCCAUGUCUUUGGCUUCAGUAGCUUUGCACCUGGUGAUAGCUUAUGUUAGGAUUUGUGCAUAUAAAUUUAUAGGAACAUGAAAAAGCGUACAGCAAGAACAUUCGGGUAUAGCAUCUUAAAAGUGUAUUGCUACUAAGUUGUACAAACUAAUUGUCGAAUUCUUUCUGGAACGAAAAACAGACAUAUUACACUUUUGUGCAUCCUAUCAGUGAAGUUAAUGCUAUAUAUUUCCCUGAACUUCAAUUAGUCAAAUUCCGUCAGCUAGAUAGGAGAAAUGUUAAUUAAACUGACAAGUACAAAUCUUCGUUGGCAUCUCUGUUGGGAAGGUAACACCAGUCUUGUGUAAAACUACCUCUUUAGUAGUGUUUGCUAUUUAGAAAGUCAAAGUAGCAUAAUUAAGUGACAGAAAAGUAUAGGAACUCGUAUGAGCUUCAAUGGAAAUUCAGGGAUUAACGACAUGAAUAGAAAGGCACCACAAUCAUGUGUGUGUGCUGGACUUUUCUGCAAUCAACAUUUGUAGAUCCAAAUAGGUCUACUAUGAAAAUAUAUGAUGUAAUUAAACUAAUGAUGUUUAUUUGAUAUCAUAAUAUUAGUAUUUUUUCAUAUAUAUUUGGUCAAAAUUGAGAUUGUUUGACUUUUCAAAAUUUGAGAUCAAGACUUAUUUUGGGAUAAAGGGAGUAUUUGCUAUGUAGAAAGUCAAAGUGGCAUAGUUAAUGGAAAUUCAUGGAUUAAUGACAUGAACAGAAAGGCACCACAAUCAUUUGUGGUGUCCUGCACUUCUCUCCAAUGAAAAACAUUAAGCUCAUUAUAUCAUUUAAUGGUUCUAUUAGGAGCAAAGCAAAAAUAGCACACUGGUGACUUCAUAGUUGAUCAGUGAACAUUCGACCACACAUGUAUAUUCAAAUGAUAAAUAUAUCUCAGGACCUAAACAAGAUACUGCAUGCAUGACUAAGGGCUAAGGUAACUGAUAUAUAUUUCUAGAUAGCGAGUAGCAGCUUGACGAGGACAAUACACACGAGCAGACGAUUUUACACAAUUGAUGGUGAAAUGGCAAAGUUAUAGUUUAGUGGGUACCUUGGUAACGAGCAUCCAGAUAUUUAACAUUGUCAUCGAGGCUGCCCAGUUGCUGCCGCAGGGACGAAGGGAGCGACUUUAUACCUGGGCAGCCUCUAAUUGUAACGUAACGAAGAUAUGUGUGUGCUUGUGGCCUACUGGACAAGAAUGGUGCUAGGAUUUUGCAAUUCCAAAGAAAGAGGCGUUCCAGCAUCUGGAGCUCUCCGGAGGUAGAUUCCAGUGAUCUCAACCUUGGGCACCAACCAAUGUCCAGUGUUCGGAGUGCAUCCAGCUGGCCCGAGAGGAGUUGUAGUUUGUCGCAAUCAAAAAUAUCUAUUUUCCUGAGGGAUGGUGGAAGGUUGACAACCUCUGACAAGCUGCCACACUCGUGUAUGAAUAGGGAUUCAAGGCAUGGAAGGAAGCGAUCCCAGCUGGCCGAUGAAGACAGCUCUGGUACAGCAGCCGUGGAUGCCAUGACGUCAGUGCUAGGCCCUUGAUUCCAUGUCGGCUUGUCCUGUUGCUUGCCAAAUAAGGACUUAAGUUCAGGACACCUCUGAACCUCCAUUGUCUUGAGAGAUGCGGGCAUGUUGAAGAUCUCUACCAGACUUUCACAAUCCCUUAUGUUUAGAGACUCGAGGUUGGGCAGAAGUUGGCUCCUUUCUGAUGUUGGUUGGCCAGGAGCAGCUGGUGCGUAUCCAAUCAGUUUAUUGCAGUCCUCAAUUUCCAGAUUCCUCAAGGACACCAAGCUCUGGAACUCCUCCACUGGCCAGUAGACAAGCGCAUCACAGUCCUGAAUUCUCAGAACUUGGAGCUGUACAAAAGAUGUCCAUAGUGCUAGUGCGCUUGAGUGGAAGAGCAAAUUGCAGUUGCUUCCUAGCUGCAGACUUGUCAGAGGGGAUUUAAUACUGCUGCUGUCCGCCAGCUCAAACGCACCAGCUGGUAAGGCGGCUGCUGCUGCAUCGUUGAAAGAUAUCACUAGUUUGGAUAGUGAAUCAAUAACUCUAGGAAUUGCUGCUAAGAAGAUCUGCUGGUGGCUAUCUAUUAUUUCUAAUGAGCUGAGCUUUGUUACCUCAGGUAGAGUUGUCAACCCUAGGCUUUCAUAAAUAUUAGAUUUUGGUAGUGCUAUUAGAUUUUGGCAACUAUCAAUUGAUAAAUUUUCAAGGCACGGAAAUAUUAUCUGUUGUCCUUGAGUUUCUUCAUCAGCUGCUCCCCAUUUCUGAAAGUUCUCUAGCUUUUCCAGUUCAAGUACCUUCAAUUCCGGAAAUGCUGAGUGCGCCUUUCCAUAAUCUCCACCACACAAUUCAUGGAGAAAUGGUCCUUCCGGUAGUGCUAUCAGAUUUCGGCAAUAACCAAUUGAUAAAUUUUCAAGGCACGGAAAUAUUAUAUGUCGUUGUCCUUGAAUUGCUUCAUCAGCUGCUCCCCAUUUCUGAAAUUUAUCUAACUUUUUCAACUUUAGCUCCUUCAGUACUGGAAACGCUGAGAGUGCCAUUUUAUAAUGUACCCCACAAAAUUCUUCAAGCAGUGGAGCUUCUGGUAGAGCUAUCAACUCUUGGCAGCUGCGAAUAGAUAACUUUUCAAGAUGUGGAAACAUUAUCUGGUGUCCUCGAGUGGCUUUGAUCGUCUCCCAUCCAUGAAAGCUCUCUAGAUCUUUUAAUUUGAGUAUCUUCAAUGCUGCAAAUGGUGACCAUAUCUCAGUACAAUUCUGACCGCAUGAUUGUCCGAGUGGUGCUGUUUCUGGCAAUGAUAUCAGCUUUUCACAUUUCUUAACGGACAACUUCUCAAGUUGAGGAAACAUUACCUGCUCCCCUUGGAGCCAGUUUACUUCGCACCAUCUGUCAAAAGCAGGCAUUCCAACCAGCACAAGCUCCUUCAGACUAGGAAAACUGAAGAGUGUAUCACUACUACACAAGCAUUGCAAUUCUUCCAAUCCUUUUAAACAUAAAACUUGCAGACCUGGUACUUGCCACAAUGGUUGAAGAUUCUUUGACUUCUUACAAUCAUAAAGAUGAAGCUCGACCAUGUUUGGCAGCAUACUCAUCCACGCUGGGAAACUGGUUCCUCGGUAAUCAUUUAUCCUUAGAGCCUUAAGUCCAUAAGGAGCUUCUAGACCUUCAAGGACCUUAAGACAGUUUGGUUUCUCCUCCUCGGUAGUUGUCCAUCUUAAUGACAAUGCUGUGAGUUCCUUUUUAUUUUCAAGAUGGGCCAUCUUUGCAUCUAUUGCUUCUGUCACAUUUUCGAGUUGACUAAGCACCAGUGAACCACUAAGGUUAUUUAAAUGUUGCAGCUCUCCAAUACUACUGCAAUCAGGCCCUGUACCCACUACAAAAUUAGUGAGUGUUUGCAGGGAAGUGAGUUGCCCAAGCUUUGGAGGCAGGCCCUCCAAAUUCCCACAUCCGUGAGUGUAGAGAUGACGGAGUGCAGUCAUGUACUUUAUUUCCUUUGGAAGCCGGCUAAGAUGCCAACAGAAAGAAACAUCCAGCGUAUGCAGAUGAUAUAAGAUGCUUAUAUCCUUUGGAAAUGACUCUAUACCACUAUAUGAAACAUUAAGAUACCUCAGGUGACGUAGAUACUUUGGUUUCAGUAGGAAUGUGCCCUUACUUGGAGGGAAAUAUAAGGCUCACACAGAGCUGUAUUUUUCUACAUGAUGUAGUGAACUUUUGAUUCUUGGACAUAUUACUGUUUGGAUAGCUGGAGACCUUGUCUUCAGAGAACUGUUCAAAAUGGCCUCUGGCUCAUCACACAACAAAGCUAUAUGGCGACAAGUGUUUUGAAGAAACUCACUCUGCUUUGGAUCAUUCAAUUAUGGUAGCAACUUCAUUUUCCAUGGCAGACAGUGCCACAUCAUGCAUGAGAUCAUGGAUUUUACAUGUAGUGCUAGGGCAAUACCAAUCCACAUCACUGAUUUCUCACUAUCCCCUUUGACUUGCUUCACAUCUUGAAAGAAUGACCUCGAGACAAGCUCCUCGAAAAUGUGUUUACCAGUGGUUUCAAGACGAAUGUCUUUUUCUUUGGGAACAAAGCCAUUUGCCAUCCAUAGUUGGAUCAGGCGUUCCAUGUCAAUCUCAGUGUCCUUGGGAUACACAGCACAGAAAGCAAAGCACUGCUUCAUAUAUGAUGGCAGGUCAUCGUAACUGAGCUUGAGAAUAGGCAGGAUUUUAUCUUCCUUGUUAUGGGCGAUGCUUUUGCUUAGGACAGCCUUCCAUUCUUCUGGACUUGUCUUCCCACGUAGCACAGAUCCUAGUGCAUUGGCGGCCAAGGGAGAUCCUCCACAUCUCUCCACAAUGCCAUCAACCAAGACCAGUAGCUCAGUUGGGCUCUUCUCUUGUGAACCAAAUGCUUUAGUCUCUAUAAUUUUCUUUAUGACUCCGGCAUCCAGAAGUGCAAUAUCAUGGGCUUUAACUGUACCCAUUAGUUUCGCAACUCCUUCCUUGCGAGUGGUUGUCAAUACGGCACAACCGUUCCCACCAUGCUCAAGGCUGGCUUUUAGCUUUUCCCACUUGUCACUGUCCUCAUUCCAGACGUAAUCCAACACAAUAAAAUACCUGUGUGACAAAUAAGCCUGGCAUUAGUGCGUGGAGAACACAACACAAGAGAUUGCAAGUUUUCUGCAUGUUGGAGAGGGUAGUAGAUCCUGCGUGUCCUUUUCAAAAGGAGUGCAAUUCUGGGUUUGGACGAUUGGACUAAGUCACAUUUUAUUAAAUUUAACUAUAUUUGUAGCAAUCACAAAAACAAUAAUAUCUAUAAUUAUAUCUCUGUAAGUUUAUACUCCUCCUGUCUCUCGAUAAAUCAAAUUUAAGAAAGUUAUCUUAAGUCAACUUUUAAGUUUGAACGAAUUUAUGAAACCAAAUUAAUAUCAUUAUAUACACCAUAAACUAUCUUUUCAUAAUGUGUUCAUGUGCUGUCGUAAAUAUGUGUGCUCUUUUCAUUAAAUUUGGUCAUACAUUAGAAAAAUGACCUUAGACAACUUUUUUCAUUGAGCGAGAAUACAACAAGAGAAGCCCCCGCUAUAAGAUUUUUUUACUAAAUAAAUAGAGGAAAAAACACCGUACAACUAAACAACAGACACCAAAAUCAAAAGAAGCAACAGGUAAAAGGAAGAACUUCAGACAACUUUCUAGAAAUUGAUCUAUACAGAGACGAAGUGAGUAGAAAAUACUAGAGAGUUGUCUGAUUAUUUACGGAGUAAUAUAUUUCAUUGUAAUAGGUUUGACUUCCUAGUGACGUUGAUGCUUUGGUUAAUGUGGAAGGAGCAGAACAGGCGUUCUGGGUCUGUUUGGUUACCUGGCUUUCUUGUAGGCUGGCUAGAAAAUAAGCCAAGCUAGCCUAGAACUGUCUCUAGCAAGUUAAGAUGGACUUGUUUUGUUGUCUACACUAUUAAGCCUGGCUUCAUAGAAGUCAAAGAAAUGCGUUUAUUUGUGGGACGGAGGGAGUAUGUUUUAUUGUAAUGGGUUUGACUUCCUAGUGGCGUUGAUGCUUUGGUUAAUGUGGAAAGAAGCAGAACACGACGUUCUAGACUUCCUAGAGCCUGGUUAGAAGAUAUAGUCACCCAACUAAACAUGCCCUAUGUGGCUCUUUAUUGCCACGCGCUUUGGCACUAAGGAUUAUAAAGAUGAGGCGCAAUGCUAGGUGCAGGCUGUGGAUGCCUGUAGUCGUCGUUUGUUCGGUUCUGAACUUCGGAUGUACAAUUUAUCGUUUACAAUAGGUUUAUUUUGUCUGUUGUUGAGUAAGGUUUUAUUUAGAUGUGAAUUUUUUUAGAUUUCCCUACUGUAGCAUUUUUGUUUAUUUGUGGCAAAUAUUGUUUAAUUAUGGACUAACUAGGAUCAAAAGAUUCGUCUCGUGAUUUAAAGGCAAACUGUAUAAUUAGUUUUUGUUUUCAGCUAUAUUUAAUGCUUCAUACAUGUGCCACAAGAUUCCAUGUGGCGGAGAAUCUUGAAAACUUUUUAGUUUUUGGGGUGAACUAAACAAGGCAAAAUAUUGUAAGACCCACUGUUUUCAGGUCGUCCGAUUAAUCGCGAUUAAUCGCGAUUAAUCGUCCUGGUCGGUCAGGAGUGCUCGAUUAGGAGGUCUGACCCGACCAGGUCGACCAGAAACCUGGUCGUCCGAUUAGUCGUCCACUUAUCGCGAUUAAUCGUCCGAUAAGGACAUGGACGACCAGGUUGUGUGCUCUGUUUUUGGGCUUUUUUGACUGGGCAGAUAUGUGGGGGGUAUGGAGAUGCUGUUGGUUGUCCCAGUUCUCUAGAAAUAGUUAAGAAGGAGAUGUUGGUUUACAUCAAAAAGAGUUGAAGAUGAAGAGGAAUGUUGGUUUACAGUAAUGCAGUCUUGAUGCUUCCUUUAUUGUGUAUAAUAUAGUGUAUAUAUAGAGGUAUAUAUAUAGGUCGACCAGCUGAUAUGCCUGGACGACCAGGGACGACCAGGGGGACGACCAGGGUCGAUUAAUCGACCUGGUCGCUGAUUAAUCGCGAUUAAUCGCCUGGUCGGUCCCAGGUCGACCAGGAUCGACCAGCCGACCAGAAAACAUUGGUAAGACCCUACCCGUUCGCUUGUCUUAUAAGCCAUACUUCUUUUGCCAGCUAACAUUGUUAUUUUCUUAUAAUAAAUCAGCGAACAAUAUUUUCAGCAUGGCUUUUCAGACCAGCAAACAAUACUGUUCCACCCUAAAACUUUUUGCCCUAUGGUAUCGAAUGUGUAGACACAUACAGAGAACAUUAAAUAUAAAUUAAAAAAUAAUUAAUUAUACAAUUUAUAUGUAGUAUUUUGCAAGACGAAUCUUAAAACUAAUUAGUUUAUGAUUGAACACUAAUUGUUAUAGUUAUAAAUAUACUAUAAUACUCAAAAACUUUUAUUUUCAUAAACUAGGCUAUAUUCGUGCAAUCCAAGGUAACUAAUAGUGAAUAGUUGUUUCGUAGCAAUGUAGUGUUUGUGUAGUGGAUCGCACGGAUUGCAGGUGCUAUAGCUGACGCUAAGUUCCAGUAGCAGAGUAUUAAAAAUAAUCAUUUUUUAGGAUACGUCAAUACUAAUAUCAUGUUAAUUCUAAAAAAAUACUGAUAUCCUGUUUUCUUGAAUAAUUUAAAGUUUUUAGUUAAAUAUUAUAUUUUAAUGACAUGAAACCACAUAGAACCAUAUAAAUGAAUAAGGUAUUAAGGUAUAAAGAAGGCACGUGGGGACAAAUUGCCAUUAAGUUCUCGUAUCAGUUUAAAAUGAUACGAUUAAUCAUGCUAUCAUCCUUUAUGAUCGAUUGAUCAUACAAAUUACCAUCUUAGUAUUUUAUUACCCAUGGAACCGUCCACAUCAUCAUUUGAAUCAUCAACACAGUAAAAUAGCAGACAUGCGUGUGGUCGCAUGUUUCCUUAUAUUUAUUAAUUAAAUGUUUGCUCAGCCACAUCCAUGAAUAAAUAUAUCUCCAAAUAUAUAAGUUUGCUCUGAAAAUAUAUUCCAUGGUUCAGUACCAAAAGGAUUAGUGUUUGUUAUACAUUUGGUUAAAUUUAAAAACUAGAAUUUGAUACUUUUUUAGAACAAAGGGUGCAAGUUUUAGAAACAUUAUUCUCUACAAAAAAAUGUUUGAGAAAUAUAUGAGAGAGAAUCCACUUUACCUCUUUCCUUUAAGUUCAUUCUGGAGCGUCUUCUGUGCCUCUUCAAGGUUCUUCUCAGAUUUGUUGCAGAUCUUGUUUGCAAGCUUAGGGUCUGUUUAGAUUGGGAACGAAAAUUUUUUGGGUGUCACAUCGAAUGUGUCGGAAGGAUGUCGGGAGGGGUUUUUAGAAACUAAUAAAAAAACAAAUUACAUAGCUCGUCAGGAAACUGCAAGACAAAUUUAUUAAGCAUAAUUAAUCUAUCAUUAGCAUAUGUGGGUUACUGUAGCACUUAAGGCUAAUCAUGGAGUAACUAGGCUUAAAAGAUUCGUCUCGCGAUUCUCAACUAAACUGUGUAAUUAGUUUAUUUUUUUAUCUACAUUUAAUGUUUCAUGUAUGUGUCCAAAGAUUCGAUGGGAUGGAUGAAAAAAUUUUGGGUGGGGAACUAAACGGGGCCUUAAAAACAUCAAACUCAUCUGACACACAGACCCACUUGCAUAGUUCAAAAUGCUUCUUGACAUCAGGGUCGUUGUAGAUGAGCUGAGCUAGGGUAGUCUUGCCCAACCCACCCAUUCCAACAAUAGGAAGGACAGUGAGCUCUACAAAGUUAGCUCUAUCAAUCAGCAUCUUAACAAUCUUCUGCGUCUCUGCAUCUCUUGAUUUGGCAGCAAUAUUCUCGGAGUCAACAAGGCUGGAAUCAGUCUCACGCCACUGCUUUGGUGCUGGUGCUUGGUUUUGAUAGUUGAAUCCAAAUGUAUUCAUUUCAGUCACAAGAACUUCAAUGGUCUGCACAAUCUUGUUAAGCUUGUUGCCCAUCUUCUUACGGAAUGCAACACGGUUGUGAGUAGGAAAGAGCUUCACUCCCUCGAAGCCAAGCUUGCGGAUGUGCCCCUUCUCCUUGGCUUCUCGACGGAGCGCCCCAUAGUUGAACUCAUCAAAAGCUUCAUUUGCCUCGUACGCCACCGCCUUGACCUCCUUGAGCCAUGCCUUCGCUCCUUCUCGGUGGGUCGCCUUCUCCUCAGCGUCGGCGAUGACGUCAAGGAUGGCAGGCAGCUUGCGCAUCAGGAUCUUGUGCUGCUCCUCCAUGCCCUCCAUCACCUUGUACUGCUCCAGGAGGUAGCUCGACGCCUUCUCCUUCACCAGGGACAGCAGUGGCCCGACCACCAUGCUGACCACCAGCUCCGCCAUUGCAGUAGUCGGAGCUCACAAGAACACACACUCAGAACAAGGUCAGGGAAUAGCACACAACCGCCGGAGUCGAGGAGGCAUGGAGGGGAUGGAGAGAGCCAGAAAGGUUGAAGAGGAGAUAAUAUGGUGGGGAAGGAGGACAGUGGUAGAUGAAACUCCAACGGUGCAUUGAACACAGGAUCAUCGAUUGGUCCCUCACACUAAAGGAUAGCUAGCUGUGCCUAUCAUUCAUAUUAUGUGAACUGGCCCACAAACAUUGUCGUGACUGAUAACAUUCACUCUUUCAGUGUGUGAAGAAAUUUUGGCACCACUUGUCGAUGCGUACUGUGUGAUGUGGAUGAGACAACGAGGCUGCACAAUUUGCAGUGGCAUGAUUACUCUCCCACGUACCAGGCUCAUUAACCAUACUGAUAACCCCAGCCAUUCGUUAUGAAAGCACGUCAGAGUGUACUUCUAAUUUGCAACUGAGGCACCAUGAUAAAAUGAAGACGGUACUAGUUGUUUAUUAGGGAAGAGAGCACAUGUAUAUUAUAUUUCUUGAUUUCAAUUGGCUUCCACUGUGUUUGAAAUCAUGUGAGUUCAGGCUACGGUUUCCAUCCAAUGACGAAGAUGUAUCAAGAGAUUGUGAAGUAGCUAAAGUUCAGUCCUACCAGGCUACGACCAUUUCUCUUAGUAAUUAUUUAUCGAUUUUGGUCUACUGUAUCUGCAAGCAGCAAUGUAAACUGUUCAUGAAUGAGGUAUGUAUGUCCAUGCCGGAGCAAUUGGGUCACUCUGCAUGCUGGAUUAGUCUAGAUAUAUUCUUGCUCUUUUCCGGCAACAACUUGAAAUUAUGAACGUUACCAUACCAGGAAGGAUCGGAGGAGCAGGAUCGUUUCAAAAAGGAGAUACUUGAAUUACCCAAGGCAUUACAAGUACGUAUACUGGGUCCGGGAAUCAUAUUGGAAAAGAAGAUUCAAAAUGAGGCGGAGUCACUGAAACAUCCCAUGGUUAUGUGUGUGGAUAAUAACAAUCUCAAGUACUCUGAGUCUGUGUUUUUUUGGGGGGCAAAAGUAACCUUUGUUAGGAUGCAAGCUUGAUUUAGUCACACGUACGACCAAGCAUUAGGAAGGAGCAAAGAAGACCCAAUUUAAUCUAUAAACUUCUCUCAGGACUCGUCCUCUCCUAAUUCAUCGUAUCUUCAGGGCAGUGAGUAUUUAACCACAAAUGAUGGUCUAAAGGACUUUAACACCCCCAACACCAACGUCUCGAUCUGAGGUGUUUCUGAGUAAGGACUUAACCACUAUCGUAUCUUCCAAUACAGUCACAAGGACUUGCUGCGUGCGUUGUCGACGGCAGUAAAACACUGCCGAGGCGUCAGUGUGCAAGGACAAUUAUGUUUGCUGCCAGCUGUACUAGACUCCAAUGAGGUCGUGCAUGAGGGACCAAGUCUCUUAAGGCUGAUGGUUACUGCUCAUGACCAUGGCGCCGGGUUAAUAAUGAUGACAAGGACAGAGGCUCCGGCACCAGAUAAGCACUCAGCAAGCAAAAUCAACCAACCUGUGUGCAAGAAAUUCAUACCUGGCUGCCGUUCACUCCUACCGGGGGGCGCAAAACGUCGAGUAGCUAGCGUGCAUCCUCCCCUGCACGCCGUCCUCUCGCCGCACCCGGCUCGGGUAAGCGACCGCAGAGGGAGCUUCUGUGAAACCUCCCCGUGGAGGCCCCUCUUAGCUCCACGAAUGGCCGCCCUCCGCCUCCUGACGCUGCACUCCGCCGAAGGUCCGGCCGGCGGUGCCCAGACCUCCCGAGGACAGCACGGGGGACCUUCAGCCACCGCAGCGUCGAGCUCCCCUCGCUCCGUCGAGCCCCGUGGAAUCCCCAUCCCUUCGCCACACGAUCGUUUCCGCCCACCAACUACGCCGGAGACGACCCCACCGGCCUCGCCGGGAGGGCGUGGCGGAGGAGAACGCAAUCGCCUGCUUAGUUGCCUGUCGAGACACCCGUGGAUGUCCUGGGCUAAUCAGCGCAGAAGGCGCCACCAACACGGCCUGACCCUCCACGCUCCGUCGCUCCGCACUCGCGGACUUGCAGCACCGGACUGCCGGUGCCGUGGACGGUGGCUGAACUGAAGCAACUCCGCUCGGAGCCUCCGACGCCUGGCGAAAACGCGACCGGAGAGCCCCUGCACCAGGACGUCUGGCUUCCUACUGAAGCACGCCGCGGUGUGAAAAGAGUAAAUCCUAUUUUCCAACCUUCAACGAUCAUGCUAGUCCGAUUCAGUCCUAAACUCAGCGGCGGAGGAAGGAUUUAAAUUGAGUUGUGACGAGUAUCGAAAUAGCUAAUAUAGGUAGCAUAUAAUUUAAAAGUAAAGUGAUUUCUAUACAAAUGCAAAAUUAUUAAAUUCUAUUCAUCAAGUACAAAACAUAUAAGAACUACAUAUAUAUAUAUAUAUAUAUGGAAGAAAUCGAAUAUUAAGAUAAAAUAUUGAAAAAAGAUGCGAAUGAAUUCAAUGAACAAACCGAGUGCUGAAGCUUCAGUUACGAGACCUAGGUAAUUGCAUUUUCCUAUCUUUCUACUUUUGAACUGCAUUCUUAAUUUUCUCAAGAUCAAUUCCUUUGAAUCUCUGUCUCAAUGUACUAGUGUUAAUCGUGUGUUUUAAUAAAUGUAUUGCCGGCCUGUGCACAUACAGUCAAGCCCACAAGCUAGAAGAGAUCAAGAGUUCAAGACCCCAAGUAUGUUCAGAUAGAAGCAUUCAGCCUUCAAUGAGGCUUCUUCAGAGUAUUCAAAGCAGCAGUUUAGAGUAAAAGAAAUCAAUCUACUAGAAGCGCUAAUGGGCAGGAAGUAAUUUAGGAGAGAGUGGCUCAGAAAUUGAGAUAUGGCAAGAGCCAUACCUUGCCAUAUGGGUGGCUCCGCCCAUGCCUAAACUACGAAGGCAAACACAUUCCCUUAUCAUAGAAACUAUGUAAAACGUAUAACCUCAUAGCAAUUUUUCUUGAUUUCAUCACACAUGCCGCUUGCGUAGAGCGGUUUUGAUACAAAAAUCUAUUAUUUGUACAAAAAUCUUUUGAGAAUUUAUUCAGAGUUAUCCUAAGUAAAAGAUUUUUACAUUUGACAACCAAUAUUUGUAAUAGUAAGAUUACAAGCUAGUAGUAGUCUCUCUACCAAGCUCACUUACAAAGAAAUGCAGAACACAUCAACUCAUGGGAAGGUAACAGCGAAGGUGAGUGUAUUCCAAUAUAUCCCAGUCUCCGUAUCCAUUUGAUGCGAGAAUAAAUAGUGUCACAUCUCUUGGUUAUUAAGGAGAAAUAUCAGGUAUAAAAUUCUAUUCUCUUCCACAACUUGCAUCUGUGUCUAUAUGGUAAUUUAGCCCUGGAAAGUGAACACCAUACCAGAGGAGGAAAAGUAUGAUUAUCCACAUGGUGGUUUGGACGCUGACAGUAAACAAGGUACACCAUGAGACCUGUCCCUAAGAUAGAUAAGAUAUGCAAUCAGCACUAAUAACUCGAGAUGAUUGUAAUUAAGACCCAAUAAUUUAAGAAACAUUGAUGCUCCUAACCAAUUUAUCAACCUUUCAGGUACUUGGCGUUACUUCCGUCUCACUAACUGCUACAGCUGGCAUAUUUCCAUGUCUUUGGCUUCAGUAGCUUUGCACCUGGUGAUAGGUGAUGUUAGGAUUUGUACAUAGAAAUAUAGAGUAAAUGAAAAGGCAUACAACAAAAUGAUUUGAGAGUAUGGCAUCUUAAAAAGGGACUAUAUAUUGCUAUUCAAUUGUACCGAGUAAUUUCCCAAUUCUUUCUAAAACGAAAGGCAUACAGUGCCAUACUGUUGACACCGUUUUUUGACACGUGUCUCUGGAUACGCAUCUGGAGUUAAUGAAGCGUAGAUCGGCAGAUUAGGCGAUGGUGGCUAAUCUACAGGGAGGUUGCCGAUGGAGGAUGGUGCCGAUGGAGAAACAAUUGAAUAUGACUAAGUCCAGGGGUGGUGAUGCCGAUGACCAGUGCCGGUGUUUACCGAUGGAUGCAACAGGCAGUCUGCCGAUGACUCUGAAGAAAAGCGCGGUGGUUACCGAUUGAUUCGUGGCGGUGUCCCGAUCAGUUACGGGGGAUAGUUUAAUGUUUUCCUUAGUAAUUAGAAUUCGUUUUGUGUACGACUUCUAUUUAAUUUGGAAUUUGAGUCCUAGUCGUGUCUGGUUGUAAUUCUUCGGACAGGGUAUAAAGGUAGACCCUAGGGCAAUGUAAUGAGACAAUCUAUCAAUCAAUCAAACACAAGUUUUUACUCAUAUUCCAGCAUCUACUUUUUCGACGACUUCGUCACAUUUUCUUUUUAUUACGAGUUCUUAGGAAUUCGUCGAGUUAAACUCGGCGUGUUCUCAAGUUCCGCGUGAUCACCUCUUGGCCGUGACAUCCGGGCGUAUCGCUGUUGUCGGGACCAAAGUGGUCGAGUUACCACCUUUGUCGAUUGUAAGGUCAAAUCGGCUGGCACGUCUUAACGUUUGAAUCGGGUAUUAGCCCUUUGUGUUUGCAGAUCAGCUUUUGCACCAACACAUCUUUUGGCAUGCCCAGUGGGACAGAUUCAAGAUCAAGAUCAACAUGUCGAACACCGAUUUCGACUUGGAGAACGUCAUCCCCGUGACGGAAGCCAAUCUCAGAGAUGAGCAGAAGCAAGCUAUUGCAAAAGCUAUGGAGGACUACAAGCAGCAAUGCUUGAAAUCCUUUAGUAUCAACAGGAGCGGCGAUGUGAUCCAAAAGAAAGCAUUGUCGGCACCUCGGCAGAUUACUUUUGAAGCCAAUCAUGGUAAACUCCAAGACAUGGUUGACAGUGCUAUUAACCGCGCCUUGAUCAAUCAAGCUGGUGUGCUGUCCAACACAGUGUUCAAUGCGGUGGCUAGAACUUUCAAGGAAGGUCAAUUACCACCAAAUUAUGUGGGUCCUGCCCAUCAUCAGCCAGGGUCACCAGUGGUCACAGCUCCAUCGGCUACUACGGCCGCUGCGGGCGUAGAAGCUACUUCUCCUCCAAGCACAUUAGGGGUCACUAAUGUGCAAUCUACACCAAUGACGACCAAUCCAUCAACAUCAGACGGGCAAAUCAAGCUUGCCACAGAUCUAUUGGCAUCGGCAAUGUCGGGAUCUGUUCCUCCUAACUGGUGGGGUUAUGGUAUGCCCCCAGAGAUGAUGUUGAAGACUCCUAGAACGUCUCAAGUGGCUGAUAUGACAGGCAAGGCUCCUAUGGCAUCGGCACCUCCAAAUCUGCCGAUGAAUCAGAGUCUCCAGUAUACUACAACUACUACUGCAAGACCUUACACUGGAAAUUCUCAAGCUCCAACGUUCCAGAUGCCUAACGCAUCGGCAGAUUCAAUGCCGACGCAACAAAGGUUUAUGACACAGCCAGGGUACGUCAAUUCAAUGAUGAUGCCCAAUUACCAGUCAUUAGCAGGGCUUAUGCCGAUGAAUGCUAACAGUGGAUGGACAGGACAGUUAGUCUUUCCACAUAUGCAUCAGCAGAAUCAUCAGGCUGCAGGGUUUCAACAGGGACAAAUCCAACCUGGGUUUCAGAAUCAAGGGUUGGUCAACCAGCCGAUGAAUCUUGGUCAGCAGAUUGGUGGUCAGAUGAUUAACCCAAUGUUCCAUGCAGAUCGUGCACCUCAGAGACACGUGGAAGCUUAUUAGCAGGCGCUAGAUCCACAACCGCCUCAUCGGCAAGAUGCCGAUGCCUAUUGGGCCGAUAAGAUAGCUGAAGUAAUGAGAGACCAAUUUGGGAUAAAGCCCAAAGUCAACACUUACUCUUAUCGGACACUGUAUCCUCCUGCAUACGAUUUAAUUCCACUUCCAAAUCGGUACAAGGUACCAGAUUUCACUAAGUUUUCUAGACAGGAUGAUACAUCGACUAUGGAGCAUGUCAACAGGUUCAUCAUUCAAUGUGGGGAAGCUGCUAACAGAGAUGAGUUAAGGGUUUGUUUGUUUUCAUCAUCUUUGUCUGGAUCGGUUUUUACCUGGUUUAUUUCGUUACCUCCCAACUCAGUAAUUACUUGGGCCGAUCUAGAGAAGCAAUUCCAUAAAUACUUCUUUUCUGGGGUCCAUGAGAAGAAGAUCACCAAUUUAGUCAGGUUGAAGCAACGUAAUGAUGAAUCGGUUGAAAGCUUUGUGCAGAGGUUGCGAGAAGUUAAGAACAAGUGCUAUAGUCUGGUUCUGGACGAUCGGCAGCUAGCCGAUUUGGCUUUCCAGGGUUUGUUGCCACAUAUCAGAGACAAGUAUGCUUCUCAAGAGUUCGAGAGUCUAAGUCACUUGGUGCAGAGGAUUUCUGACCAGGAUAUCGAACCCUUUGAGCCUAAGAGAGCAUGGAACAAAAAGGUGUCAUUUGUUGAUGAGGCAGCAAGCUCAGAUUCUGAUGAGGAGCCAGUCAUCGGCUUGGCAGAAUGGGUGAAAAAUAAGAAGCCAAUGUCUUGCCCUUUUGGGCAUAAAGAACCAGAGAAGUUUGCAUUUGAUAUCACUAAAGCCGAUAGGAUAUUUGAUUUUCUACUUCAGGAAGGGCAAAUCAAGUUGUCUCCCAAUCAUGUGAUUCCAUCGGCUGAAGAAUUAAAGAAGAUGAAAUACUGCAAGUGGCACAAUGCAACAUCCCACAGCACAAAUGAGUGCAAGGUUUUCAGACAGCUGCUGCAAUCGGCUAUAGAAUCUGGGAGGAUCAAGUUUGAUAAUUCUAAAGCUCAGAAGCCGAUGAAGAUUGAUCAACAUCCUUUCCCAACAAAUAUGUUGGAUGCUAAGGGAAAAACCAAGGUCUUGACAUCAGAAGCAGCUGAAAGAAGUGCAUCGGUGGAUCCUCAGCAUCAGAUUACUACUGUCGAUGCUAAAGGAAAAGGUUUGAUCCAGGAAGGAACUAACUCAGGAAGACCUCCCCGAUCUGGCAUUGUGAUAACUCAUAGAAGGCAUCGGGAGACUUGGCAGCAACGUGAAGAUCGGUAUCGGCAUCAACAAGAAAGAUUAUCGUCGGGAAGAAGAGAGGCGCCGACAGGAGUGGAAUCGGCAUAAAGAUCACUAGAACUGCCCGUUCUUUAUCCAUUGCUGUGAGCAGAACAUUAAAUUGCCCACUGUUAGAGAUUUCUCUGAAUGCAAUGGUUAUGAUCGGUAUGAUAGACCUGAUCGGCACUACCAAAAUGACGAUCGACAAUUUAACGGACCGAUUAGGGGGAGAGCUUCAGUUCAUGACCGGCUAGGGGGAAAACUCAGUGUGCAUGACAGACUUGGUGACCGUGUCAAAUAUUUUCCCAGAAACCAAGAGGAUCUUGAAGAAAUGGCCAAUGCACGGGUUCCCGAUGGGUUCAUAUUUUGUGGGAUGCUAACACCUAUCGAGUGGAGUCAAGGGAAGCUCGUCGCCCGUCGGCAAGGCAGCCACAACUUCCUCCGUGGUGUCUAGAAGGAUUGACUAGGACACAGAAAAGAAGGCUGUAGCGUGAAAGACGAGAAGACUUGAACAUGGGAGAGAAUUCUGGCAAGUCCGAAGAUCAGCAGCAGCUGGAUCCUAAAGGAAAAAGGCCAUCGGUAGAAGUCAACAUGGUAUUUAUGUUGCCGAUGGAGUUCCUUGCGCCGUCCAGUGAUGAUGAGGAGCUGGAUUUUUCCGACCAGAUAGCUUAGUUGGCUCUGGAUCCGAUGACGACUAUCUUUGAAAAGCCUGUUGACAAUGAAAGGCAGCAUCUUAAAGCUUUGUUCGUCAAAGGAAGAGUCGAUGGACAGCCGAUGACCAAAAUAUUGGUUGAUGGUGGGGCUGCUAUCAAUAUUAUGCCAUAUGCAGUCUAUCGGAAGCUUGGGAAGGGAGAUCAAGAUUUGACCAAAACCGAUAUGAUGCUAAAGGACUUUGAAGGAAAUGUGUCUCCAGUUAAGGGGGCAAUAUGCGUCGAGUUGACCAUCGGCAGCAAGACCUUGCCGACAACUUUCUUUGUGAUCAGUGGAAAAGGUGCUUAUAAUCUGCUACUAGAGAGAGAUUGGAUCCAUGCCAAUUGUUGCAUCUCAUCAACAAUGCACCAGUGCUUGGUUCAGUGGGUAGGUGACAAGAUUGAGAUUGUCCCGGGAGAUUCUUCUUAUGUCAUUGCAUCGGCAGAGGCGGAUACUUAUGAAAGGACCAGGUGUAUCUCGGGAGAAAUUUGGGAAAAGGAUUUCCUCAAAGUUGUCGAUUAUGAAAUUCCACCGAUCCAAGCAGUUGGUUCUGAUGAGGAGUUUUAAUGGAUAGGUUUGCCGAUGAUGGAAAAUUAGGCCGGGGGUUCACAUCGGCCGAUGAUUUAGUAGAGGUAGAUAUAGGUAGUGGAGAUAAGCCUAGACCUACUUUCAUUAGUGCUAAGUUAGAUUCUGAGUGUAAGCAACAUUUAACCGAUUUUUUAAAGGAAUAUAAAGAUUGCUUUGCUUGGGAUUAUACCGAAAUGCCUGGUUUAGACCGAUCAAUUGUUGAACAUCGGUUGCCUAUCAAGUCUGGGUUUCGGCCACAUCAGCAGCCAGCUAGCCGAUGUAAUCCUAAUAUUCUUCCUGAUAUUAAGGCCGAAAUAACCAAACUUAUCGAAGCUAAAUUUAUUCGGCAGUGUCGGUAUGCCGAGUGGAUUUUCAAUGUUGUUCCAGUUUACAAGAAAAACAGGAAGCUUCGGGUCUGCAUUGAUUUUAGAAAUCUUAACAAAGCUACGCCGAUGGAUGGCUACCCAAUGCCAGUUGCCGAUUUGCUAGUUGAUGCUGCAGCAGGACAUCGAAUUAUUAGCUUUAUGGAUGGCAAUGCAGGAUAUAAUCAGAUAUUCAUGGCUGAGGAAGAUAUUCUGAAGACUGCAUUUAGAUGUCCUGGUCAUGUUGGGCUGUUUGAAUGGAUAGUCAUGACCUUUGGCUUGAAAAAUGCUGGUGCUACCUCUCAAAGAGCUAUGAAUUUUAUCUUUCAUGAGUUUAUCGGCAAGCUGGUAGAAAUUUAUAUUGAUGAUGUGGUAGUCAAGUCUGGGGAUUUCACAAAGCAUCUUGCCGAUCUGCGAAAAGUGUUGGAGUGCACAAGAAAACAUGGUUUAAAGAUGAAUCCUAAUAAGUGUGCAUUUGGUGUUGAAGAUUGAUUGACGCUGAAACCAGGUAUUCGGCCAUUGAAAAAUUAUGUUUAUGCCUAUAUUUUUCUUGCACUAAAUUGAGGCACUAUUUGCUAUCGGUCGAAUGCACUAUUAUAUGCAAAGAUGAUGUGGUCCGAUAUAUGCUAUAUAUGCCGAUUAUGAGUGGUAGAAUCGGUAAGUGGAUUUUGGCACUGUCAGAAUUUGAUCUACGUUACGAAUCGGCUAAAGCGGUUAAAGGGCAUGGCCGAUUUUGUGACUCAACAUUGCGGUGUAGUGGAGACUUUGGAAAUUGUGCCUUGGACGCUCUUCUUUGAUGGAUCCACGUGUGACCGGGGGGCAGGAAUCGGCAUAGUGUUAAUUUCCCCUCAGGGAAGGAAGUAUGAGUUCUGUUUGCCGAUUGUUGCCACGUCAACAAAUAAUCAAGCCAAGUAUCAAGCUUUAAUCAAGGGGUUGGAGUUGUUGAAAGAAGUUCAUGCUGAUGCUGUUGAAAUCUUCGGGGAUUCUAUGCUGGUUAUAAAUCAAUUGGCUGGAAGCUAUGAAUGCCGAAGCGAAGUCCUGAUAACUUAUUACGAAAAGAGUAUACAACUAUUAUGGGAAUUCAAAGAUUUCCGAUUAGAGCAUGUUCCUCGGUUACAUAAUGAGGAGGCUAAUCGGUUGGCUCAGCAUGCCUCGGGGUAUCAACCCAUAUUGAACACGUUAUCGGCAAUCAGUGCUGAUGAUUGGAGAAAAGAAAUCAUUGAUUAUUUAAGGGAUCCAUCUAAGAAGGUUGAGAGGCGUGUUCGGUUUCAAGCUACCAAGUAUGUGCUCCUCGAGGAUGAAUUAUAUUAUCGAACGAUCGAUGGAGUUCUUCUCAAGUGCUUAGGUGAUGAUGAAGCUAAAAGUUUGAUGAGAGAGAUCCAUGAAGGAGUGUGUGGAGCACAUCAGUCGGCUUUUAAGAUGAAAUGGAUGAUCAGGAGAAAUGGGUAUUAUUGGCCAACUAUACUUGAGGAUUGUUUUAAGUAUUUCAAAGGGUGUCAAGGAUGUCAGAAAUUUGGCAAUAUUCAAAGGGCGCCCGCAUCGGCCAUGAAUCCCAUUGUUAAACCUUGGCCGUUCAGGGGAUGGGCUAUUGAUUUGAUCGGCCAGAUUUAUCCACCAUCUAGCAAAGGGCAUAAAUUCAUCUUAGUUGCUACUGAUUAUUUCACCAAGUGGGUUGAAGCUAUUCCUUUGAAGAAAGUUACAUCGGCCAAUAUGAUUGAUUUUGUGAAAUAGCAUAUUAUUUACCGAUUUGGUAUUCCUCAAACAAUUACUACCGAUCAGGGUACUAUGUUUACAUCGGGUGAGUUUGAUGAAUUCGCAAUCGGUAUGGGAAUUAAAGUGUUAAAUUCUUCUCCUUAUUAUGCUCAAGCUAAUGGGCAGGCCAGUGGCGGAUCUAGGGGUAUUCCCUAGUAUUCCCGGAAAUACCCAACUAUUUUGGUACACUUCUAUGUAAAUAUGUGUAUACACUUAUAUAUAUAAAUGUAUAAUGCUAUAAUAUAUAGUAUUUUGCACAUUUGAGUUCAAAACAUAUAAAAAAACUAGCAUUUCAAUUAGAAGUCUAUAUUCUAGAAAGCAAAUAUUAGUUUAAAGUUGCUAACUUGCAGUAUAAUUGACUAUAUUUUCAACCUAUAGAUUAACUUUGUGAAAGUAGGAAUACCCAAGUUUAAAAUUCUGGCUCCGCCACUGGGGCAGGCCGAGGCAUCUAACAAAGGAAUUAUCAAACUUAUCAAACGGAAGAUUGAAGAAAAUCCUAGGAGGUGGCAUACAUUGUUGAAUGAAGCUUUAUGGUCAUAUCGGAUGGCUUGUCAUGGGUCGACCAAAGUUUCACCUUAUCAGUUGGUGUACGGGCACGAUGCAGUACUACCAUGGGAGAUUAAGACUGGGUCUAGGCGGCUAUUUUUCUAAGAUCAGCUGGCUGCCGAUGACUAUGCUACUUUAAUGAAAGAUGAAUUAGAUGGUUUAACAGGGCAUCGGCUGAGGGCUUUGGUAAGUAUAGAGGAAAAUAAAAAGAGAGUUGUCAGGUGGUAUGAUAAAAAGGUAAAAGCUAAGGAGUUUACCGAUGGUGAUUUGGUAUGGAAGCUGAUAUUACCGGUUGGGACUAAAAGUUCAAAGUUUGGCAAGUGGUCUCCCAAUUGGGAAGGUUCUUAUCGGAUAAGUCGGUCUCCUCCUGGUAAUGCCUAUAUUCUGGAAACUCUCGAAGGAGUUGAAUUUCCCAGAGCAUUGAAUGGAAAAUAUUUGAAGAAGUAUUACCCAAGCAUAUGGGUCGACACAUAAAAAGUUUAAGUGCCGAUAACACUCCUAUCGGCUGGAUUGAAAUGUAUCUGGGACUCAAUACGAUGUUUUAAAAGAUGUCGAUAACAGUCCUAUUGGCUAGACCAAAAUAAUCAGGAGUUUUUAAAAGAAAAGAGCAAAACACGCCAUCGAUGAAGAGUUCAUACGUUUAACAGAGCUUGGAUCGCCUGAAAGGACCUGAUUGGCCUAGAGGGGGGUGAAUAGGCCUUUUGAUAGAAUCUGAAACUCACAAACUUGAACUUGCGAAAGUUAGUAACCAGACCGGAAGUUCCGGUAGUCUGGAUCGGAAGUUUCGGUCGGCUUGAUCAGAACUUCCGGUGUAGACUUCCUGAGCUUCCGGUUACCUAAGGAUACUGCAAAAUCUGAGAAAAGACAAGGGGGAGUUCAGAUCUAGUGUCACCACACACUCCUAGAGAUUGUUGAAGUUGGUGUUGAACUUCACCGACUUCUUUUCACUCCUAGUUGCGGAUCCAAGAAUAUCACCCUGUGAAAUAGGAGGAGGAAAGGACAGACAACAACUCACAAAGCAAGAGGGUGGUCGAAGCCACCGCCACAGUAGGACAAGAGAUUUAAUCCGAGGUUCGGCAAUCUCCACUAAGGAGUUCCUAUGUCCUCGUUGUUGAGGUGACCACUAAGAUCUGACCACGAAGGUCUCCUCUCUCAAGCAACCACACAGGUUAACUUAAGAUAUCCACUAAGAGUCAAGAGGUAGUUACAAACACUUCGGGGUGCCCUCACUAGUAAAUCAACACGGGCAACCAUGAAGAACGCCUAGCCGGCUAGGGUUCAGAGAACCCAAGAGUAAUAAACACAAAACCAGCCUGCAAGAAGGGGAAACCAAGUGCUCAAGUCGUAGAUCUAUGCUCCAACUCUCUAAUCUCACUUCCCUAGCUCAAACAAUCUGGAUUGAGAUUCGGAGACAUAGGGGGAGAGAGAGUAGGUGAGUCACAGCUUAGACAGGAUGGAAGGCUCAGCUAGAGAGUUGUUCUGAUAUCUCUAACGGUUAGAAAGAGAUAAGGAUAUAUAUAAAGGAAGGUACCGGAACUUCCGGUAACAGGUACCAGAACUUCCGGUUUACUCAAGACUAACGGAAAGUGCCAAUACAGGCACACCGGAACUUUCGCUCACUGACCGGAAGUGAAAAACGAAACGCGAGACGUUUCGCAGAAAACUUACAUCGCGGACUUCCGGUCCUGGACCGGAACUUCCGGUCCGUACCGGGACUUCCGGUCAGCCACCGGAAGUGAAAGCUGAGACGCGAGACGGUCCGCAGAAAACUUACAGCGCGGACUUCCGGUCCCGGACCGGAACUUCCGAUCCGUACCGAGACUUCCGGUCAGCGACCGAAAGUGAAAGCUGAAAUGCGAGACGGUGACCCUGAGGCUGUCGGAACUUCCGGUCUGAAUGACCAGAACUUUCGGUCUGCUAACUCCGCUAAGAAAGGCACCUCUUGAUAGUGCGGCGUUUCCUAUUACCCAAAAAGAAAGAACAAAGUUGAAGACAGGGUCAAAACGUCUUUAGUCCGUAUGAGCUGCAGGUUACCGAAGGUUCUUUAUUUAACUCCAUCAAAUAGGCUAUUUCCUAUAGAUUUGCACUUUAAGAGCAGAUUAGUCCCUAAGUUGAUUAUCAUUAAUUAUCCAAAACCCACAAUGGGAGCGAAUGCACUUACAAACUCCCCCUUUUUGGUAAUUGAUGACAACCAACUUAGGCUUACAAGAGAUGUAAACAGUUGAAAGUAAGAAUUUAAAAACCAAGCUUUAGGUUGAGCUCCCCCUUAAUGUAUGCAUAAGUUUUGAAGUUUCGAAUCUUGAUUAUAAGCAAGAUAACAUACAUUUAGGAUGAGCUCCCCCUAAGUCCUGCUAUCUGUGGGGUGCCUAAGUGUGUGAAGCAAAAGAAAGCGUGAUGCACAUGACAGGAUAUAUCACAAAAAAAUGGUUAUUCAUCAUAACCGUAAACAACUCAUCACAAAAAGAGGGCAAAGCAAAGAUAGAGAUAAAACAGGGAGGAUUUACCCUACAAUCAUUCAUCACACAAAAUAAAAAGGUUUACGACAUGGUUCACCACACUUAGAAGCAGGGAAUUGUUUUAAAAAAAGUUUGACUACCCCUAUUACAAUAAAGAUAAGCCUAACACUCCCCCUUUGGCAUCAAGUGCCAAAAAGGGUAGGCGCGCGAGAAAGCACCAGUGAACUACUCUUCAUCUUCAUCGUCAUCAUCAUCUCCAUAGUCGACAAGGGAAGCUUUGCCAAAAGGAUCAGCAGAGGUAGACUGGCCUGCCCAAGAAGUGGAAGUCCUUGUGAUGUGAUCAGCACCACUGAAGAUAUCCUGAUAAGAAAAACCAGCCUCGGUAUCCUCCAUGGUGUAACCAGCAGGAAGAUCAGCCCCAUAGGAAGGAUCAAAGGCACCUGACUGCUGAAAAUCCAGCUGCUCAAACUCCUGAUAGGGAUCCUAAAAGGGGCGAAGAGGAGAAGCAAGAGGAAGACCAGCCUUCUCCUCAAGGCGCGUCAUGCGUCUGUCCUACUUUGCUUGACAGUAGCAAAAAUACGACAUAAAGCGCUGCAGGGCAUGGCGAGUGGCAUUGCCACGACCACGACCACGACCACCGGAGGCACUAGGAGGAGGAUCCAUCAAAGGAACAUGGGGCUCAUCAUCAGCAGGCUGCUCAUGGUCACGGCCACCAACAUCAGUUGCAGGCUCUUUCCCUUUGCUAGCUUUGGCUUGCAACCUUUUCACAUUCCAAUCCGGAUGAGAGACAUCAUGGUGAAAACCCAAACCAGUGACUUGCUCAAUGAUAUACAUGAGAUAUGGAGCAUAAGGGAAAGAUUGACUGGAGGUGAGGGAAACUUCCUGAAUGUGACGCCACAUAAGGUCGGUGACACUAAACCUUUUUCCAAGCCCAAAGCAGACAAGAAUGGUGGGAGCAUGAUUCUGCAUAGUAGUAGCAUCACCGAUCUUGGGAUCAAUAGUGGCCCUGAGCAAGUUGUUGAGCACAUAGAAGUAGGGCUUCAAACCAUCUGUCUUGCCAUUUGCUUUGGUUGGAUCAAUAUAGAGAGCUGCCUCAACAAAAUCCCUACACCAUUGGGAUAUAGAUCAUAGAGACUAGGUGUUGUGCGAUCAUCCCUGUUAAAACCAAGAAGGCGAGAAAACUGUCGGUAAUCACAGCGGUAAUGAAAGACCUUGUGCUCUUCAUCAAUAUAUAAUGUAGCCCAGAACUGGCAAAGGAUCUCGGAAUUCCAAUCUUGUUUGAAAGUCAUAAGAGGCAAGAUGCGCCAGUCCUCAAGGCGCUGGAUGAGGGCAUCUACAUCGGGAUGAUUAUGACUUUGAAGAGAAAGAAAAGUGGGUGCCUUGUGCAUAAUGAUAGGAGUAGUGAGACCUCGGAUGCCCCUCUUCAUGCAGACAGACGAAUAAUAAUCAUUAUGAAACUGAGACCAGAACCUAUCAUCUACACCCUCAAACUUAGACCAAGCAAAAGGGUUGUCUUGCCGCAUGCGCUUUACAUCAGAAGAUUGGGCUUUGUAAUCAAUAGGACGCCUUGGAAUGCAGUCACCAGGUGUGCUAGGGCCAUGAAGAUGAGGAUAACGGUUCUGAGGAUGCUGAAGAACUUGGUUCAUGGUGAACUGUCCAAUACGCACCGGAGAGUUGCGAAUAACCUCAGGGUUGAUGGCCCGGCCUUCAACCUCAAUCUGACUUGGAGCAACAGAGUCAUGGACCACAGUGCGAUGGAGAGGAGGAGGACAUGGAAAGGUGGACCGAUCUGGACAGGAGCGAGGCCCUUCAUCAGCCGAUGCCGGUGCGCGAGAGGACGAAGGGUUGGUGGUGCGACGAGCGCGAGCACCACGAGCACGAACCUCCUCUCCAUCCCCCAAACUCUGAGGACGGGGACGAGCAGAGUGAGAGCGAUUCGCACGGCGAUCCGACAUGCUGCAAAAGACAUAAGAGAAGAAUGAGACUGAGAUAAGGAAAGGCAGCAACAGAUAGAUACGAGGAAAUGUGAGCGCAUGGUGUCCAUGACCCACCGGAAGUUCCGGUGCAUGAACCGGAAGUUCCGGUCCAGAGCCACGGACACCAUGUGGACCUAUUCCGACAAAUCCAUCCAAGCAACUUGCAAGACAGGCAUUCGUAGACCUCGAAGAGAUAAAGAACUACAAGCACGUGCAAGGAUUCGACUCAAAACAAAGGACAUUGGCAGAUCGGGCGCAAAGACCCCAUACCUUGGCCUUAGAUGAAGAGGAAGGAGAAACCCGCACGUGGAUCCCUUCCGCAGCCCGCGUCCACCUCCAAGACGACCUCCAAGACAAGGGCAAGACUCCCCACGAGUGGAUUUUGAAAAGAAUGGAAGAGAUGGGAGAUCUGGAGGAGAAUGCGGUCAACCGCCGCCGCCGCCGCCGGGAGGGAGAGAAGAGGACGGGAGUCAAAGGAUAAGUUUACCCAGUCAGCGCCUCAGCGGUAUAUAUACCGCGGUAAAAAGGACGACCGGAAGUUCCGGUCAAAAGGACCGGAAGUUCCGAUGCCUCCCAGAACAGCAAGGAACUGGUGAACCACACCGUAUUCCUAACCCAACUCGAAGAUGUCCAGAUUUCAUGAAGGCAUUACAUAACUAUGAACAUCUUGGGGUUGUAUAAAAAAUAGAUUUGUAAAAAGAAUCACACAGCUUUUCACAACGUUUUUGCCUAUUUCUAAAACAACAAGUGAGUGCAAGACAUCAAACUAUGUUACGAGAAUCAACGAUAUUGAGUUCACGCCUCAAAGCACAAAAUCUUGACUCAUCUAGAGGUUUAGUGAAGAUAUCGGCUAACUAAAAUUCGGUUCUCACAUGUUGUACAGCGAUAUCUCCUUUGGAUUGGUGGUCUCUCUGGAAGUGAUGACGGAUGUCUAUGUGCUUUGUUCUAGAGUGGUUUACAGGGUUAUUAGCGAGCUUGAUUGCCCCCUCAUUGUCACAUAAGAGGGGAAACUUGCUUUGCUCACAGCCAAAGUCUCUCAAAGUUUGCUUCAUCCAAAGCAGUUGGGCACAGCAGGCGCCAGCCGCCACAUACUCGGCUUCAGCGGUGGAAAGGGCAAUGGAGUUUUGUUUCUUAGAGGUCCAUGACACCAAAGACCUACCAAGAAAUUGGCACGUCCCUGAUGUACUCUUUCGCUCUACCCUGCAACCGGCAUAGUCCGAAUCGGAAUAGCCAAGUAGAGUAAAAGUGGAGCCCUUUGGGUACCAUAAGCCAAGAUUAGGAGUGAACACAAGAUAUCAAAAGAUUCUCUUAACAGCCAUGAGAUGACAUUCUUUCGGAUUAGCUUGAAAUCUUGCACACAUGCACACACUAAGCAUAAUAUUAGGCCUAGAUGCACAAAGGUAAAUCAAAGAUCCAAUCAUGGAGCGAUAUACCUUUUGAUCAAUAGCCUUGCCGUCUCCAACAAGGUCAAGGUGUCUGGUUGUUGGCAUUGGUGUCUUUAUGGGUUUGGCCUUGUCCAUGUCAAACGUCUUUAGCAUAUCGGUGGUGUACUUAGUUUGGCUUAUGAACGUGCCGUCCUUGAGUUGCUUGAUUUGAAAUCCAAGGAAGUAAGUCAAAUCCCUCAUCAUGGAUAUCUCAAACCUUUUGGUCAUGAUCCUACUAAAUUCCUCACUGAAGUUCGCAUUAGUACUACCAAAUAUUAUGUCAUCGACAUAUAUUUGGCAUAUAAAAAUAUCAUUAUUGACUUUGCGAGUAAAUAAAGUGGGAUCGACUUUUCCAAUCUCAAACCCUUGUUUGAGUAGAAAAUCCUUGAGACAAUCAUACCAAGCUCUAGGGGCUUGCUUAAGCCCAUAGAGUGCCUUGUCCAGCUUGUAGACAUGAUCGAGAUGAUGUGGAUCUUCAAAACCUGGUGGUUGCUCCACAUACACGGUUUCGGAGAGGGGGCCAUUGAGGAAUGCACUUUUCACGUCCAUUUGAAACAACUUGAAAUCAUGGUGAGCAGCAAAGGCAAGUAAUAUGCGUAUAGAUUCAAGCCUAGCUAUAGGUGCAUAAGUCUCCCCAAAAUCCAAACCUUCGAUUUGAGUGAAGCCUUUGGCAACCAACCGAGCCUUGUUUCUAGUGACCACACCAUACUCAUCUUCUUUGUUGCGGAAGACCCAUUUGGUUCCUAUCACAUUUUGCUUGGGUCUUUCCACCAAGGACCAGACAUCAUUCCUAGUGAAGUUGUUCAACUCCUCUUGCAUAGCCAUCACCGAAUCCGGAUCCUUCAAGGCAUCUUCCACCCUAUUUCGCAACAUAGAGGAGACAAAAGAGUAAUGUUCACAAAAUCCAACUAAACGAGAGCGUGUUGUUACCCCUCGUUGUAUGUCUCCCAAAAUGCUAUCAACAGGAUGAUCCCGUUGAAUAGAGUGAUGAACUCUUGGGUGAGGCACUGCUGUUCUUGUUUGAAUGGGACCAUCAUCUUCAUCCUCAUGGUCUUGGUUGAUUGGAGAAUCUAGAUCUUGAACGUUUUGAUCUCCGUCUUGGUUUGGUUCUUGUGCUUGAGGUGGGUCUUGUCCAGCUUGUUCUCUUGAGUCAUGACCUCUUCUUGAUGUGGAAGCAUCAUCAUGGGCAUUGGUUGACCCAUGAUGCAAGUUUGGGUCACGAGAAAUUUGCAUGUGUGCAUCUUCUUCUUCUUCUUCUACGGGUUUCACUUCACCGGUAGCAAGCUUUUUGAUUACUUGGCGAGAUGGCUCUUCUUUACCUAAAAUUUCAGCAUUGACUUGCUCUUUUUGAGAGCCGUCGCUUUCAUCGAAAGUCACGUCUACCGCUAUUUCAAUUUGACCGGUGGUCUCAUUGAAAACACGAUAGCCAUGUUGAUUAGUAGCAUAACCAAGUAAGAACCCUUCAUCAACCUUUGGUGCGAACUUAGAGCAUUUGGAUCUUUUAUUAAGUAUGAAACACUUGCAUCCAAGAACUCUAAAGUAAUCCACCUUAGGCUUUUUACCGGUUAGUAGCUCGUAGGCAGUUUUCUUCCUCAACUUGUGGAGGUAUAGGUGGUUGAUAGCGUGACAUGCCGUGUUAACAGCGUCUGCCCAAUAGUCCUUUUCAAAGAUCUUGUAUUCAUCCAACAUUGCUCUUGCGGCUUCAAUGAGUGUUCGGUUCUUCCUUUCCGCCACACCGUUUUGUUGUGGAGUAUAUGCAACCGAGAACUCAUGCUUGAUGCCUUCUUCAUCAAGGUACGCUUCAAUGUUGGUGUUUCUAAACUCGGUUCCGUUGUCGCUUCUCACUUUCUUGAUCUUCACUUCAAACUCAUUUUGAGCCCUUCUUGCAAACUUCUUGAAGAUCCCUUGGGUCUCACUCUUGUCCUUCAGAAAGAAUACCCAAGUGAAGCGAGAAAAAUCAUCAACAAUUACAAAACCAUAUUUGUUACCUCCAAUGCUUAUGUAAGCAUUGGGUCCGAACAAGUCCAUGUGAAGUAGCUCAAGUGGUCUUGAUGUAGUCACAAUGUUCUUCGCGGGAUGCUUGGCUCCAACUUGCUUUCCCGCUUGACAUGCACUGAAAAUUCUAUCUUUCUAAAAAGAAACAUUUGUUAGUCCAAGGAUGUGUUCACCUUUUUGAAGGUCGGCCAAGUUCCUCAUCCCAACAUGGGCUAGAUGGCGAUGCCACAACCAGCCCAUGCUAGAUUUUGCCACUAAACAAGUCUCGAACCCUACUCCACUAGUUGUGAAAUCAACUAGAUAGAACUUGCCCUUUAGUUGACCCGUAAAAGCAAUAGAGGAAUCCGACCUUCUAGAGACUUCCACACCCUUAUCCGUAAAGAGAUAAUUGUAGCCCUUCUCACAAAGUUGUGAGACGGAUAACAAAUUGUAUCCCAACGAAUCCACAAGCAAAACAUUUGAAAUGGAAUUAUCAUUUGAAAUUGUAAUUUUACCUAAACCAAGGAUAUCUCCUUUACUAUUGUCACCAAAGACAAUCCUUUCACUUGUGAUUUUACUUGGUUGAAAGGAGGUGAACAUAUUCUUCUCUCCGGUCAUGUGAUUGGUGCAUCCACUAUCAAGCACCCAACUUGGCCCACCAGAGGAAUAGACCUGCAAGAGAAGAUCAAGCCUUUGUUUUAGGUCCCGAGUUGGAACCUAGGGGGUUAGACACAAAAGAUUUGGGGACCCAAACACUCCUCAGGAUUUGUCUCUUCUUGAGGGUGCCCACGUAUUUCACAACAAUCUUCCCAUCCUUGUCCCAACAACACAUGUAGUCACAAAUGUGAUUACGUGAGAUAGGUGCUUGUUGCUUGGACACUUCCACUUGCUUCUUCUUGAUGAUCUUGUUGUCUUCAAGUGGGAUUGUAGGAGUGGCAACAUUGUUCACCUUAUCAACAAGGUCAACAAGAGGCACACUCUUGUUGAACUUCACACAAGCCACCCCAUUUAUCAUUUUUCUCCCAUUGGCCUUACCAAUGUACUGAUUAUAUCCGAGGCCAUCCUUGAUUAUGGGGUGCCUGGAUGCCUUGAACACAUUUACCGGCUGCUUGUCCUUGCACUUGCAACCAAUCUUGACAAUAGUGUUCAGUCUUUGAAUUUCUUUGUCCUUUUUGGCUAACUCAUCAAGGUUAGAGACACAUGCCUUUAUGUCAACAUUUAUGCAUCUUUCACAGCUUUUACUUGUAGAAGCCUUUGAACCCUUGGAAGCGGUAGAGGUGCUAGACCAAAGCUUUUCAUAGUUUAGUUCAAGCUCAUGAUAUUUUGUUGUCAAGCUUGUGAGGCUUUCUUGAGCCAAACUAUGAUCAUUCUUUAGGCUAGUCAAAGAGCCAUUGAGUGAGGAAUGUUCCUUAGUCAAUCGCUCAUUGGAGUCUUUGACUAGAGACAAUUCUACACCCAAUUUCUCAACCCUCUUCUUUUCCUUGGAGAGACAUACUUCGAGCCCUUGGUUCUUCUCCCUUUCCUCUAGGAGCAAUUCGCCUUGUGACUCGAUGCAUGACUCAAGCUUGUCAUUAGCGUAUAUUAGCUUUAGAAUUUUAGUUGCAGCAGUUUUACCAUAUUUUUUAAUGAGAUUGUUAGCAUAGUUUUCAUCAUCUUCAUUAUCACUAUCAUAAUCACCAGUUGUUUGAGGAGAGGAGUCAGUUUGUACCUUGUCUCCUUUUGCCAUAAGGCAUGUAGGAGUGUCAUCAUCGUCAUCGGAGAGGUUGGCGAAGAGCCUAGGGGAUGAGUAGGUGCCGGAGAUGAGCGCUGUAGAUGAGACAAUGUUGGUGAAGAUCUCGGUUGAGGAGGAUCUUUCUUGUACGGCGAUGGCAGCUAUACUCUUCUUCUCAUUGUCAUCAUCAUCACUGUCACUGUCCGAUUGCCAUUCUUGCCCAAGGUGAGCUUCCCCUUUCUUCUUGUCCUUGUACUUCUUGUCACUUUGCUUGUUGUAUCUUGACUUCUUUCCUUUGUUGGGACAAUCAGCUGCAAGAUGGCCAGUGUCACCACACUCAUAGCAAAACCUCUUCCUAUAUGGUUUGUUUCCCCCAUAUCUCCUCAUCUUAUCUUUCUUCAUUCUCAAAUAUUUCUUGUAAUUUCCCACUAGCAUGGCUUGUUCUUCAUCAAGAUCAUCAUCAUCUUUGUGCUUGUGCUCACAACAUCCUUUGUUACAAUGACUUGACUCACUUCCAUGUGAAGCCGUGAGUGCUAUAUUCUUCCUUUUGAUUUAGGGCUUCUUUGGCUUCAUCAUCCAAGACCUCAUGAUGCAUCAACUUUGCUAGCAUUUCUUGAGGAGUCAUAGUGUGAUAGUUGUCUUUCUCCAUGAUGACGGAUGCAAGCAUGUUGUUCCUUUGUCUAUGCACUCUACAAAUCUUUCUUGCUGCAGAGUUAUCAUCCCAUGUUUUUGCUCCAAGUGCUCUAAUUUGAUUGAUCAAUGACAUGAAUCUAUCAAACAUGGCUUUUGUUGUUUCUCCCUCAAGUAUGCAGAAGUUCUCAAUCUUACUUUGUAGAAGCUCAAUGUUUCCUACUCUUACACAUUUGUCUCCCUCAAAUGACACCUUCAAGGUGUCCCAAAUCUGCUUAGCAUUCACCAUACCAUUUACUUUGUUGUUGUCUUCUGGGGUAAGACAUUGUAGAAUCAAGGUGGCAGUUGUUGCAUUAAGAUGAAAGUCUCUCUCAUCUUCGGGAGUCCACUCAUUUGGAUCUUGCGGUGGAUUCACACCAAUGUCCACUACUUCCCAGCAUCUUGCGGCAAUGAGAUGUAACUUCAUUCUAUGAGCCCAAUCGGUGUACCUUAUACCAUCAAAUGGAGGUGGCUUUCUAGGGUUGAUCAUUGGCAAUGUUGAAUUCUUGCUCGAGCUGCUAUAAUCAAACCCAGUCUUGUUGUAGGUCUUUGACACCUUGCUAGCAUCUUCAUUUCCACCUUCACUAUCCGACUCGUGAUUCUUUUUACCUAGGAGUUCUUUCAUCUUGUCUAGCUCUUCUUGCAUUUUCUUCAUUUGGUCCUUCUGCUGCAGCUGCAAGGAUGCUGUGAUCUGUGCUGUGAUUUGCUCAACCAUUUGUUGUUGAGUUGUUGGAUCCAUCUUGGCCAAUGUUACUCCUCACGCGGUUAAGCGUAUGAACGAGGAACCUUGCUUUGAUACCAAUUGAAAUGACCUAAUUGGCCUAGAGGGGGGGUGAAUAGGCCUUUUGAUAGAAUCUGAAACUCACAAACUUGAACUUGCAAAAGUUAGUAACCAGACCGGAAGUUCCGGUAGUCUGGAUCGGAAGUUUCGGUCGGCUUGAUCAGAACUUCCGGUGUAGACUUCCUGAGCUUCCGGUUACCUAAAGAUACUGCAAAAUCUAAGAAAAGACAAGGGGGAGUUCAGAUCUAGUGUCACCACACACUCCUGGAGAUUGUUGAAGUUGGUGUUGAACUUCACCGACUUCUUUUCACUCCUAGUUGCGGAUCCAAGAAUAUCACCCUGUGAAAUAGGAGGAGGAAAGGACAGACAACAGCUCACAAAGCAAGAGGGUGGUCGAAGCCACCGCCACAGUAGGACAAGAGAUUUAAUCCGAGGUUCGGCAAUCUCCACUAAGGAGUUCCUACGUCCUCGUUGUUGAGGUGACCACUAAGGUCUGACCACGAAGGUCUCCUCUCUCAAGCAACCACAAAGGUUAACUUAAGAUAUCCACUAAGAGUCAAGAGGUAGUUACAAACACUUCGGGGUGCCCUCACUAGUAAAUCAACACGGGCAACCAUGAAGAACACCUAGCCGGCUAGGGUUCAGAGAACCCAAGAGUAAUAAACACAAAACCAGCCUGCAAGAAGGGGAAACCAAGUGCUCAAGUCGUAGAUCUAUGCUCCAACUCUCUAAUCUCACUUCCCUAGCUCAAACAAUCUGGAUUGAGAUUCGAAGACAUAGGGGGAGAGAGAGUAGGUGAGUCACAGCUUAGACAGGAUGGAAGGCUCAGCUAGAGAGUUGUUCUGAUAUCUCUAACGGUUAGAAAGAGAUAAGGAUAUAUAUAAAGGAAGGUACCGGAACUUCCGAUAACAAGUACCGAAACUUCUAGUUUACUCACGACUAACAGAAAGUGCCAGUACAGGCACAUUGGAACUUCUGCUCACUGACCGGAAGUGAAAAACGAAACGCGAGACGCUCCACAGAAAACUUACAUCGCGGACUUCCGGUCCUGGACCGGAACUUUCGGUCAGCCACUGGAAGUGAAAGCUGAGACGCGAGACGGUCCGCAGAAAACUUACAGCGCGGACUUCCGGUCCUGGACCGGAACUUCCGGUCCGUACCGGGACUUCCGGUCAGCCAUCGGAAGUGAAAGCUGAAACACGAGACGUGACCCUAAGGCUGUCGGAACUUCCGGUCUGAAUGACCGGAACUUCCGGUCUGCUAACUCCGCUAAGAAAGGCACCAGCAAUGAGAGCACUUUUAUCCCCACUUUGCCAACCAGAUUCAUGUCCCUCUUGAUAGUGCGGCGUUUCCUAUUACCCAAAAAGAAAGAACAAAGUUGAAGACAGGGUCGAAACGUCUUUAGUCCGUAUGAGCUGCAGGUUACCGAAGGUUCUUUAUUUAACUCCAUCAAAUAGGCUAUUUCCUGUAGAUUUGCACUUUAAGAGCAGAUUAGUCCCUAAGUUGAUUAUCAUUAAUUAUCCAAAACCCACAAUGGGAGCGAAUGCACUUACAUCGCCGAUAUAGCGUGCAGACGAAUCUGAUCGGCUUCUUCUAUCUCCUUCAUGUCUUUAUCGGCAGAGCCUUCCACUGGCUUCUGCUUCUUCUUCAUCUGCAGCGCCUUGCGAGCUUGGACGUUUCGCUCUUGUUCAAGGGUUUUGAUCGUCUCGGGCAGCUGACUUUCCUCCUGUUGAGCUUGGGACAGAGCCUCUUCUACUUGUUUAAGCUCCGCCAACAGGGUUUCCCUUCUUGCCGAUAGGUCAGAGAUCUUUGUUUCAGCACAUCUCCUGAGGAUUUCAGAAUGUCGAUGCUCUUGUGCUUUUCAUCGGCAAGGUGCUUUACCUUCAUUACCUCCUCUGAAUGCUGAGCAUGGGCGACUCUAUCGGCAAGGCGCUGAGUGGCCUUUUGGUACUGGAGCUGUCGACUCUCCAAGUGUGCAGCCUUGAAGAGGAUUUCCUCGCGGCAUCGGCAGGGAUCUGGCCUCUGAGAGCUUUAAACAGAGCCUUGGCUGGAUCGGAGUCAUCAACUAGUUGGGCUGUAUCUUGAUGAAGCAGGGCCAGCAGAUCUUCCAACUUUGCUCUGAUUUCUGUCGAUGAAAUACCGAAUUCUUGAGAAGAGCUUGCUUCCUCGCCAUCAUCAUCGGAAACUUCGAUUGCAAAGGAGAAUAGGCUGUCGGGAGAAUCUUGUUCCUGAAAAGAAAAGGAGAUAGGUUAUUUGAUGAUGAAUAUUGGUAAAAUAAAGAGUGAUGAUCAAAUAGCUUACUUGUUUCAGAGCUAUUUCUCGCCUCUAGCUAGUUGAGGCUGAUGGUACUAUGGGUUGAUCGACCGGAGUUGCCGAUGAAACAAUGUCAGCUGUAAAAUUAACAGGGGUAAUUAUAAGAUGGAAAGAUAGGUUCAUCGGCAAUAAUUUCAUAGAUAGUACUUUACCUUGAGGGGGUGCAGUGCUUGUCUGGAUGGAGGAGACCACCGAUGAAAUGAUUGAUCCCACUGGAUCGAUGGUCUGUUCAGGUAUAUCGGCUGAUAUUUCUUCUUGCUGAGGUAUCUCUUGUGGCUGAGGUGGAGAUGGUGCUUGCUGCAUCUGGAUUUCUAGAGAAGAAGGGGAUGAUUCCACUUGAAUCGGUGACCCUAGGGGAGGAGGAGGCGUCGCUGUUCUCUGACGCUUUGCUUGUGACUUGGUACUCUUGGGGCCCUUUCUCUUUACUUGGCUGGACUGGGGGGCAUCGGCACCCGUCUUGGUACUUCUGGUCUUUGCCGAUUUGCUGGUUUGUUGAUACAACAAUAAAAAUUUUAUAAGUACAAGGGUAACAGAGUAUUGAUGAAAUUUUGGUUGGGACGGUAGAAGUUACUGAUGAAGUUCCCUUAGCAGCCGAUGUGUCCUGAAAAAGUUGUGUAAGUAUAAAAUUGAAUCGGUAUAAGUUAAAAAGUAAAGAGUGUACCUUGAAAGCUUGUGCCAAAGCAGUAGCGGCUACCGAUGGGGAUGUCUUCGCUCGCCUGGUGGUAAUUUUCUUGAAGCGCACACCCCGGUGCAUUAAAGCCGCCAAGCUUAGUGCGUUGUUGCUGAUCAAAGAGAUCGGGCCUGAUGGGAGAAGUUCGAUCGGCCUACCACUUCUGCUGACCGACGGUGGAGUAUCAUCGACCUGUGUAAAAUAGAGGAAGUAAGUUGCCGAUAAAAGCAAAAGUAACAAGAUUGAGGCAUCGGUUGAAAACUUACAGUGUUAUCGGGGACCUUGUACGCGGAGUCGAUCAUACCGCGGUAUGUGAGAGUCGAUCUGCAGAACAAGUGCUCCUUCCAUUCUGCCCACCAUUGUUUGUACGCCUGGGUGAUGAAGAGAGCUGGGAUCCAGGCUGAUAGGUCGAUAUCUAACGUAUCGGCAUUUGGUGGAAGUUGGGCUAUUCUAAUCCACUCAAGACCAUUGGUGAUGGUUUCCCUUGGUUUUACCACAUCGGCGUAGCAAAGCGCAUUUGGCAGCUAUCCAAAAGCUAGUUGGUGAACUAGUGCCGAUGGGUUAUAAAACUCAUAGGUUAGGUUGGAGGCUUUCCCGCUACCGAAGAAGUUCACUAGUAUGGCUCUCGAAGUAAUGAUUGCCAUCAUUUGGUCUUGGUCCUUGUUGAGAGCAUUGUCAAAGGGGUGGAAAGUGAGUGGGAACCUAGUCUCUGGAUCCUCAUAAGGCAUCCAUGCCCGUUGAUCUUUGGCCAAACCUUCAUAGAGAGUCUAAAAGAAUCGGCUGACCUGGUCCUCAUUGCCACCAGUACCAGGAAGGACUAUGGUAGCUUCACCAUAGUUUAGAGGAGGGCAAGUUGCCAAUUCUUCUUCAUCCAACUCAUAAUCUUCGGCUAUGUCUCUUGGGAAACUCUGUGCGAAGAGGUCAAAUCCAAGGCGUUUAUGCAUAUGGACACUGAGCCACAUGUUGACAAACCACCAAGGUCCCCCUAAGUUGUCGAUAGAUUGGCCUAGAAGGAGUUUCUUGGCUACCUAAUGAAGGAGGUGAUAAGCAGCACCAAGCAGGUAUCGGCCAAGAGGAAAUCGGCCACCCUUGGCAAGUUUCUUCGCUGCCGAUAGAUAGACAGAGGUUGGUCCUGCCGAUCGCCCACAGAACACGAACUUAUCCAACCACAUGUUUAGGAAAAUUGCCUGCUCCCUCUCCCCGACAGAUCUUGUCUUUUGGUACUUCUGAAUAUAUCUAGACCAACCGCCGAUAGCGCGAGUUUCUACUUUAGCACUGGGCUUGGUGUCAAUCAGGUGAUUGCUAUCGGCAGUGGAUAUAUCUAAGCCGGUGAGCAUGAGUACAUCGGCAAGAGUGGGUGAAGCAGGGCCAUGGCCGAAUAUAAAAGCAUUGAGCGUGUCUGACCAGAAAUACGAGGCAACUAUCAGCAGUGACUCGUUUCUCUCCAUAUCGGCAAGAGAUAGUCUAAUGCACUGAUCUAGUUUCCGUUCACCCCAAUGAACUUCAUUUGAAUGGCUGACUCUCAAGAACCAGUCUUUCCAUCCCUUGGUAGGACUGGGCCAGGAACGAAAAGCAUCUUUCCAUAGAUCUAAAGAAAAGUUUUCAGCUCUAAAGGGGAUUCUAUUUGUCUCUGCAUUUAUUAGAUCGGUGGGAUCUGGGUUUCCUAACGGACCGAGACAUUGGAAGUGAGGUUGAUCGGUAGGAAUUACGAUCUUAUCGGCCAAAUCCUAAAAAAGUUUUGAGGAAGGAAGAACAGAAAGAAAAAGGGAGUACUCAGUAAAAGAAUUGCAGAUGAACAGGAAUACAGCAAAAGUAAAAAGGAAGAGGGAUGAUGAACCAACCUCGGGGACGAUGAAGUUGAUGGCCAUUUCUUCUUGAGGGAAGGAGAAAUCGAAGGCUUUGAGAGUUGUUGGAGAAGAUCCUUGUUGAAGUUCUCGGAGUUCUCAGGCAAUGCCACCGCCAGGAAAGUGGAUUUUGAGCUGUAGAAUGAUAAGAUGGGGGAGGAGUACCGGAGAAGGAAGUAUUUAUAGGACAAAACGGGCAGGGGCAAAUCUGACUUAUCUCUUUGCCGCAUCCGUGAAAUCUGAGGGUGUUUAGGUGGAUAUGGUAACUGUUCGCACGGUAAUUAAGGGAUUGUGCAGGUGAUUUGACGGCAAGCGGUCAUAAUUUUGAAGAUAUUUCACUGUGCAAGAUCGCCUGGUCGGCCCAUCGGCAGCUUUCUCUAACGGUAAUAUUGCCGAUGAGCGCAUAAAGUAGAGAGAUUUGGUUGAGAGGUUGAGAAAUUCGAGGAAUCUGCAGAAGAAUCGGGCUGAGGUUCUUUAGAUUUGGCGACUGAUUAUCAAAUUAGGAGAAAUAAUUGCGGAAAGGUGUUAUUUCUGCAGAGAAUUUUGGAGCAUUAAUGAUUUUAUACUCCGAAAUUGGGGGGCAUGUGUUGACAUCGUUUUUUGACAUGUGUCUCUAGAUACGCAUCUGGAGUUAAUGAAGCGUAGAUCGGCAGAUUAGGCGAUGGUGGCUAAUCUACAGGGAGGUUGCAGAUGGAGGAUGGUGCCGAUGGAGAAACAAUUGAAUAUGACUAAGUCCAGGGGUGGUGAUGCCGAUGACCAGUGCCAGUGUUUACCGAUGGAUGCAACAGGCAGUCUGUCGAUGACUCUGAAGAAAAGCGCGGAGGUUAUCGAUUGAUUCGUAGCGGUGUCCCGAUCGGUUACGGGGGAUAGUUUAAUGUUUUCCUUAGUUAUUAAAAUUUGUUUUGUAUACGGCUUCUGUUUAAUUAAGAAUUUGAGUCCUAGUCGUGUCUGGUUGUAAUUCUUCAGACAGGGUAUAAAGGUAGACCCUAGAGCAAUGUAAUGAGACAAUCUAUCAAUCAAUCAAACACAAGUUUUUACUCAUAUUCCAGCAUCUACUUUUUCGACGACUUCGUCACAUUUUCUUUUUACUACGAGUUCUUAUGAAUUCGUCGAGUCAAACUCGACGUGUUCUCAAGUUCCGCAUGAUCACCUCUUGGCCGUGAUAUCCGGACGUAUCGCUGUUGUCGGGACCAAAGUGGUCGAGUUACCACCUUUGUCGAUUGUAAGGUCAAAUCGGAUGGCACACCUUAACGUUUGAAUCGGGUAUUAGCCCUUUGUAUUUGCAGAUCAGCUUUUGCACCAACACAUACAAGCUCAUCAUAUCAUUAAACUGUUAUUUUAGUAGCAAAGCAAAAAUACCAGACUUGUGCUUCAUAGUUGAUCAGUGGACAUUCGAGCACACAUGUAUAUUCAAAUGAUAAAUAUAUCUCAGGACGUAAACGAGAUACUACAUGCAUGCUUAAGGUAAUUGAUAUAUAUUUCUAAAUAGCGGGUAGCAGCUUUGACGAGGAUAAUCCACACGGGCGCAGACGAUUCUAUGCAAUUGAUGAUGAAAUAGCAAAGUUAUAGUUUAGUGGGUACCUUCGUAACGAGCAUCCAGAUAUUUAUCCUUGAGGUUGUCCAGUCGCUGCCGCAGGGACGAAGGGAUUGACUUUAUACCUGGGCAGUCAUUAAUUAUAAGCUCACAAAGAGAUGAGUAUGCUUGUGGCCCAUUGGGCAAGAAUGGUGCGAGGCUUUCGCAAUCUUGAAGAAAGAGGCGUUCCAGCAUCUGGAGCUCUCCGGAGGUAGAUUCCAGUGAUCUCAACAUUGUCCAUGUAUCAAUGUCUAGUGUUCGGAGUGCAUCCAGCUGACCCGAGAGGAGUUGUAGUUUGUGGCAUUCCGAAAUAUCUAUUUUUCUGAGGGAUGGUGGAAGGUUGGCAACCUCUGACAAGCUGCCACACUGCCAUAUGAAAAGAGAUUCAAGGCAUCGAAGGAAGUGAUCCUGACUGGCCGAUGAAGACAGCUCUGGUACAGCAGCUGUGGAUGCCAUGACGUCAGUGGUAGGCCCUUGAUUCCAUGUCGUCUUGUCCUGUGCUUGCCGAAUAUGGACUUAAAAGUUUAGGACACCUCCGAACCUCCAUUUUCGGACUCCAUGUGUUGGUUGAUGGCAAGUUCAGGACUGACAAGACCUACGGCUUCAUGGGUAUGCACAAAUGUUUCUUUCUUGGGUAUGGCAAUUUAACAUUUCUCAUUUACUCUUUUUUUUUUGAUGUAAACAGGAGGGGAAUCCCCCUACUGUGCUUUUAUUGAUUAAUAAAAAGAAGGCAGCUGUACAUAGUCUCAAGAAACAAAGAAGGAAAGGAAAAAUAUAAGCCAAAUUACACAUAAGCUUCUAGUCAUUGACAUAAAAGAGGGACUAAACUACUCUUUGCUCGAAGAAUAACUUGAGCAAAUUCUCUUUUGAAAACAGCCUUGCAGCUUUGGAUUGAGGGCUGAGCAUUCCUGAAAAUUGCAUCAUUCCGGACAGACCAAAUUGACCAACACAUGGUGACAAUAAUUUCCAUGAAGAAAGGCUGUUGGAUUUGCUGUCUAAAAGACUCCAGAGUUGCGAAGGGAUCUGUUAUGCAGUUAUGUUGUCUAUUUGCAGAUGUCAUUUCCAUUCCAAAGACUGGUGAGAACUACAGAAUUCUCUAUGACACCAAGGGUCGCUUCCGUCUUCACUCUGUUAGGGAUGAGGACGCAAAGGUGAGCACUAGCUGAGGACAUAAUGUAAUCUCACACUAAUCCUUGGCAAGGAAUGCAUAUGGAAAUAUAAGUUUGAAUGCUGUGCUUUGUCAGUUGAUGGUUCAUUGUACCGGCUUGGUUAUUUGAACAGUUUAAUUUUCCUUACAUUCUCUGGAGUUCACUUUUGUAAGGAUAGCAAUAUUAUUCCUUUAGAAACAUAACUCUGAUAUGUAGUUGACAAUGUGUAUUCUUAAUUGCACUUUUAGUUAGAACUUAGAACUCAUUGUGAUGUAUCAACUGUUGCUAUUCUACAAACAAUCGUGAUUAUUAUGUUUCUACCUCUUAUUUUCGUGCAGAAUUUUUAUUACCGAGAUUGUAAAAAAUUGUCUCUUACUGCAGUUCAAGCUUUGCAAGGUCCGUUCUGUCCAGUUUGGUCAGAAGGGCAUUCCGUAUCUGAACACAUAUGAUGGGCGCACCAUCCGCUAUCCUGAUCCUCUUAUUAAGGCAAAUGACACAAUCAAGAUUUAUCUGGUGACAAAUAAGAUCGUUGAUUUCAUCAAGUUUGACGUGGGCAAUGUCGUUAUGGUACACUAGUACAGACGGUUCGCAACCCCUUUAUUCAGGCGGAUUGACGAACUGCCAGUGGCUAUAGGCUUGUAGAAAUAAAAGUUUCCACAGGCGGUUAACUGAGAACCGUCAGGCGGUUCAUUUAUGUGAGCCGCCUGUAGAAAUUCUACAGGCGGUUCUUAUAACAGAACCGCCUAUGGUAAGAUUUUCCAAUUUAACAUAAUUUCCAAAUUUUCCUGCAAACCCUAUUUUUAAUAUUAUAAUAUAUAUAUAUAUAUAUAUAUAUUAUAUACAUUAAUAUUGAAACUAUGUUAGGCUAGAAGAUUCAACCAAUACAACAUGCAAUAUAUUUAUAUAUAUCAUUACUUUGUACAUAAAAUUAUAUUAAUUACAAAUAUCACACAUCAAAGUUUUUUGUUCACAGACAUAUGAGGUUUCACAUUAGAAACCUCUGCUCUAAUAACCCGAUCGAGAUAGCUUUAGCCUACUAAUAUCUCUUAGCGCUCUAAACUCAGGCUUUGCAAGGACGCUGGUCGGGUCGUGAUAUUCUCCUUCGGUGGGAAUGGCUUCUCUCAAGAGAAAAGUGCAGAGGUCCUCAACUAUGUUGUAUAGAACAGUUUCAGUCACGCUCUUCGUCUUUUCCAACUCAUGUUGCUGCAGAGGAAGUUAGAAACAUCAUAAAUUUAUAGUUCAUAUAACACAUGCUUAGCAACAAAAAAUGACACAAUUAUAUAAACGACUAUUAGAGCAAUACCUUAGAAGGGUUAGUUACAUAUCUUCCGGUCUCUCUCAUGAACUCGCAGACGUAGAAUCCACAGUGGACCGAUCGACUGGUUGCUUAUGGCACUGAUGUAUGACAAAAAAGUGGAUAUUUAUUAGUUGCAACAUCGUCAUAUGCAUAUUAUAUUUAUAAAAGACAGUUUGUGAUAUUUUGGUACGUACCGGCCAUUUAUAAAAUAAUCUCAAUGGCUGCCCCGGUUCUGAUGAAUUGCACCUUCCACCUUUGAUCUUAUAAUACCUAUAGGCCCUAUAGUAUCGAAUACACAAUCCUCAAGUUAUUCUGAAACUCUCAUAAAAGUAGGUAUGAAUAUUUAAUGUACUCAAUGUUGACGGUUCUUAAGUAUCAAUUUUAAUUAUCAAAUAAACAAGGGAAAGGACCAAUAUACAAACAACACCUAGAAUUAGGGUUUGAUCUGACAGAAUUCCAUGAGUUUUGUUGUUUAUCUGUUUCUGCAGGGGGUUAUCAGGAAAUAAGGAAGAAAGGCCCACAUGUCGGGAUUACAUAGAGAUAUUAACGCACCGCGUAAUUUUCUACCAUCUAGAAGACUCCAGAAGCCACGGGAACGAACGGGAAGGCGAUCGGGCCAGGGGGCAGGGCACCCGCCCUGGUGUUGUGCCCAAUCAUGUCCAAACUCGUGGAUCAUGCUCCACCAUCCUAAAGGAUCAAGGAUAACCGUUCAAUCAAUGUCGGUUUGAUCCAACAGCCCACGUUCACCUGAGAGGACUAUAUAAGCAGACCCCCUGGCCCCUGGAGGAGAACAAGUUCAUCAUAGAGUUGAGAGGUGCCCUCGAAGGAUAACCUUUCCUCUAAAUAGACUUAGGGCUUAGCAUCUAAUGUGAGUAGACUAGAUCUACUAGAUUGAGAGAGAUAGAGUGGAGGUGUAGAUCGGAGAAAGCCCGGCAUGUCGGUGUCUACUCUGAGGUUGUGCCUGCGGGAUCAAGUUCUCCUAACUCGAAGCUUGCUCCUAGGAUUCUUCAGUAUUUCAACUUCUAAAUACUAGUAAGUUCUUGUUUUAUUGUUCUUUGGUUUAUGAGUUUACUUUAAUCUCUUCGCAUAGAGUUUAGAGUAAUCAUCUCUAGCGUAGGCGCGGUGUUUGGGCUAGGAUACUCAUAGAUAUCCCCUGACUAGCUGGACCAUGGUAGUAGCGAGGAACGUGACAUUUCCGAGUUACCUUUGCAACUCAUAUCCCGUUAGUAGGAUCGAUAGGGUUUAUAGGUGCGGGUUGAACAUCCUCUGUGGUGUCUAGAUUCCGUGAGCCUCCCCAACAGAACAGUAGAUUAUCCUUACCAGGGUUAGAAUGAGAUUAAGGUUGUAGUCUUCUCUAUAUAUCGCUCACAUCGAGAAACAUUCUUUGUAGCCUAAAGAUUAGUAGUAAUAGACCGGGUUAGUCAGAUGCACUCUUUCUCCUAGUGGUAAAAAUAUAAAUACGAUACUCUGGAUAACAUCCCGAGUGAAGUGCUCACCGAUAUCCGUACGCUUGCGGAUGAAUUCCUUAUUGCGUUCCUAAAUAUCAACAAGCAUUUCUAGCGCCGUUGCCGAGGAGAAAGACGAUUUGCUGAGAUAACCUUGAGUCUUACUACUAGCUUGUAUUUAUACUUUUAUCUUUUCUUAUCUUUUUAUAUUCUUUACUUUCUUUAUUCUUACCUUAUGGAAAACCAAGAUUCUAAAUCAAUCUAUCAAUUUGCAACACCUUCGGAGACUGACCUUUUACCAUGGGAGUCAUCAUAGCCUAUCCAAACAUCCCAGUAUAAGUUAAGUUCCAGGUUGAUUGCUAUGAUUCAAAACCUAUCUCUUUCAGGAAAGGAAGACGAAAACCCUUACCAUCAUAUUAGAGAUUUUGAGCAAACAUGUGAUUGUCUUCGCAUUGAAGGCAUUUCUGAUAAAACUUUACGUUGGAAGCUUUUUCCUUUUUCUUUAAGGGGAGAAGCUAGACAAUGGUAUAAUCAGAAUGUAAGUCAACAACGAGGUGAAUGGGGAGUUUUACGAGCCAACUUUUGUCUAGAUUUUUAUUCCCUCGACCGAAUCAGAGACCUUAGACUCGAAGUCCUAUCUUUUAAACAAAAAGAUAAUGAAACUUUGGGAAAAUCCUGGAAACAUUUUUCUGAUCUUUUAGAAUCUGGUCCAAACCUUAAUCUUGAAGACCCUGUUCUUUUAUUUCACUUUUUUCGAGGUCUUCAGAAAGAUCGUAAACAAAUGCUAGAUACAAUGUCUAGAGGUUCUUUCUUUCGCAUCCCUACUGAUGAUGCUAGAGUGAUCCUAGAUAGAAUCCUAGAAGCUGAGAUGGAUAAUACCCUUCAUGAUGAAACCCACGAAGCCGAAGUAGACACUCUGCCAAAUUCUCCAUCUACUUUAGCUAUCCCAAGUUCUGAGCCACAAAAGGAAGAAAUUCCACCACCUGAUUUCAUGCUGGAUACAGAAUCUGAUCUUUUUGCCGAUUUUGGAAACAUUUCAAACUACCAUUCUAUUGACAAACCCCAAAACGGCCAUUUUAGCAUUUGUUUGCCAACUGAAUAUUAAUUGAGAGAGCUUAUCUCAGUCAUGAGUAGCGAAUGGUUGGAAGGGUUAGAGCUAUCCUCUGAUGUGAUCCGUUUGGACACACCUCCUAUAACUAUACGCUGUGCUUAUGAUUCGGAUCAAUUUGAUGCUCUCUAUAAUCCUGUUGUGGGGAUCAACGUCAUGUAUGAAUCUUUUGCACUUAAAUUAUUUAAAAAUUUGGUCUUAACCCCCACAACAAAGGUCAUAAAGGAAUCUUCGGGACGAUUAGUCCCCAGUCUUGGAAUCAUUAAUGUCCUACCCCUCAUGGUAGAAGGCUCCAUGGUUCAUUUGAACUUCUAUAUCUUUGAUACAUGGGACUUCGACCUGUUGAUAGGACAACCUUUUAGAAGACUCCUUUACGAAGGUCAUACUGGAAAACUACACAUUUCUUUUGGAAAAACUUCUAAAUUUCCAGUAACAAUUUCACACUCCUUAAAUAAUAAGGCUGAGUCAUAUCUUUUGCCUGAUCCUAUGGAGGAGGUAAAGGCUGCAUCUCUAGAGCUUUUAGAAGAACCAGACUUAGAAGACGAAGCUCCCUUCUUCACAGAAGAAGAAGCUGAACCAUCUGAACCUAAACCCUUAGACGAGUUUGCAGAAACGCCUAGACCUCCCAUAGAGGUUAAAACUUUACCACCCGGUCUUAUCUAUGCUUUCCUAAACAAUAAUCCAGAGUUUCCUGUGAUCAUUAGUGAUAAACUCACUCAGGAGCAAACUCUGGGAUUAAUGACCAUUCUUGAGAAACAUCACUCAGUUUUUGGCUACUCACUCCAAGAUCUUACAAGAAUCAAUCCUAUGAUUUGCACCCAUCGUAUUCCGACAGAUCCUUCUGUUUCACCUUCUCGAGAGCCCCAACGUAGACUAAAUAAUGCGAUGAGAGAGGUAGUUAAAAAGGAAGUUAUAAAGUUGCUGCAUACAGGGAUUAUAUAUCCUGUGCCGCACAGUGAGUGGGUGAGCCCAGUUCAAGUUGUGCCUAAAAAGGGAGGCAUGACUGUUGUUACGAAUAAAAAGAACGAGCUAAAUCCGCAACACACCGUCACAGGGUGGCGGAUGUGCAUAGACUAUAGAAAAUUAAACAAAGCCACGAGAAAAGAUCAUUUUCCUUUACCUUUCAUAGAUGAGAUGCUAGAGCGAUUAGCGAACCAUUCGUUCUUUUGUUUCUUAGAUGGAUAUUCAGGGUAUCACCAGAUCCCGAUCCAUCCCGAUGAUCAAAGCAAAACUAAUUUUACAUGCCCAUACGGAACUUAUGCUUACCGUAGAAUGUCUUUUGGGUUAUGUAAUGCACCAGCUUCUUUUCAAAGAUGCAUGAUGUCUAUAUUUUCUGAUAUGAUUGAAGAGAUUAUGGAAGUUUUCAUGGAUGAUUUCUCUGUUUAUGGAAAAACUUUUGAUAGUUGUCUUGAAAACUUAGACAAGGUUUUGCAAAGAUGUGAAGAAAAGCACUUAGUCCUUAAUUUCGAAAAAUGUCAUUUUAUGGUUAGGGAAGGAAUAGUGUUGGGACACCUAGUGUAUGAAAGAGGUAUUGAGGUAGAUAGAGCUAAAAUUGAAGUAAUUGAACAACUACCUCCACCUGUGAAUAUAAAAGGAAUUCGAAGCUUUCUUGGCCAUGCUGGUUUUUAUCGCAGAUUCAUAAAAGAUUUUUCAUUUAUUGCUAGAACACUUACUCUUUUGCUAGCCAAGGAUGCUCCUUUCGAAUUUGAUGAUGCAUGCCUAACAUCUUUCAACUUAUUAAAGAAUGCACGCAUCUCGGCACCAAUCAUUCAACCCCCUGAUUGGUCGUUGCUGUUGACGGUCGUUAAGUACUAAAAUUAAAAAUCAAAUAAACAUGGAAAAGGAUCAAUAUGCACCAAACAUCUAGAAUUAGGGUUUUAUCUGACAGAAUUCCACGAGCUUUGGUGUUUAUCUAUUUCUGCAGGGGGUUAUCAGAAAAUAUGGAGAGAAGGCCCACAUGUCAUGUUUACAAUGAGAUAAUUACGUGCCGUGCAAUUUUCCUCAAUCUGGAAGAGUCUAGAAGCCAGGGAACAAACGGGAGACCGGACGGGCUCGGGGGCAGGGCGCCCGCCCUCCCCCCUUGGGCGCCCGCCCUAGUCUCGGGGCCAAUCCGAACCAAACUCUUGGAUCGUGUUCCACCGACCUAAAGGAUCAAGGAAAACCGUGCGAUCAAUGUCAGUUUGAUCCAACGGCCCAAAUUCACUUGAAAGGACUAUAUAACCAAGGCCUCUCCACCUCUGGGGAAGAGAAGAGAAGAGGAGAAAUCAUUAUCAGAGGUAGCCAUCAAAGUUAGGGUUUAGAGCUUCUCUCCCACAGAGAAUUAGAAUUAGCUACUCCCUAAUCCUACAAGUUUAGAGGAUUGAUUAGAUAGCAAUUAGAGAAGUAGAGCACUACGCUAUGGAUUCGGAUCUUCGGUAAUAAAGAUUGGUAUUAUUCAUAUCUUUCUCUAAUACUUUGUUCUAAUUACAUUAUGUCUCUAUUUAUUAUGCUCUUAGUUUGCUCUAGUUCUAUAUUUGAUAUAGUUAUGAUUGAUAAUGAGUUUAUGUAUAAGUUUGCAAAGCGCUUAGCUCUUAACUCGAGGGAGUUAAGUGGUAGAUCACAUGUGGGCGAGGUGCUUAGAUGUUAUUUACCUGCAAAUGUAUCUUAUUGGCCGGGUCGUGUGGUAGUUCGCGAUAGUGACAGCUUCGUUGAUUCUUAUAUAGUCCACCCUCCGUCGAUAGGACAGGCAGAAUUUGUAUUACGGAGUAAGUCUUAUGAUGUUCUGAUUUACUUUAGCAAUGUUCCUUAUACAUGAAUGAAGAGUCUUUUAUGCUAUACAUGAUCUUGUAGAUAACUAGAGUAGAUUGUGACUUAGUAGAUAGUAGAUAACUUAGAAUCCAUUCUCUAGCUAAUCCGACGUCACCUACAUAUAUGAGGAGUAGUCUAUUUUCUAAUCGCUGUGUUAUUUACCCAUGAACUUAUAAUUCAUUAUCAUUAUCUUUAUGGUUUACCCCCUGCCAAAGUAAGUGACUGUGUCACGAGUUUCUCAUUAGUAAUCAUGUUCUUGCAAGUUUAUCUCUAGUCUAUACCGUGAUAGAUUUAAUCCUUAUUUUAAUUUCACCCCUUGUUCUCUUAAGCAAAAUUAUAAAUAACGAUACCUAGAAUACUUAUCCUGGUGAAAUGCUACAAUGAGGUGUUUUAUCUGUGCGCUUGCGGAUAGAAUAGAUUAUUUUCUAGAGAGCCUCCAUACUUAUAAAUACCUUUGUACACUCUCGCAUCAUGCUGGGGAUGACAACCUAGUAUUCUAGUGGUGUUAGCUAGUGUCAACAAGCAUUUCUAGCGCCGUUACCGGGGACCAAAAGGGUAAUACAUAGGAACGGUAAGGAAAGUCAGGAAAUCAGUCAAGGUUAUUCACAUAAAACAUUAGACUAGACUAUAGAGAAAUAAUUGCAUAAAACAGCUACUAAGUGAGAAAUCAUAACAAGGCACCUCUGCUUUGGUAGGUUCACCUUGUUGUUUUUCUAUGUUUAUAUUUUUAUACAGGGUAUAUUAGGAUUGACUUUGGGUACAUUCAACUCUUCAUCAUCAGAACCAAAGCAAUCAAGAAAGAAAGAAGAAGCUAGCUACCAAUUGCUGAAGCUAUGGCACAGAAGACCCUGCAAGAAUUCUCUGCUCCAAGUCUUGAGAACAUUCCAACUGGUCCAAGAUUUGCAGUAGAAGGAGUACCCGAGUUUGAGCUCAAGUCAAGCCUCAUCAAUUUGGUGCAAGCUACACAAUUCAGUGGAAAGGCACAUGAAGAUGCUAGUGCACACUUGCAGAAUUUCUUAGAAAUUGGAAGCACAAUCCACAUCAACGGAGUUGACAAAGACGUCAUACUGCUUCGCCUUUUUCCAUUCUCACUAGAAGGGAAAGCAAGGAAGUGGUUCUACACUCAUCAAGAUAACAUCAACAACUGGACGAACUUGUCAAAUGCCUUUCUAUCAAAGUUUUUCCCUAUAGGCAAAACAACUACCUUAAGAGGAAAUAUUGUCAGUUUCCAACAGCAGAAGACAGACACCAGAAGCAUGGGAGCGUUUUCAAGGAUACAUAUCAGAUUGUCCUCACCAUGGAAUGGCCGCAUGGUUACUUAUGCAAACCUUCUACCAUGGAUUAACCCAGAAGGCUCGUGAGUGCCUAGAUGCAUCUGCUAAAGGAUCAUUCUUGGAGCUUACAAUUGGAAAAGCAGAGAUACAUUUGGAUAAGAUAGCAGAAAACCAAAGCUAGUUCCAAGAUAAAGCUCAACAAUUUCAUCAAACUGAAGAAAUACCAGAAGAAGUAAAUGCAUUAUCAACCAAGAUGGAAAAUUUGCUCCAUUGGAUUGACCAGAGGGCCAAGUUCAAAGAAGAUCAAAGGGCCAUUGAGACAACAUACAAAUAUCAACCCACUUCGAGUCAACCCAAUAGCAAAGGUAUGAAUUCAGGUAACACUUUCAAGCAACUUUCAUUAAAAGAGAUAAUUGCUCAACAAACCAAAAUUAAUGAUGAAGUUAAACAAAGGCUAGAUACAAAUGAAUCAUCUCUAAAAGAUAUACACAAUAAAAUGGAUUUUCUAUUAACUGCCUUUGAUGAGCAAAACACUCUUAAUAAAAGGGUAGAGCUUAAAUUAAUAAAGUUAGCUGCUGCACUGCCUGUUGCUACUAACAUUGAGCAGGUAAAGAAUAUAACUACUAGAGGAGGCAAAGCCACCAGGGAUCCCCCAUACCCAAAAGAGAAACAAAGAACAUCAGCACCAGUGCAACCAGCAGUGAUAGAAGAAGAAAGUCCAACUGAAGCAGAAGAUCUGCUACAACCACCAAGAGCUGGAGAAAUGAGGAAAGAUUUUCACGACACCAACUAUUUGCCAUUUCCUAGAAGAAACAGAGGACUGCAGUCGGAUGAGCAGUUUGGUAAGUUUGUAGAGGUCAUUCAGAAAUUAUAUGUCAACAUACCUCUACUUGAUGCCAUAUAGGUACCCACAUAUGCAAAGUACAUCAGAGAUAUUCUUAACAAGAAGAGACCACCGCCCACCACUGAGGUUAUGAAGUUGACAGAAGAAUGUAGUGCGGCCAUCCUCAAUAAACCACCAAGAACGAAGAAGGAUCCAGGAUGCCCCACUAUUGAUUGCUCAAUCGGAAACCAACACUUCAAUAAUGCACUUUGUGAUCUCAGAGCAAGUGUCAGUGUGAUGCCAGCAUCAGUCUACAAAAAGCUUGAGCAUACGACCCUAGAACCAACAUCAAUGUGCCUACAACUAGCAGAUCAAUCAGUUCGACAUCGCUGAAAACAUUCCAGUCAAGAUCAGAGAUUUCCUUGUGCUAGUAGACUUCGUGGUACUGGACAUGAGUCCUGACUCAAAAGUGUCCAUUAUCCUUGGAAAGCCAUUUCUGAGCACCGCCAAUGCCCACAUUGAUGUCGAGAAAGGAGAAAUCAAGUUCAAUAUCAACGGAAAAGAAGAACACUUCACAUUCAAGCCCAGACCAGAGAGAGACUCUACAGUGAAGGAAGUUCAUGAAGAAGAACCACUGGAGACACCAUCUCUGGAGGACGGUAAUUCAGAAGAUUAAAAGAUUUGGAGGUCCAGCUCGGGGGACCUAAAAAUCCCAAACCCUCACCGGGAGGUAAAUCGGUAUUUAUCCACAUUGUUUAAAUUCUUGCAUAAUUAAUUCUUGCAUUAGUCAUAUUUAUUCAUAGCAUUAUUAUAAUAAUAAAAAGCCAAUAAUAUUUAUGGUGUGUAAUAACCCAUAUUUAUUAAUUAUUGUGGAGGCACAAAAAUAUUUUUCCAUUAUCAUUUCAAUAAGUUUUAAUUCUCAUAGAUUUUUCUGCAUUAUAUUUAAUCAUAGCAACCUUCUAGAAGCAUGACCCACACUCCUUGGGUCCCACAUGUCAUACACCAUACCUCACAUACAUCCCAUCACAUUAUUUGAUCCACCAACAUAACUCCACUCACUAGCACUUUUCCACCGGCCAACCACCACCCAUGAUCCAUUAUUUUGCGUAAGAGUUAAGCAAAGAAGGGAGUGGAGAAAGGGCAGCCAGGAUGGGCACCAAAGGUGGGCGCCCGCCCACCUAUAGAGGGCGCCUGCCCUGUCCCCUCUUCCUCCUAUAAAUUGCCACCUCCUGCCUCCAUCUCCAUCACACAAGCAUUCCAGAAAACCACGCAAGUUUCAGUUUCCAGAGAAGGAGCUCUUGUAGUGAAGAGAGAAGAGAGUAGAGAGGAAGAGAAGAGUGGGAAAGAAGUUGGAAGUUUUUGAGUAAGAGAGUGAGUUUCACCUAGUAAGUAGUGAUCCUGCUGUCCAAAGCGGAAGUAAAAGUUGUUAGGGGAGGUUCUGCCAAAAUAAAAACUUGUCUUGAAUGACUAACCCCUAGACUACUGACAUUCCGGACAGCUGACCACUAAUAUUUUCUCUCACAUUUUCCACUAGUUGUGUUUUUGCCAACUUUUGUUUACAGGAUGUUCAAGAAGGUGAAGAACGCAGGGAAGGCCCUCAAGAACAUAGGUACAAGGAGUUCAUCCCGACACUCCUCGCACCCAUCAAAGAUGAGCGUCGACCCGACGUGCACACAAGCUCCGUCAUCUUCAUCUGAUCAGCAAGUCAAGGUCCUCCUCAAGAUAGGAGACCUUGGACUAAAGACCCGAAGGGAAAAGGAAGUUUACCAGCAACUGAAGAACAAAGAUUUCAUUCACACCCCUACUCUUGAUCCAAUCUUGCUACAAGAAACAAGUAUGGAUACAGAAUUCGACUUAAUUUUCUAGAUGUUAGGUUGGACAUAUUUUUGAAACAUAACUGAGCUGGGUUCUCAUCUUCUCACCCUUGAAUUUCUUUGCACUUUACAAUAUUAUGAGGGGGGAAUUGUUUUUCGGAUGUUCAAACAGGAGAUUAUGUUGUCUUGGAGAGAACUGAGCGACCAUCUUGGUUUCUCUUCAAGAUGCAUCCUGAACAUUGACUCCGACCUACCUAAUUUUGAGAGACACCAGUUCUGGAUAGAGAUAUCUAGAGAUAAUUUUUAUAGUCAAGCCCGAACCAGUGACAUGGAACACCCCACUCUUAGGAUGUUCCACAAAUGGCUUGGGUACAAUCUUUUCUAUCGUGAUGAUAUUAGGAAAGUAAGAGUAGGAGAUUUAUAACUUCUAUAUGCUACCAUUAAUAAAGUACCCACUUCACCUGUUACACUUUUGGUUUCUCAUUGGCUUAGUAUACCUAGUCUUCAGGGACCAGUAGGAUGUACUUCACUUAUCACUCGUCUAGCCUCUAAUCUUCAUUUACUAGAAAAUUCAUAACUGGAAUUCAUAGAUGAGUUACGGAUUUACCAUGGCUAUGACACAUUUAGACAAGCUCGGAUGUUAAAGAAAGAGGGGAAUAUAAUGUAUAUGCUAUAUGAUAAUAAAGGCAAGAUUCGGUUAUCUAACCCAAACCUUGGCCUCUACGUUGUUCAAAAUUUUUUGAUUGAGAUUGCAGUAACACAGAUAAACCAGAGAGCUCCACAGCGAGUGGCAUCUGAAAGGAUGACCACCCAUCAAGAACGCACCUGGUAUGGAGCUGAUCCCGGACCAGAAGAAGCAGCGCACCUGCAUUAUUGCGACUACAACCCCCGAGUCCUUCGAGACCCAUGGGUUUGACAUGCGCAACCACAAGAGCCAACACAGGAGACAUGGCCGGAGAGUCUAGAUCACCAGUGGACAAACCCGCCUUUUCAUACGGGUAGGUACUCCACUGAUCCAUAUGGAGCUUCAGGGUCCAGACCUCCGCCCCAAUUCGAUUCAUGACAAUACUCCGACGCCUCCUACGCUUUCACGAACGACUACUACCAAGAGGCCGGUGCUUUCUUCACCCGUACCGACAACACUCUCCUCGACAUCCAGAACAUGCAAGCAGAACAUGGACGACUCCUGGAACAGCAACAAAAAUGGAACCAGGACCACGCCACUGCACUACAAGAACUGAGACAAGACACCACGACAAUGAACGACAACAUCACCACCAUGAUGCGAUUCUGGAACAUUGGGUAAGACCGACGACCACAUCCAGCUUGGGGGAGUUCCUCCCCAAUUUAUCAAGUAAGUUUUUAUUUGCUCUUCUUAUUUAUUCUUUUCUAUUUUAGUAUUUUAUCUUAAAGAGAAAAACUUAGAAAACCCAAUAAAUAUUUUCUUGCUUUAAUUUACUGCAUUCUAUAAACAUGAAAACAAAAUAAAAAGAGUGUGUAGAUAAGUGUGCUUUAUUUUUUCUGUUAAAUUUAAUCUCUAGAAAAAAUAAAAAGACCAAAAAAUAUAUAUAUAUGAUGGAAAUGAUGAACAGUUGCUCUGUUUACUUACUUACAAAUACCUAGCUUUUAUAUUAGAGUUCUUCCAGGAAUUACUAAAAACUGAAAUUACUAUCUUUGGGAAGCAUAAAACUAAAGUCUAGGUAAGAGAAAGACAUGAUAUAAAGUUUGAGCUACUAUUUAUCUUAUUCCUACUACACUAAGUUCUGGAGAUUUAUUUUGGAAACUUACAAAUCACAUGAUGAGUUCCUAGCAUUACAAACUUCCUACCACAGCCUGUGGGGGUAUAAACCCCUAUACCCUCAUAGUCCUAUAUGGGCCGCACCAUUAGAGGUGGCUCGGCCCACAGGAUGAAGACGUGCGGCGCACGACUGGUCGGCGUGCACCGCAAGACUACAAGAUAUUGUACCAAAUAGGAUAGUUUACUUGUAACUCUGUCCCUUCACGAUAUAUAAGGAGGGGCAGGGGUCCCCUAGAGGACAAGUCAGACAUCAUUAUUCUCUCAACACAAAUCAAUACAAUCAGACGCAGGACGUAGGUAUUACGCCAACUUGGCGGCCGAACCUGGAUAAAAAGCUUGCCUGUGUCUUGCGUCACCAUCGAGUUCGUAGUUUGCGCACCGUCUACCGAUAAACUACUACCGUGGGUAUACCCCAAGGUAGACUGCCGACCAGCUUUCGUCGACAGUGGCGCGCCAGGUAGGGGGUGUGCGUACAACUUCUCCGACGAACAAGAUGGUCAUAGUUCCAGCUUCCGCGGCCGUACCUGAAGGCCUCACGUUCACCGUCGGCCAGAUCACAUGGACGACGCGUGGCGGUGCUCUCACGACCACAGUUUCGGAAGAAACCCACAUCCAAUCUGGGAUGACGUCGCCUCCGACCACUCGGAUGACGGCACCGAGCGCCCGACCACCACUCCCACGCUACAAGGGGAAGGAGGUCGACUGCUCGGACCUUCUCCAAGCAUUUGAUCGCGCUGAUUCCAAGCUACUCGAAGCUUCCCAACUAGUAGAUGGGAUCUCGCGGUAGCCUGAUCAAGCCACUCUAACGGAUUUUUUCAAAUCCCACCGGCCAACUCGUGUCGUUACACACGAACGGCUGAGAACGUCUAUGACAAUAACCUCAACUCCCUCAGGACGAUUCGUCAAGCGUGAGGCUAACCCGGAGGAGGAUUACCCAUGCGGUCUGAACAACUCGGCCUCCCUCUACUCACGGCACGUCCAACCCCUUUUCAACAAGGCGGGUUGGCUGCCAAAACGGAACGGUCGACCAGCUCGUAAUUACGUCAACAUGGUGACGAUUUGAGAGCUACGGGACGGCCAGGCCUCCAGCACAAACUCGAGCACUGGUUCCGUCCCCACCGAGGUCAUAAACUCCGACGACGAGGACAACGAUCUGGAUUUGCCUUCACAUCCUCCGGGCUUCUCUCGUUUCCUGGUCUUCCCACCACGGCGAGGAGACAUCGUUUUCAACGUCAGUGCUGACGAGCUGGUCGUCGAUGGAGAAACAGACGAGCAGAGGCAGCUCCGCGAGCAACGUAACGCCGAUCGCGCCCGACGACGCGCGGACGAGGAACGUCAAAUCCCGCCGCAUAAUCUCAGCGACGCUUUCGACAUGGUCGGGGAUCAGCCAGUUUACAAAACGCCAAGCGCCAACAUGGCUGUGGCCAUGGCCAAUUUAGAUCGGCUCCCUGACACUCCCGAUUGCCAGGGCAUCCGAACCAGCGUUCGAGCACAUCUGAUCGCCGCAAUGGGACAGACAGCCACUCUGCUCAAAAGAGUCCAAGCCGUCUCCUAUACGGAGGCCACCUCCGACCAGACUCACCGCCGCCGGACCUCACCGCACCGUUCCACCGACGGUCAUCGAAAAAAUUCACGGCGUGACGACGGCGGUCGGGAUGCUGGCGGUCACCGCGAGCAGAACCAUGGGCGUGGUGAGGAAGUAAACCAGCACAGGGAUCUUCGAUACAACAUCCCUCCCAAAGACGCCCGAGACCGCAUCAACAGGCGCGCCACGGAGAGAGCAGUCCACGAAAACCUGCGUCGUAUCAAAUAUGAUGCAACUCACGGCCCCCCGGGCCUGAGGCAGUUCUCCUCACAUCUCCGCCAGGUCGUGUGGCCCCGCAAUUUCAAGCUCGAGAAACUCAAAAAGUACGACGGCAUGGAAAAUCUGGAAAACUGGAUCACUCUUUACGAGAUCGCCGUCCGAUCAGCAGCAGGAGACGAGCACGUCAUGGACAACUACUUCCCAGUAGUCCUCGACCAGGCUGGUCACCAGUGGCUUCUUGGCCUGCCCGAGGACUCCUUCGACUCUUGGGAAGAGCUGCGCCAGGCCUUCAUCGACAAUUUUAUCGCCACAUGCGAGCAGCCUGGAAACAAAUACGACCUCGAAAGGAUAAGGGACAGGAAAAACGAGCCUCUGCGCGAUUACAUCCGGCGAUUCUCAGAUAUGCGCCUUAAGAUCCCGAAGAUUUCCCACGACGAGGCCAUAUCUGCUUUCAUCAAGGGGCUGCGCUUCCAUGAAGCACUGAGGAACAAGCUGUUGCGUAAAAGGCCAACAACGAUGGCCGAGCUCCUCGCCACGGCUAAAAAUUACGCCGACGCCGACGACGCAGAAAAACUCAUCCGGGACGAUGCGAGAGGUCCCGACCAGCCUCCCCGGCGAGAUGAUAGUCGCGGUCGUUUCGACAACAGGAACCACCGACGUCCCGACAACCGUGACCACAGGGAGGGUUGGGAUAGGCGGCGCGACAACCGCGAUGAUUUCAGAGGAAAGCGCCCCCGCGACCAUGACCACAAAGUAAAUACGGUCAAACGCCCCAACGGACGGCGGGACUACCAAGAAGACUACAACAAAACGUUGAAGGGACCGUGCCAACUACAUCCAAAGUCCAACCAUACCAUGGAAGAGUGCCGCGUCCUCAAAAACAUUUACACACGACGGGCCGCCCAAGACGACUCUGCCAAGAAGAAUGGGAAGCAAGACGGACGCGACCACGAAGACGAGGACGAGGACCAAGAUAGGGACCCACGACACCAGUAUGUCAGUCCCACCGACGUGGUCCACUCCAUCUUCGGGGGCAAGGUCUCCAUCGAAUCUAAGCGAGAAAGAAAGCUCCUAAAAAGAGCCUGCCUCAACAUAGACAGCUCGGACGACCUGAUCGCAGACCCAAAAUUCCCCCCGUGGUCACACAGAGAGAUCUCCUUCAGCAGGAAGGAUCAGUGGGCCGCUAUCCCAGAGCCAGGUCGUUUCCCUCUAAUCUUGGACCCCUACAUCAAUAGCAUCAGAUUCGAGCGGGUACUCGUGGACGGAGGAAGCUCCAUUGACAUCCUUUUCCGUAACAGCCUGCCCGCUCUCAAGCUAUCUCCGGCACAGCUAAAACCCUACGACGCUCAGUUCUGGGGAGUCCUGCCUGGCCAGAGUUCAGUGGCCCUCGGACAGAUAACGUUGCCUGUCCAAUUCGGCACAUCCGACCACUUCCGAACAGAGUUCGUCAACUUUGUGGUCGCUGACUUUGAUGGGACUUACCAUGCUAUACUGGGCCGACCGUCGCUAACAAAGUUCAUGGCAGUCCCACAUUACUCAUACCUGGUCCUUAAAAUGCCCACGGAGAAAGGCGUCCUAACCGUCAGGGGCAAUGUCUACACUGCAUACACUUGCGAGGAGGAGAGCUUCAAGAUCACCGAAGCAAUCGAUCUCUCAAUCCGCAUGGCAGAGACAGUAACCCAGGCUGCACAGCUACCUCCCGACCAGCUUCGACUACCCGAGCAGGAGACCGCCAGGAAGAACUCAAAGUCCAAGGAGCAUAAGGAAGUACAGCUGGUCGAAGGCAGUCCCGAGAAGACGGCCCUCAUCGGGGCCAACCUAGACCCUAAAUAGGAAGACGCGCUCGUCAGGUUUCUAAGGGACAACGUAAGCGUUUUCGCAUGGAAACCUGCUGACAUGCCCGGCGUCCCACGAAACCUGAUCGAGCACUCCUUAAAUGUCUCGAAGACCGCAAGACCCAUCAAGCAAAAGCUGCGACGGUUCGCUCGUGACAAAAAGGAGGCUAUUAGGACAGAAAUAACACGGCUUCUAGCAGCCGGAUUCAUAAAAGAAGUGUACCAUCCCGAUUGGCUUGCCAAUCCGGUUCUUGUACGCAAAAAGAAUAAUGAAUGGAGAAUGUGCAUUGAUUACACUGAUCUCAAUAAACACUGUCCUAAAGAUCCUUUUGGUCUCCCUCGCAUCGAUGAGGUGGUCGACUCAACGGCCGGAUGCGAACUCCUUUCUUUUCUAGAUUGCUACUCUGGUUAUCACCAGAUCUCGCUAAAGGAAGACGAUCAGAUCAAAACAUCUUUCAUCACUCCUUUCGGCGCAUAUUGCUAUACGACCAUGUCUUUCGGACUCAAAAACGCCGGGGCAACCUACCAAAGGGCCAUCCAGCAAUGCCUCCACGACGAGAUUCGUGAUGACCUCGUCGAGGCUUAUGUAGACGACGUCGUCGUCAAAACAAGGGAUGCCAGCACCCUAAUCGACAACUUAGACCGAACCUUCAAAGCACUAAACAUGUAUAAGUGGAAACUCAAUCCCAAAAAGUGCAUCUUUGGGGUCCCCUCCGGUCUACUACUCGGCAACGUCGUCAGUCGGGACGGCAUACGGCCAAACCCUUCAAAAGUAAAAGCAGUACUUGACAUGCGACCACCUAAGAAUGUCAAGGAUAUUCAGAAGCUCACCGAAUGUAUGGCCGCUCUCAGCCGCUUCAUCUCAAGACUAGGAGAAAAAGGCCUCCCCUUCUUCAAACUCCUGAAGGCGUCAGAAAAAUUCUCCUGGAUAGAAGAGGCUGACGCUGCGUUCACCCAGCUUAAGACCUUUCUCACUUCACCGCCUGUCCUUACAGCGCCUCAGCCCAAUGAAGACCUACUACUUUACAUUGCUGCAACUGACAGGGUUGUGUCGACGGCAAUAGUGGUCGAGCGAGACGAGCCAGGCCACGUCUACAAGGUCCAGAGACCCGUUUACUUCAUAAGCGAAGUCCUAAACGAGUCUAAGGCCAGAUAUCCGCAAAUACAGAAGCUCAUAUACGCCAUCCUAAUAACAUCAAGAAAGCUAAAGCACUAUUUCGACGGCCAUCGAGUCUUGGUAACCACCAGUUUCCCUCUUGGGGAUAUCCUGCGCAAUAAAGACGCCAACGGCAGAAUUGUAAAAUGGGCAAUGGAAUUAUGCCCAUUCUCCUUGGAGUUCCAGAGCCGCACCACAGUCAAGUCUCAGGCCCUGGUCGAUUUCAUCGCAGAAUGGACGGAUCUCAACGAGCCUCCUGUUCCCGACGUCUCCGACCACUAGUCGAUGUUCUUCGACGGGUCCUUAAACAUCAACGGCGCCGGCGCUGGGGUACUUUUCGUGUCGCCCAACAAGGACAAACUGCGUUACGUCCUUAGGAUCCUUUUUCCGGCAUCAAACAACGUCGCCGAGUACGAAGCAUGCCUUCACGGCAUACGAUUAGCCGUUGAGUUGGGAGUCAAACGCCUUUAUGUCUAUGGCGACUCCGCUUUAGUUAUCAACCAGCUCAACAAGGAAUGGGACGCAACCCACGAGAAGAUGGAUCUCUACUGCAAAGAAAUUCGCAAAUGGGAAACCAACUUCUAUGGCAUAGAGUACAUCCACGUGGUCCGGGAUAAGAACCAGGCAGCAGAUGCGUUGUCAAAAUUAGGGUCAUCUCGGGCCCAGAUCCCGCGAGGUGUUUUCGUCCAGGACAUCCAUGAGCCAAGUGUGGGCAAAGAUCCGCCUGAAAAGCAACCUAUUGAGGCAAUGCUCAUAGACGACGUUACUCCGACAACCAGUAACCGCGAUUGGCGCACCCCAUUCAUCCGGUAUAUAUCGGACGGGACAGGCUUUCAAGAUAAAACAGAGAACGAGCGCCUCAUUCGAUGAUCAAAGAAUUACAUAUUGGUGGACGGCAAACUUAUGCGAAAAAAUGCAAGUUCUGAAGUGCUGCUCAAAUGCAUAUCCCAAGAUGAUGGCAUCAAGCUCCUAGACGACAUACAUGCUGGAUCCUGCGGCAAUCAUGCUGCCUCGAGAACGCUGGUCGGGAAAGCCUUCCGAGCAGGUUUUUAUUGGCCAACCGCGGUCAACGACGCAGAAAAACUGGUCCGGCACUGUGAGGGAUGUCAGUUCUUCGCUAAACGGACCCACGUGCCUGCUCAUGAGAUUCAAACUAUACCGUCGUCCUGGCCUUUCGCUUGCUGGGGGCUCGACAUGAUCGGGCCAUUUAAACCGGCCCCUGGUAACUUCAAGUUCAUCUUCGUAUUAAUCGACAAGUUUUCAAAGUGGAUUGAAUACAUGCCACUGGUCAAGGCAACCUCCGAGAAGGCCGUGGAGUUCCUCAAUCAAGUCAUACACAGAUUCGGGAUCCCAAACAGUAUAAUCACCGACCUGGGUACUCAGUUCACUGGCACCACAUUUUGGGACUUCUGCGAUGACACAGGCAUAGUCAUAAAAUACGUGUCAGUAGCUCACCCAUGGGCAAAUGGCCAAGUUGAACGUGUAAACAGAAUGAUCAUCGACGCCCUAAAGAAAAGGUUGUACACCGAGAAUGACAGAGCACCUGGUCGAUGGAUGAAAGAGUUACCGGCCGUGGUCUGGGGCCUCCGAACACAGGCUAGUCGGAACACCGGGGUGUCACCCUACUUCAUGGUUUACGGCACCGAGGCAGUACUGCCAUCUGACAUAACCUUCGGAUCUCCAAGGAUUGAAAAGUUCGACCAGUCAACAGCCGACAACACCAGGGAACUCGAAAUCAACUGCAUGGAACAAAAGCGUCUAAAUUCGUGCCUUCGAACAACAAAGUAUCUUGCGGCAAUCAGACGAUACCACAACAGGAACGUUAAGGACCGUUCCUUCGUGGUCGGUGAUCUGGUACUCAGGUGGAAAACAAGCCAGGAAGGAAUGCACAAGCUAUCCACUCCCUGGGAUGGACCCUUUGUGGUCGCCGAGGUCACACGACCCACAUCCUACAGAUUGGCAUAUCCAGACGGAACACGCGUGCCUAACUCUUGGCACAUAGACAAACUGCGCCGAUUUUAUCCAUAAGUUCUAGUAACUUUUGCUUGUAAGUUUCUUAUAGUUGGCAAUAAUAAAAGUUUUUUCUUUUUGGCUAUACUUUGUUUACACGCAGAGCUUUCGGCAAAGAGCAACAAUGUCCUCUGAGACGGAAAUGAAUCAAACACAGUGACACGUCACUCAGAUAACUUCACAGCGCUCAAAAUAACAGUCAUGACAAAAGCAAACUUUAUUACAAACUUUACAUACAAAGUUUACAAUAAAUACCCUGACGGGCAGUCACUAGUCUACUCCUACAGACUACUCUACUGGCCUACUGCUCGGGCUGAUCACCCGCUUGGCCUUGCUGCCCGGACGAAGGGGUCGGGGCCACCGGCGCCUGGCUGGUCGAGACCGCAGGCUUCGACCGCCCAUCUCUGGCAAUGGACGCCCCCGAUAACUCCCUGGCUGACCUGUCUGAACCCGGCUGGUCGGGGGGAGUGGCCGUCCCGCAUAGAUUGAUGUCGUCGAUCACCGUCGACGACAAGUCUAGCAGUCCAGCCCUAAGCUCGUCCGCCUCCUGCGGGCCGACUUCUUUGGGGUACCCCUUCUCCAGCCUGGACAAGUCGACCAGGGGGUAGUGGGCGCGCACCAUGCUGAGGAUAUGCACGCCAGCAAACUCCCCGGCGUCCUUCACGAACUGCUGGAGCCAGUCCCACGCCCGUUGUGCCUUUUCCACUGGCGUCAGUCUCGGCGCGCGGGGCUGGCUCUCCGGAAGCUCGGGGCUGAUCAAGUCCAGGACCGGAGAUACUUCUUUCCAGAUCCUACAACAAUUAACCUUCCAGGAGUCCCGAUCCUUGACCAGCUCGUCCAGGUGCUUCUUGGUGUUCGCUUUGAGCACUGAUAAUCAAGCAAGAUGUUAGCUUCAACAUAUCGAAACGGGCGAUAAGCGGCAAACAACGGGAGCGGCGCGUAUUACCAGACAGCUCCCGGUCCCUCCGGUCCAGCUCCUCUCCUGCUCGGCGCCCGGCCUCCAGCGCCCCGGCAAGCUCUUGGCUGAGCUGUUCUUUCUCUUGUCGGAGGCGAGCAACCUCUUCCUCCAAGCCUACAAUAACACAUUCCUGGUGAGCAGAUCUAAUCACACAGCUAUAUGCAGCUGUUCGGAGAAUGCAACUGACCUGUCCUUUGCCGAUACUGAUCGGCUAGGCGCCGAGUAAGCUCGAGACGGCGCUCCUCCUGAGCACUCAUCUCGGCCACCUUCUCACCAACUUCGGACUGCAGCUGGUCCAGCUCCGAGGAUAAGGCCUUAUUCUCGGCCACUAUGCCCUCGAUCUGGUCGAAGCACCGUUUUUGGUACUUCGCCGUUUUCAUCGCGCCCUGCAAGGAAACACAUAUGUUGAGCACAGGAGCGCUACAUAUAACUGCUGAACAAUGAACAGACCACCUACCUUGACUUCAUCCACGAGAGGCUUGGCCGCGCGCUCUACCCUGUCGGCCUCCUCCGUCUCCGCGAGCUCUUCGUGCCCGAUGAAGUGGUCCCCGCGUUGGCACCACACGUACACAUGCUGGCGGCCAUCACGGGGGCGACCUUCUAUCUCCUCCACCUCGUCGUCGGAGGCCGCCUAGGUUUCCUCGUUUGCCGCACCGCCACCAGUCGUGGUCGUAGGCAUCACCGGCCCCUGGACCAGGCCCGGGGAGCCUGCGGACGAAGAGGCCCCCGCCUGCGGUGGCGUUGGGACUCCCCUCUCUUCCGCAGGGGGAGGGGUCGAGGCUCUGUCUUCCCCUUCCGCGACGCUACUCGGAGGAGCGGUCCUUGCUGCUUCCCCAUCCCUCAGCAGAGUGCUCGCCGCGACACUCGCCGGGGCAGACUCUCUCUCGGCGCCUGUAGCAGCAGCCGUUGCCGCAGGCUGAUCUGUGGUCUGCGGCGUGGCGUCCUCAGCAGCACAAGCAGGCUCGGCCACCCUCUGGUCGGCGGCGUGGUCGGGGUUGACGUCCGACGCCGCGCUAAAGAACAAAGCAGCAUUUUCAAAAAAAACAAAAACAAUCGCCAAAGUACGUAAGUUGAACACUCACAGGUCUGAUCGACGAUGGGCCGCGGUGAACCUCCUCCUAGCCCUGCCGGUCGGCACCUGCGCCCCCAUUUCCAUAACAUGCGGUGCAGGAGGGGCGCUGGCCACCCGAUCAGUAGUGGUCGGUGCACUAUCCGGGCGGCUACGAGGCCUUCGGACCAGAGACGGUGCGGCCUCCUCCUCCUCCUCGUCGUCGUUGUCGGUGAUCCGGACGAGCCGACGGCGCUUUGACGCUUGGCUGCUCUCUGCCGGCAGCGUCGGCGCAGGCGAAGGAUCUGCUGCUAACAGCCUUUUCCCCGCCACUCUCUCCUCGGUGGUCGGGGCCGGACGGGCUUGCUCCUCUUCACUGCUGGUCUACCGAUCACACCGAGCAGCGUCCUCCACCGGCGGAUCCUCCCCUGCGGGAUUCUCCAUCCCAGGCGCCAGUGACACAAACACUGUGCACCGGUCAACAUCUCCGAUCUGCAAAAGUAACAAAGACAAGUCAGCAGCUGACAAUAAUAACUGCUAAGGAGAAAUAACUGGUAAGAUACCUUAGGUGCUGGUUGCCCCAACUUGAAGGCUUGCACCCGAUCACUGCCACGGACGAAGCCCCCGUCCGCGAAGUUGAACAGCUCGUUCAACAGCUGCUGCACCUCUGCCUUCUCCAAGACCUCAGACCGCAUCCUGGUCGGGUCCAGGCUCCCGGCAUACUCGUAUGCCGAAUGCACCCUCUUCUGGCAGGGCAUCACCCGACGACAUACAAAGUUGCCGACCACGCCCAGCCCGUCCAAGUGCGACCAGUCGAUCAGCUUCAUCAGGUCCGCCACUUGGCCGUCGAACUCUGGGCGGUCGCAGAACGUGGAGCUGCCUGGUUCUUCCCUGAUGUAGAACCACUUCUUGUACCAUUUGGUUAGGGAAGUGUUCCAUGGGCAGUGCAGAUAACGGUUCUUCAUCCCGUCGCGAAGGUUGAGGUAUACUCCACCUGCAACCUUGGAGCCUCCAACCGCUCUCUUUUUUCUUAAACAAAAAAGAUAGCGAAAGAGAUCAAAGUGCGGCUCUAUGCCAACAUAGGCCUCGCACAGAUGGAUAAAAGUGGAAAUGAGAAGAAUUGAGUUCGGGUGCAGAUUGCAAAUCCCGAUCUCAUAAUACAAAAGAAGACCUUGAAGAAAAGGAUGAACAGGCACCCCAAAACCCCUCUUAAGGAAAUCCUCGAACACUAUGAUCUCACCAGCGCGGGGGUCGGGGUAGCUUUCCCCCUCAGGCGCUCUCCAGCCGCCGAGCUCCGGGCUGUGCAGCAGUCCCAUAUCGACGAGGUCACCGAGGGACUUUGCGGUGCUGCGGGAUUUCUUCCAUUCCUUGGCCAUCAGCUCGGCCCUCUUCGCCAUUGGAGAUACGGGAGUGAUUUCAAGCUAGGAGGGUGGUUCCUGACGUCGGUGGUUCAAGCUAGGAGGGUGCAGGUGGUUGAAGAAGGCGAGAGCGGAAAGCUUGAAGGCAAUGGCAGGGUAAGCAAUGCGGGGUUAAUGUUAGGAUUUUAUAAAUCGCAACUCCACCCCUCCCACUUCCCGCAUUCUGGGGAAGUGGGCGGGCCAUACGGCGGACACGGCACUUCGGUUUUCAAUGAUUAUCGACAAUUAAUGCGGCGGAGUUUUCGUACAAAUUGAUGGUUUCCUUUUCUCAAACCGCGCAAAGGGCGGCUGUACAGUUGCCAGGCGCAACUUUUCAUGCCGCCAUCUGACAUCCCGUCAGGAGGUCUCGUCACGUCAACCUUUAUGUGGUAAAAUUUUUCAAGACAAGCAGACAGAACAUGGUAGAGUGUCAACAAUCCAAGGGCUGAACCGACCACCGAGCACUUGAUGCUCGGGGACUGGUCGUCCAGUCUAUCAACUCGGAACUUCAAGGAACGCACCGACCACCGAGCACUUGAUGCUCGGGGACUGGUCGUUAAAUUUUUUGGGACUGCACCGACCACCGAGCGCUUGAUGCUCGGGGACUGGUCGCCUAGUCUAUUAGUUUGGGAAUCAGCGGGCUGUAUCGAUCUCCGAGCAUUGUACGCUCGGGGACUGGUCGACCAGCUCACCAAUUUGAGAAUUCGGGGACUGUACCGACCACCGAGCGUUCUAAGCUCGGGGACUGGUCGAUUUUUCUAUUCAAUUGCAGAUGAGCAUGAUAUGCUCGGGGACUGGUAAAUUCAAUUUUUUAGACCUUGCUACAAGGCUCAUACUUCGUCUUCCAGCAAGCUCGGGGACUACAUCGGUACGAUGCAUCUGGCGAUGCAUCUCAGUUUCAGAAUUUCUUUGAGGACUUUUCUUUUGACCCUGGCACCACGUGCCUACGUCACCUACUACCAGGCUCGGGGACUAAGUGGGCACACUUCACCUUGCGGUGAAUAUGCUUGCUUUUUGAAAGACUAUACUUUUCAGAAAAGUAAAGUGGGCACACUUCACCAGGAAAGAAAUCUUUUUUGAUUAAGAGCACCAUGCAUUCUUUGAACAACCUGCUUCUUCGAUGUCAUUGUUGAUCAACUGUCUUUUGAGUCGGUCAAAAUACCGUAGCAACUGUUUGGACGAAUUUCCUGCUUAUUGAAGACGUUAAGCCUCACUGAUCGAAGAAGCUCAAGACGGCGUGUUACAUCACAAUACAUGGUGCUUGGGGACUAGCUGUGGGGGUAUAAACCCCUAUACCCUCAUAGUCCUAUAUGGGCCGCACCGUUAGAGGUGGCUCGGCCCACAGGAUGAAGACGUGCGGCGCACGACUGGUCGGCGUGCACCGCAAGACUACAAGAUAUUGUACCAAAUAGGAUAGUUUACUUGUAACUCUGUCCCUUCACGAUAUAUAAGGAGGGGCAGGGGUCCCCUAGAGGACAAGUCAGACAUCAUUAUUCUCUCAACACAAAUCAAUACAAUCAGACGCAGGACGUAGGUAUUACGCCAACUUGGCGGCCGAACCUGGAUAAAAAGCUUGCCUGUGUCUUGCGUCACCAUCGAGUUCGUAGUUUGUGCACCGUCUACCGAUAAACUACUACCGUGGGUAUACCCCAAGGUAGACUGCCGACCAGCUUUUGUCGACACAGCCAUACUUGCUAUAACAUCUUUUACAUAUAUUCACAUUGAGUUGAUCGAGCUGUGUAGACCCUUAGGAGCUUUUCAUGUGGUUAAAUUAAGAUAUUCACUUGCACACAUCUACUACACCCUCCACCACCAUCCAUUAAAAUUGCUAAAAAUUAUCACUCACUGUCCCAAGUGUUGUUAUUCUCUCUCUCUAAAAAGAUCCAAUAGAGAAGAGGCAUGGGUUAUACAAAAAUAUGCGAGGAAAUAAAAAGGGGCAAGUGCCUGGAACCUCAGAUAAGAAAGAAAGAAAAAGAGUGAGACGAGAGGUAAAAAUGGACAAGUGUCCGGAGUAGAAUUAGGGGUACAAAGAUGCCCACUUGAGCGGAAAAAAUGGACAAGUGUCCGACAGUAGAAUUAGGGGUAUCUACUACCCACCUAAAAAAAGAGAGAGAUAGCCUAUGUUCUCCCAAAGCAAAGAUCAAAGAAGAGGAGAGGUAGUAAUAUGAGGAGUAAUGAGAAGUAAGUUUUAUUAUCACUUAUACAUUCUUUUACCAUCACUAUCAUUUACUCCACCACACAUGCACAUCUUGAUUUAAUUAUAUGCUGAGUUCCUUUGGAUCCAUGGCUCGAUUAGACAACAUAUGUAUGAGCUGUUUUUCACACCUAUGAGCUCCACUUAAAUAUCCCAUUAGCUAUAGGUAAGUGACAUUUUUGGUAAGGAUCCACAAAUACCACAUAUAGAGAGACUUGAGAGAAUCAUUGCUUGGAACUCUAAAUUUAUUUUUGAAAACUUAUGAAAAACUCUGGAACAAAGGUGAAGUAUAGACAGGAGGAAUAGUGCUUGACUUAAUUAUUUUGUCUUUCAAUAACUUAAGACUUAAGUGCAGGUACUAAGCUCCAUGACACUUCACUCUAAUCUGGAAGAAUUUUUAUAUAAAAGCAUGUGUGCCUGUCAGGAAAGAAAACAUCAUAGCAACUCCUGAUCCAUCUGAGUUUAGCUGUUUGCUCAGGGACGAGCAAAGGGUAAGCUUGGGGGAGUUUGUUGACGGUCCUUAAGUACUAAAAUUAACCAUCAAAUAAACAUGGAAAAGGAUCAUUAUGCACCAAACAUCUAGAAUUAGGGUUUUAUCUGACAGAAUUCCACGAGCUUUGGUGUUUAUAUAUUUCUACAGGUGGUUAUCAGAAAAUAUGGAGAGAAGGCCCACAUGUCAUGUUUACAAUGAGAUAAUUACGUGCCGCGCAAUUUUCCUCAAUCUAGAAGAGUCCAGAAGCCACGAGAACGAACGGGAGACCGGACGGGCUCGAGGGCAGGGCGCCCGCCCUGGUCUCGGGGCCAAUCCGAACCAAACUCUUAGAUCGUGUUCCACCGACCUAAAGGAUCAAGGAAAAUCGUGCGAUCAAUGUCGGUUUGAUCCAACGGCCCAAAUUCACUUGAAAAGACUAUAUAACCAAGGCCUCUCCACCCCUGGGGAAGAGAAGAGAAGAGGAGAAAUCAUUAUCAGAGGUAGCCAUCAAAGUUAGGGUUUAGAGCUUCUCUCCCACAGAGAAUUAGAAUUAGCUACUCCCUAAUCCUACAAGUUUAGAGGAUUGAUUAGAUAGCAAUUAGAGAAGUAGAGCACUACGCUCUAGAUUCGGAUCUUCGGUAAUAAAGAUUGGUAUUAUUCAUAUCUUUCUCUAAUACUUUGUUCUAAUUACAUUAUGUCUCUAUUUAUUAUGCUCUUAGUUUGCUCUAGUUCUAUAUUUGAUAUAGUUAUGAUUCAUAAUGAGUUUAUGUAUAAGUUUGCAAAGUGCUUAGCUCUUAACUCGAGGGAGUUAAGUGGUAGAUCACAUGUGGGCGAGGUGCUUAGAUGUUAUUUACCUGCAAAUGUAUCUUAUUGGUCGGGUCGUGUGGUAGUUCGCGAUAGUGACAGCUUCAUUGAUUCUUAUAUAGUCCACCCUCCGUCGAUAGGACAGGCAGAAUUUGUAUUGCGGAGUAAGUCUUACGAUGUUCUGAUUUACUUUAGCAAUGUUCCUUAUACAUGAAUGAAGAGUCUUUUAUGCUAUACAUGAUCUUGUAGAUAACUAGAGUAGAUUGUGACUUAGUAGAUAGUAGAUAACUUAGAAUCCAUUCUCUAGCUAAUCCGACGUCACCUACAUAUAUGAGGAGUAGUCUAUUUUCUAAUCGCUGUGUUAUUUACCCAUGAACUUAUAAUUCAUUAUCAUUAUCUUUAUGGUUUACCCCCUGCCAAAGUAAGUGACUGUGUCACGAGUUUCUCAUUAGUAAUCAUGUUCUUGCAAGUUUAUCUCUAGUCUAUACCUUGAUAGAUUUAAUCCUUAUUUUAAUUUCACCCCUUGUUCUCUUAAGCAAAAUUAUAAAUAACGAUACCUGGAAUACUUAUCUUGGUGAAAUGCUACAAUGAGGUGUUUUAUCUGUGCGCUUGCGGAUAGAAUAGAUUAUUUUCUAGAGAGCCUCCAUACUUAUAAAUACCUUUGUACACUCUGGCAUCAUGCUGGGGAUGACAACCUAGUAUUCAAGUGGUGUUAGCUAGUGCCAACAGUUGCCUUUUGAGAUUAUGUGUGAUGCUAGUGAUUAUGUUGUGGGGGCAGUUUUGGGACAAACUAAAAAUAAGAAGCAUCAUGCAAUUGCUUAUGCCAGUAAAACUUUGACAGGAGCUCAACUAUAUUAUGCAACCACUGAAAAAGAGCUUCUCGCUGUUGUCUUUGCCAUUGAUAAAUUUAGAUCUUAUUUAGUUGGAGCUAAAAUAAUUGUUUACACUGAUCAUGCUGCACUAAAAUAUCUGCUCACUAAAAAAGAUGCUAAACCUCGCCAGAUUAGAUGGAUCUUAUUACUUUAAGAAUUUGACUUAGAAAUAAAAGAUAAAAAGGGAAUAGAAAAUUCUGUUCUUGAUCACUUGUCUAGAAUGUAUUUUAGGAAUCCACAGGAAACCCCCAUCAAUGAUUCACUCCGGGACGACAUGCUCUACGGAAUUAACAGGUCUGACCCCUGGUAUGCAGAUAUUGUUAAUUUUAUGGUUUCAGGGUAUGUACCACCAGGAGCAAACAAGAAGAAGAUUAUUCAAGAAAGUCGUUCACAUAUAUGGGAUGAGCCAUACCUCUUCUGAGUAUGCUCUGAUGGCUUACUCAGGAGGUGUGUGACCACUGAGGAAGGAUGGAAGAUCAUCGACAGAUGUCAUUCGUCACCAUAUGGAGGUCAUUAUAGAGCAUUCCGUACACAUUCAAAGAUCUGGCAGUGUGGAUUCUAGUGGCCUACAAUGUAUGAAGACACAAAGCAAUAUAUCAGAAGAUGUGGGCCAUGUCAAAGGCACGGAAACAUAAACACAAGAGAUGCCAUGCCACUCACCAACAUCCUUCAGAUUGAGCUCUUUGAUGUCUGGGGAAUAGAUUUCAUGGGUCCAUUUCCCCCAUCAAAGAAGUGUGAGUUCAUCUUGGUGGCAGUUGACUACGUCUCCAAGUGGGUAGAGGCACUACCUUGCAAGCAUGCCGACAACAUCAGUUCAAAGAGGAUGUUUGAAGAAGUUAUAUUUCCAAGAUUUGGAGUUCCUAGAGUAGUGAUAAGUGAUGGAGGAGCACACUUCAUCAACAAACGCUUCAAGCAAUAUCUAUCAAAACAUGGAAUCCGUCACAACGUCGCUACUCCCUACCAUCCUCAGACAAGUGGCCAUGUAGAGACUUCCAACAAGCAAAUCAAGAAUAUUCUUCAGAAGACAGUCAAUGAAAUGGGAAUGGCAUGGAAGGACAAGUUACCCGGUGCACUCUGGGCAUACCGGACAGCAUACAAGACCCCAAUUGGAAUGUCCCCAUACCAAUUGGUGUACAGGAAGACUUGCCACCUACCUGUUGAACUAGAAUUCAAAGCACACUGGGCCAUAAGGUGGCAUGACAAGAGGAUCAAGAAGAAGGAGUUCGCACCCGAAGAUAAGGUAUUACUUUUUAAUUCCAGGGUGAAGAUUUUCGAGCAUGGAAAACUCUGGAGUAAAUGGAAAGGACCAUUCAAGGUAAUCAAUUCAUCAUCCCACGGAGCUAUCACACUUCAAAAUAAUGAAGGUACGUUAUUCAAGGUAAAUGGUCAACGUCUUAAAUUAUUUUUAGAGCCCAAUAAAGAAUUAGAAGAGAUAGACGUGAUCCAUUUUUACCUUCCCAUGGAGAUUUAGAGCCCAACCUUUUUAAGCUGACGUUUUAGGGCCAUGCAUAUAUUUUUCUAAUUAAGUCUGCAUCUAGAAGCACGCUCGAGGAAGUGGGCCCACAGAGGGGCCAGGCACAGGGCGGGCGCCCUGAUGAAGAGGGCGGGCGCCCAGCCCCUGCCCCCUCUCAGUCCUGAUUUCCUCCGUCGCAAUAAAUACAUUUAUGGUAAACCAAAUAAUACUACAGAUGGAAAGUUUCGCACGCACGGCGGCGGGAGUAGCCCGAGCAAACCCUAGAGGCACUUUUUGACCCCUAUAUAAACAGACCCCUGACGUCAGUUUUCAAACACCAAUCCAUUCAAGCCUUCUCUCCUUCUUCAAUUAGAGCUUGCUUAGUUCCCUGCUGCUCCAAUGGCCGAAGAGUUCCACGAUGAUUGCGAAGUCAUUCCCUACAACCUCAAAAAGAAGCCCAAGGAAGACCCCGACGCCCACGCUCUCGUCCCGGCCAAAACAGAGCGACAGCUAGAAGCCAUGCCAUUACGCCAGCGCAGCUCCGCCCAAUCCUAUCAUGCUCAACCAGUUCUCACCGCACCGCCACAACCCCUAUUUCUCAAGGGACCAUCAGCCAAGAAGGAGGCCACCAUCAAGGUGCCAGCCGGUACAAGGAUCCUUCCACCUAGACCCAAUGAGAGGGUCGUUGGAGUCAAGACCAACCGGAGCGAUGAGAUCAGCAGCAUCCGCUACACUACGGAGGAGGAGAGGCCUUACUUUGAGGGGAUUAGAGCAGCCAAAGUCCGUUUCAUCCCUCCAAAGGCAGCCCCGAAGCACGCUCUCAAUGCUCUCGAGACACCUCCUAAGUGUCGCAAGACUAUAGUAGAUAUUGAUGAGAACGUUUGUAGGCUAGACAAGGUCAUCAUAGACCUCCAGUCCUCAGUGAACUCUAUCACUAGGCAGCUCUCUAACCAGAACACCAUUAUACUAGGUCUUAGGCAUGAUCUUGCUAGUGCCAAUAAGAAGAUCAAGGAGUUAGAGCGCCGCUAAGUUAUCUAGAUUAGAUCUUGAGGCAAUGCAUCUUAGUUAUUUAUCUUUAAAUUUGGUUUAGAUUUACUGUUAGCUUCAGUUCAUUACUAGUCAUUUGUAAUAAUUGCCUCAAGAUUAAUAAAGAGUAUUAUUAUUUGUCUUGUGUGUCUCUACUUUCUUUUUAUACAAGAAAGCAGAAAAUAAGUAUGGGGGAGAUCCCUCGACGUGCCAAAUACACUUCGACUACACCACUCCACGAUUCAGGUACAUACUCUGCACACUUUACUUUACACAUACACAUAUAUCUUGGAUUGUGCAGAAUACUGUCUCCGACAUGAUAAAUUAAAAAGAUUAACAUCUUUCUAAUCAUGAUUAAUCUCACUCUGUGAUAUUUCCUGAAACUUGCAAUUAUCAAAAAAAUCAUUUUAAAACCCUGUGUUACUUAAGUCUUUGUGGAAUGUGAGAUGAUAGAGUAUGAGUAUCUUAUUCUUGAUAUCAUUGCUGCUUGGAGAAUUUAUUUCAAAAUCUUCAAAAAAAUUCUAGCUACCAUCCUCAAUGUUUUAUAUGCAUGAUAAACCUGAAAAUAUAAUAAUAAAAGCUAUCUACUCUGUAUUGAGUUUGUCAAAAUGAGUUAGACCCUUGUUGAGAGAUUUAUCAUGCUCCUAAGAUCAAGAUAUUUAUUCAGAAAGAUUCACUCUUCUGAAGUAUUAUUGCAUUAGAGGCAUGGGCUAUGCAAAAAUAAGGAAUAUUUCGAGGAAAUAAAAAGGAGCAAGUGCUCGACAACCUCGCAGAAAAAAUGGACAAGUGUCCGGUAGUAGAAUUAGGGGUACCUCGGUAUCCACCUAAAAAAAGAAAGAAGAAAAGAAGAAAAUGAUAGCCCAUGGUCCCUCUAAUAAGCAAUAUGCCAGCAAGAGUUGACCAGUUUUUAAUUUCCAAAGUCUUUGAUCUAAGAGUAUGGCAUUCUUCUCCUCGGAUCCCGUUUUGAUCAGGCAAUAAAUGCAAGGUAAGUAUGCUUGAGAAUUUUUGCAAAUUAAAACAGCCUCAGUGAGAUAUAAAAGAUAAUGAGUGACCUGAGAGAACCUAUGAGGAUAAAGGUAUGCUAGAUUUCUUUUCAAAAAUAUACAAAAACUCCAAGUAAUAGGAUUGAGAAGGAAGGACCUCUACUCUUGAACAUAUAUUUCCCUGACAACGGUACACAGUGAAUUUUUACAACACCCUGCAGGUAUGAAGAAAAUGCUUUACAAUGUUUUAACUCCAGAUAUUUUUCUUAACCAUCAUUUUCUCGAGGAUGAGUAAAAGCCUAAGUAUGGGGGUAUUUGUUGACGGUUCUUAAGUAUCAAUUUUAAUUAUCAAAUAAACAAGGGAAAGGACCAAUAUACAAACAACACCUACAAUUAGGGUUUGAUCUGACAGAAUUCCACGAGUUUUGUUGUUUAUUUGUUUCUGCAGGGGGUUAUCAGGAAAAAAGGAAGAAAGGCCCACAUGUCGGGAUUACAUAGAGAUAUUAACGCACCACGCAAUUUUCUACCAUCUAGAAGACUCCAGAAGCCACGGGAACGAACGGGAAGGCGAUCGGGCCCGAGGGCAGGGCGCCCACCCUCCCCCCUAGGGCGCCCGCCCUGGUGUUGUGCCCAAUCAUGUCCAAUCUCACGGAUCACGCUCCACCGACCUAAAGGAUCAAGGAUAACCGUUCAAUCAAUGUCGGUUUGAUCCAACGACCCAUGUUCACCUAAGGGGACUAUAUAAGUAGACCCCCUGGCCCCUGGAGGAGAACAAGUUCAUCAUAGAGUUGAGAGGUGCCCUCGAAGGAUAACAUUUCCUCUAAAUAGACUUAGGGCUUAGCAUCUAAUGUGAGUAGACUAGAUCUACUAGAUUGAGAGAGAUAGAGUGGAGGUGUAGAUCGGAGAAAGCCUGGCCUGUCGGUGUCUACUCCGAGGUUGUACCUGCAGGAUCAAGUUCUCCUAACCCGAAGCUUGCUCCUAGGAUUCUUCAAUAUUUCGACUUCUAAAUACUAGUAAGUUCUUGUUUUAUUGUUCUUUGGUUUAUGAGUUUACUUUAAUCUCUUCGCGUAGAGUUUAGAGUAAUCAUCUCUAGCGUAGACGUGGUGUUUGGGCUAGGAUACUCAUAGAUAUCCCCUGACUAGCUAGACCGUGGUAGUAGGGAGGAACGUGACAUUUCCGAGUUACCUUUGCAGCCCAUAUCACGUUAGUAGGAUCGAUAGGGUUUAUAGGUGUGGGUUGAACAUCCUCUGUGGUGUCUAGAUUCCGUGAGCCUCCCCAAUAGAACAAUAGAUUAUCCUUACCAAGGUUAGAACGAGAUUAAGGUUGUAGUCUUCUCUAUAUAUCGCUCACAUCGAGAAACAUUCUUUGUAGCCUAAAGGUUAGCAGUAAUAGACCGGGUUAGUCAGAUGCACUCUUUCUCCUAGUGAUAAAAAUAUAAAUACGAUACUCUGGAUAACAUCCCGGGUGAAGUGCUCACCAAUAUCCGUGCGCUUGCGGAUCAAUUCCUUAUUGCGUUCCCAAAUAUCAACACUCAGCUUACUGUUCCAAGUGUAUAAUGAAUUUUUCAUAACUUGAAGGAUCAUAGUUUGCAGAGUCUAGGACUAGCACACGUCCUAGACUAGGAUUAAUGAGGAGGCAGAUCCAGUGGUCCCUGAGAGAAUCAAAUUUAUGAUGCAAUGCCCAUUGAAAUUACUAAUACGACGAUGAAUACAAAUUGACACUUACCCAAAUUACUAAUACGACGAUGAAUACAAAUUGACACUUACACAUUCUCGAUCUUGAUACUUGAGCAGUGCCAAGGCUAUGUAGAGGUCGUAUUUACAUUCAUAAUCUAGUCGACUUUUAUCUAUUAUCUUCUUACGCUCAGCGGGAUCCAAACCUUCUAAGGAGUCAUGUUUGUCUCCGAUUCUGAAGUUGUGCUGCUCCUCACAUAUCUUCAUCGGGCUCAGAUACGCAACCCUUUUACUGGUAGACCUAUCUGGAUCCAAACCGUACCGCAUCUCUUGUUGUUCAAAAUUCAUUCUGCAAUGAGCACUUGUAUGUUAGAUGUUGAAAAUUGAUGCAACUAAAGAAUAAAAACACAAGAUAGUACGAGUGACACUUACAAUGCAAACACAGUUACCAGCUGCACGUCUAGUCUCUGGAGGUUCAUCAUUAGCCACAUGUCCUCGAAGGUAACGAUUGCCUUUAUACGCUCACUGUUGAAUUCUUUUGGUGGUAUAAUCACAUUGAUCGUGUCAAUGCCUACAGAAGCUGCUCUCAUAUACCAGUCAUGCAUCCUUUUUAUACCAGCUGGGAUCUUUUUGAGUUUGUCCCAACUAAGUAGUGGUCUGCCUGGCUCAUAUAUUUAGUAGGGACAAAUUUGUAAUCAUCCUUCGUUGGUGGCCUGAUAUUGACAAUACGUGUUUCAAAGCUUUUCGACCCCUCCUUCUCAUGCUUUGCCAAGUCAACAAGUUUUGAAGUGCGGCUCCUUGCAAUUCUGGACAAAAAUAGGGUCGUACCAGCGGCCUUCUUCUUUGGCUCGUACGGGGAAACCAAUUUGGGGACCGAGAAUUUUGUUUUCUUUGGUUGCAGUGGUGUCUUAUCAUCAUUUUUGGUUGCCGGUGGUGUGGAAGAUUGCGGUGUUGAAGCAUGGGGUUUAGGUGAUGGUGGUGAAGCCUGGGGUUUAGGUGAUGGUAGGGGAGUGGGUUUUGAUGGUGGCGGGGAUGGUGGUUGAGGCAUUAUUGGUGAUGGUGGUGGUGGGGAUUGUGGAUGCAAGAUUGGAGAGGUUGGUGGAGUGGGAAGAGAUGUGGGAUGGGACAACUCCUGAGUCUGCGACACUUCUCGGGGUGAUGGUUCUGGUAGCUGAGACAGCAGGACGUUCCGUCGAGGCUAAAGAAUAAAAUUCUUGAUAGCUUGUCCCAGUUUCUCAAUGCCAUUGAGACCGGGAAUGUCUAGCAUGUCGUCCUCAUAUCCUUGGACAACUGUCAACACUUCCACCCUGCAGUAGUCCUUAGGGAUCUCACUACCAUGGAAUUGACGCCCCGGGAUCGCAAGUCCUGUGGCUACUUCCCUUGUACGGUUAUUGUUAAAACCAUACCUUAUGACUAGGGAGCAAGGCACAGGACUAUCAAUCUCAUCAACUGGAUAGAGGACCUUGUCUCUGGUAGAUGCAAUACUGCUUGGGACGACCGGAGCUUGUUCUGUGGUUGUCGGGGUGACAACUAGCUGCAUUUGAGGAGGUUGCUGGCCACUUAAUUGGCUAGACAUUGCGGUCGCCAAUUGCUGCAUCAACUCAGGAGGAGGAUUGGAGAGGAUUUUAGACAUCACCUCUUCGACUUCUUUCUUAGCCUCCUCCUUAAAAUAAUUAGACAUUUCUUCCUUGUAGCGAUCCCGUUUCCUAUACAUUGCUUCUCACUCUGGUCCGAAUCCUUCUUUUCAUCCUUAUUUUGAUGAGAUGCCUCGUACACGACUAUGAUGCUCUGGGUUACUCAGAGCAACAGUAAGGACAUCUUUCUCCCUUUGAGGUUUAAAUUCGCCCGCUUGCUGCUUAGCUGCCACCGCGAGAAUAUUCGUCGCUGCCUCUUCGACCAUUGGGUUAGAAAAUGAUAAGCCAGACUUGGCUUCCUUUGCCGGUACACAAGCAUGAGUCCACCUCGAGCCCCUGCGACCAAGUUGGUCAGGGAGCGCUGGCAGACCCUUAGCCCUCUGCGCUUCAUCCUCUUGCUCCCAUUGGGCAAGCUUGCGCUGGUAACCACCUGUGCCUAGGUGGUGGUGGUACUUGUUCCUUUUUGCGAGCUCGGAUUUAGAUUCGCUCAAAGCUUUGAACUCCUCGGUACUCCUGUGCUCUAGAAACACUACCCACUGACCAGCAGUGAUUUUAUACCUUUUUGUCGGGUCCAACCCUUUCUUUGCCCACUUAGAAUUCAACUCGGACUUGUAAUUCCUAAACAUGUUUCCCCACUGCUUCAAUGUGUACUCCUUUACUAGGUCUUUUGAACCCUAAGGUAAAACAAACCAUGUAAGCAGCUUGUUCCAUAUUCUUUUGAUUUCAUUUUGGUCCACUUUUGCCCACUCUCUGACUGUGAUGUCAAGAUGGUCCCUAACUAAGAAUCCAAGUGCGUUACGCCACUUAGGUAAGGCCUCUGGAGGAGCUACGGGUAGUCCUGUCGGGCUCACAUCCAUAAUUCUAAACGUGACUUUUGGAAACUGAUUCAAUCCUCUAUCACCUCGUUUCCUUUUUCUGUCAUCUGUCUUCUCGGUGGUCUUCUCGGUGGUUGUCUCCGUCGUCGGUUUGGGUGCACCUUCAUGUGGAUAGGAUCUCUUUCAGUUCUGAGAUAACACCUCACGUUCAUGUUAAAAGUUAAAAACAUAAAUCAUUCUUGUACAUAUACUGAAGGACAUAAAAGUUAGAAAGAUUUAAUUAUGGAUGAGUAAUUCAUCACCUCAUCUCCUUCUGGAAUGUAAUCAGGGUCACGUUCUAAUUCACGACGAGCGUUCCUCUCUAUGCGAGGAUUUGGAAUGUCGCUAGGGGAGGUCUCGUACGAAAGACUUGAUUCACGUUCUUUUGCAUUCUCCGUGUGGUCCGACCCUUGUGCUUGCUUAGUGUUGUGUGACACUUGCACCUUCUCUGUGUGGUCCGAACCUUUUUCCGGUGCUUGGUCGAUGCGGUCAGACCCUGACGCUUGGUUUGGGGUUGGCGAAGUCAUCGUGAUAAUCUAUACAAAUAAUUACUUAGCAUGCAUCAUGCAUUAUAAAUAGUUGCAUUAUAAAGAAAGAAAUAAUAUUACUAAUUGUUUUUAUACACAUAUAUAUAUAAUUGCAUUGUAAAUAAUUGCAUUAUAAAUAAUGGUUAUACAUAGACACUUAAACUAAAAGCAAAUAUUAAUUAUUUAUUAUUUUUACACAUAAAUAAAUAUUUAGGACAAUUAAUAACUAUCUAGGACAAUUAGUAAUUAUUUAGGACAAUUAAUAAUUAAUAAUACAACAUACACAUUUAUUUAAGACAAUUAAUAAUUAUAAGAAAAAUAAAACAUCCUAUACAUUUAUUUAAGACAAUUAAUAAUUAAUAAUUAUUUAGGACAAUUAAUAAUUAAUAAUUAUUUAGGACAUUUAAUAAUUAUUUAGGACAAUUAAUAAUUAUUUAGAACAAUUAAUAAUUAAUAAUACAUCAUACACAUUUAUUUAGGACAACUAAUAAUUAUUUAGGACAAUUAAUAAUUAUAAGAAAAAUAAAACAUCAUAUACAUUUAUUUAAGACAAUUAAUAAUUAAUAAUUAUUUAGGACAAUUAAUAAUUAAUAAUACAUCAUAUACAUUUAUUUAGGACAAUUAAUAAUUAUUUAGGACAAUUAAUAAUUAUAAGAAAAAUAAAACAUCAUAUACAUUUAUUUAAGACAAUUAAUAAUAAAUAAUACAUUAUAUACAUUUAUUUAGGACAAUUAUAUAUCAUAUAAGAAAAAUAAAAAAUAAGAAAAAUAAAACACUAGCCGCUGGUGGGCUGGCCCAGCUGGGCAGGCGGCCCACCGGCCCCUUCCCCUCCCCCUCCCUCUCACCCUCGUCCUCUCCACCGGCCGCAACGCCGCCGCCACCUCGGGUGACCAUCCCGACGCCCCGGUCGCCUCGACUCCCCUCGCCUCCCAACGCCACCUCGACUCUCCCACGCCGGCCGCACUCGCCGCGUGGCCGCCGGCGAGCCACGGCCGCCGCGCGCGCUCUCUGCCUCCACCGCAUCGGCCGCCGCGCGCAGCCGCGUCGCACCCGCACCUGUCACAGUCGGGGAGCUUACCUCGACCCGUGGAAGCGCAGAUGCCGGCGAUGAAAGGAGAAGGGUGGUGCGCCGGUGAGCUCGUCGGAAAUUUGGGCAGCCUGGCGGCGUGAGUUUGAACAGAGACUGGCGCCUUCAGACUUAGAAAAUUUCGGGUCUGCGUGUGGGGUAUAUAUGGCCUUAAUUUCUACAGGCGGUUGGCAUUGACCACCGCCUGUAGAAAUGCUUUCUAUAGGCGGUGGUCCAUGCCAACCGCCUGUAGAAAUAGCUCUAUACACGCGGUGGUCAAUACCACCCGCCUGUACAAAGAAUUUUGUAAUUUUUUUUAUUAUUAUUGUUUUCUAUAUUUUUGGUAACUAUUUUUUAUUGCAUAUUGAUAUUAUAAUAUAAUAAUAUUUUAACAUAAUUAUUUCUAUAUUCUAUAUUUGUAACAUAAUUAUAUUGUUUCACACUUAUAUAUUAUUUUUAUAUUAUUUUAAAUUUCAAAUACAUAUUGCAUAUUGUAUGAAAGGUAGAGCUUGAUGAGCUAUAACUCCUCUGUAUCCAAAACUUUUUCAUUUGAAGAGUUUUAGUGCCUAGUUUGACCUAGUCAAAUUUUAAAUUUUAGAUUUCCACAGCUACACACACGUUUUCGAAACCCGAGACGUCCCCAACUCAAAAAGUCAUGAAUACAAAGUUUGUUCCACUCAUUAAGAUAUACAUUUCAUACAUAGGACAUUUUUGCAUUUGACAAAGCGUUUCAAAAGUGUAGUUCUAAAUCCACAAAUCUCACAUAUAGUUUCAUAAAGUUUGUGUGAGAUUCAAAACUUUGUGACUAGAGUUUACCAAUCCUUUCCCAAAUGUCAAAAUAUCCUAUGUAUGGAAUGUGUAUCUUGAGGAGCUCUAAAAUCCACGUAUUCAAAAGUUUUUCAUUUGAGGUCAUUUAAUGCCUAAUUUGACCUAGUUUGACCAAGUCAAAUCUUGGAUUUUUUCUGAAAAGUCACUUUGACCGGACCCUUGGUAGUCUCGGAUACAAAAGUCAUGAAUACAAAGUUUGUCCAGCUCAUCAAGAUACACAUUGUGUGUAAGGGUCAACUUUUCAUUUGAGAGAGUUUGGACCACUCAAAUUUUGAAAUUUCAAAUUUCCACAGCUACACACACGUUUUCGAAACCCGAGACGUCCCCAACUCGAAAAGUCAUGAAUACAAAGUUUGUUCCACUCAUCAAGAUAUACAUUUCAUACAUAGGACAUUUUUGCAUUUGACAAAGCGUUUCAAAAGUAUAGUUCUAAAUCCAUAAGUCUCACAUAUAGUUCCAUAAAGUUUGUGUGAGAUUCACAUACAUUUCAUACCAGAGUUUACAUGAUGAAACACAGAUACAAUCUAGGCCGCUACUAUUCUUCCUUGUCCAUCAGGGCGCACCCAUGGUAAAGAACUCUGUGGGAUGCUUCGCUCAAUAUUUUUUAUCUUCAUAGGAUGGUCCACAAAGAGGGACAUAUCACUGAACUGGUUAAAAUCCUCAAGAUCCGAUACACCGUCAACUCCAACUGCUUGUUGCUUUCCUAGAAAAACUACAUGAUUCGGUUUGUCGGUACUUUUCUUCUCAUUCUUACAAAGGAUCUGUUCAGCAUAGAAAACCUGUGCAGCACGAUUAGCAAGGAUCCACGGGUUAUCUUUAUAUCCCACCUUACUUAGAUCAAGAACUCUGACCCCAUAAUUAUCCAUUGUGACAUGUUUAUCUUCAACCCAUUGACAUCGAAACACAGGGAUCUAAAAUGUACCAUAGUCUAGUUCCCAUAUAUCCUCGAUAAAGCCAAAGUAUGCAAUAAUAUCACCAGUUUUGUCAUCUACGGCCUCGCAUCGAACACCACUAUUUUGUGUCAUGCUCUUUUGGUCCUUGGACUUGGUAUGAAAUGUGUUGGUGCAAAAGCUGGUCUGCAAACACAAAUGGCUAAUACCCGAUUCAAACGUUAAGGCGUGCCAGCCGAUUUUACCUUACUAUCGGCAAAAGUGGUAACUCGAAUACUUUAGUCCUGACAACAGCGAUGCGCCCGGAUGUCACGGCUAAGAGGUACUCACGCGGAACUUGAGAACGCGCCGAGCUUAAGUCGACGAAUUCCUAAGAACUCGUAAUGAAAAAGAAAAAGGUAUGACGAAGUCGUCGAAAAAGUAGAUGCUGGAAUAUGAGUAAAAACGUGUGUUUGAUUGAUUGAUUGAUUCUACUAUUACAAGGCCCUAGGGUCUAUAUUUAUACCCUGCUCAAAGAGCUACAAUCAGACACGACUAAAACUCGAGUUCCAAAUUACACAGAAUCCGUAUACAAAACGACUCAAACAACUAUGGAAAACAUAAAAUUAUCCUUCCGUGACAAACUCGAACAAUUCCACAGACCGAUCGGCGGCCUCCAGGCUCUCCCUCCAUAUCAUCGGUAUACUCCCAUGUCAUCGGUAGACUUCCUUGUCGCAGCUAUCGGCACAGACAUGUCACCACUUAUGGACUUAAUCACGUUCAUUCACCCUUCCACCGGCAACCAUCUCCAUCGGCAACUCUUCCUGCAGACCAAACACCACCGCCUUAUUCUGCCGAUCUAUACUUUUACCGAUUAUGGACACGUGCCCAAAAACGGUGUCAACACAUGCCCCCCAAUUUCGGAGUAUGGAAUCAUUAAUGCUCCGAAAUUCUCUGCGGUAAUGAUGCCUUUUUCCCACAAUUAAUGCUCCUAACCUGGCAACCAACAACCUUAAUCUGAACAACUCUGACCUUAUCCUUCCGCAGAUCCCUCGAAAUCCUCAACUUCCCUAAACGGACACUUCCAUCUGAGCCGCGUAUCGGCAAUAUUACCGUUACAGGGGAUUUACCGAUGUACUGACCAGGACACCUGUUAUCUUAUCUUUCCAAACGGCUAUCUCCACAUCUCUCUCCCAUCGGCAAUAUGACCGUUACCAGGCACCGCUAAUGGACCGACCAGGAGAUCCCGCACAGUAAAAUAUCUCUAGAUAAUGACCGCUUCCUGUCAAAUCACCUGCACAAUCCCUUGAUUACCGUGCAAACAGUUACCAUAUCUACCUGAGUACCCUCGAAUUUCGCGGAUGCGGCAAAGAGAUAAGUCAGAUUUGCCCUUGCCCGUUUUGUCCUAUAAAUAGUUCCUUCUCGGGUACUCCUUCCCCAUCACAUCAUUCCAGAACCCCAACUUCUUCUUUCCAGCGGCGGCGCUGUCCCAAAGCUUCAAGAUCUCCGACGAGGCUCCUUCUUCACCAACUCCAAAACUCUCAAGCUUCUCCUCCGUGGCAAAAUGGCCGUCAACUUCAUCAUCCCUGAGGUCAGUUCUUCGCACUAUCCUUUGUACUUUUUCUCGCAUCCCUGUUCAUCCACAGUCUUACUGAGCAUUUUCUUUUCCCCUCUUUUUUUCUGUUUUUCCUUUUUACCUCCAAAACCACUAGGAAUCAGCUAACAAAAUUGUCAUCCCCACCGAUCAACCACACCUCCAAUGCCUUGGCCCACUAGGGGAUCCAGAUCCAACCGAUCUUAUAAAUGCAGAAACCAACAGAAUCCCUUUUAGGGCAGAGAAUUUUUCUUUGGAUCUAUGGAAGGAUGCUUUCCGUUCCUGGCCCAGCCCUACCGUGGGAUGGAAGGAUUGGUUCCUGAGGGUCAGCAACUCUAAUGAAGUUCAGUGGGGUGAGAGAAAUCUAGCCCAAUGCAUUAGAUUGUCCAUUGCCGAUAUGCAUAGGAACGAGUCACUGUUGAUAGCUGCAUCAUACUUCUGGUCAGACACGCUCAACGCCUUUGUCUUUGGCCAUGGUCCUGCUUCCCCUACACUUGCCGAUGUAGCUAUGCUUACCGGCCUGGACGUUUCUUCUGCCGAUAGCACCCACUUUUUCGACACCAAACCCAGUGCCAAGGUAGAGACCCGCACCAUUGGCGGCUGGUCGGGGUAUAUCCAAAAAUACCGCAAAACAGGCCCUGUUGACAAAAAAGAACAGACCUGCUUCCUGAACAUGUGGCUGGACAAAUUCGUGUUUUGUGGCCGAUCAGCAGGACCAACUUCUAUUUAUCUAGCAGCAGCAGAAAAUCUGGCCAAUGGUGGCCAAUUUCCCCUCGGCCGAUACCUGCUUGGUGCAGCCUACCACCUUCUCCACCAAGUAACCAGGAAGCUCUUGCUUGGCCAGUCCAUCGGUAAUCUAGGAGGUCCCUGGUGGUUCAUUAACAUGUGGCUCAACCUCCACAUGCACAAGCGUUUGGAGUUCAAUCUUUUUGCACAGCGCUUUCCAAGAGACAUAGCAGAGAACCAUGUGCUAGGUGAAGAAGAAUCGGCAACACGCGCUCCCUUAAACUUUGGUGAAGCUGUCAUAGUUUUGCCCGGUUCAGGGGGUAAUCCAGAUAAGUUCAGCCGAUUCUUUCAAACCUUAUACGAGGGCCUGACCAGAGACGAGCGAGCAUGGUUGGCUUAUGAUGACCCAAACACCGUGUUUCCUCUGGUUUUCAACCCGUUUGACGAAGCUCUUGACAAAGACAACGAAGUAAUGAUGGCAUUGGUGACCCCCAGAGCCAUACCGGUGAACUUCUUUGGCAGUGGGAAAACAUCUCCCCAGACUUAUGAGUUCUAUAAUCCAUCGGCACUAGCUCGCCAACUAGCUUUCGGCCAGCUGCCGAUUGCACUCUGUUAUGCCGAUGUGAUAAAGCCCAGGGAAAUCAUCACCAGUCUUCUCGAAUGGAUUCGAGUGGCCCAACUGCCAUCAAGUGCCGAUACCGAUGUAGACCUAUCAGAGUGGGUCCCAGCCGCCUUUAUCACUCAGGCAUACAAGCAGUGGUGGGCAGAAUGGAAGGAGCAUCUAUUCUGCAAAUCGGCCCUCACAUACCGUGGCAUGAUCGACCCCGAAUACGAAGUUCACAGUGAUGCCGUAAGUACUUUCAAACCGAUGUUUCAAUUCUUUCAAUCUUAUUUCCAUCGGUAACUGACCCUUUGUGUGAUUUUUCAGGUCGAUGUCACUCCUCCGUCGGUCAGCAAGAGUGGCAAGCCGAUUGACUUGUUUGUAUCAGGUCCAGUUUCCUCAAUCGGCCACAAGGCCCCUACUCUGGCUGCUAUCGUGCAUCGGGGUAUACGCCUCAAGAAGGUCACCACCAGGAGAACUCAGACAUCGCCAUCGGUAGCCGCUUCUACCCUAGCGCAGGCUUUUAAGGUAACUGCUAAACCUUCUCACCUAUACCUUCAAUCUUACUUUAACAUCGGCUGUAUUGGUACUGACAAAUUCCUUUUUCUGUAACAGCAAACCAGUGCAUCGGCAAGAACUAAAAGCGAAGGUGCCAAUGCCCCCCAGUCCAGCCAGCAGAAAAGAAAAGGUGCCAAGAGUACCAGGGCACAAACCAAGCGCCAGAAAGUAGCAACUCCUCCUCCUCCUCCGGUAUCUCCAAUCCCGGUAGAGUCUUCCCCUUCUUCUCCAGAAGUCCAGACGCAGCAAGCACCAUCUUCCCUACCAAUGCAAGAAGCACCACAGGUGGAAGAACCUCAACAAGAAGUACCUCAGCCAGAAGACACAUCGGCUGAUGUGCAUGAACCAACUGCCAAUCCAGCAGGUUCUAUUAUAGCAUCAGUAGUCUCUUCCAUCCAGACAAGAACUGCCCCUCCCCAAGGUAACACAUUUUAAUAACAUUACUGCUAAUGAAUUUGUUCCUUUUCAGCCUUAUAACCCUCUCUGUUAACUUUCAGCUGAUGUAGUUCCAUCGGCCAUUCUAGCCGAUCAACCCGUGGCUCCAUCGGCGUCUUCGAGUCAGAGGCAAGAGAUAGCCUUGAAGCAAGUAAGCCAUCCAAUCUCAAUCAAUACUAUUUGCCGAUGCUCUGAUCAUGGAAUAACCCACUUUGUUUUCCUUUUCAGGAACAAGAUUCUCCCGACAGUCUAUUCUCCUUCGCCAUUGAUAUCUCCGAAGAUGAAGGUGAAGAAGCAAGUUCCUCUCGGGCAGUUGGGAUCGCAUCGGCAGAGAUCAGGGCCAAGCUAGAAGAAUUGUCGACCCUCCUUCAUCAAGACACGGCUCAACUGGUCGAUGAUUCUGACCCGGCCAAGGUUCUGUUCAAGGCCCUCAGAGGCCAGAUUCCCGCCGAUGCCGAGGAAACCCUCUUCCAGGCCGCACAUCUGGAGAGUCGUCAGCUGCAGUACCAGAGGGCCGCUCGGCGCCUUGCCGAUAGAGCUGCUCAAACCCGGAUUUCUGAGGAGAUGAUGAAAGAGAAGCUCCUGACCGAUGAGAACCACAAGACCAUCGGCACCUUGAAAUCCUCAGGCGAUGCAUUGAAGCAGAAGAUCUCCGACCUAUCAGCGAAACGAGAAGCCCUGUUGGCAGAACUCAAGCAAGUGGAGGAUGCCCUAUCCCAAGCUCAACAGGAAGAAAAUCAACUGCCGGAAACCAUCAAACACCUCGAGCAAGAGCGAAACACCCAUGGUCGUAAAGCCCUGCAGCUAAAGAAGAAAUUGAAGCCAAUAGAAGGCUCUGCCGAUGAAGAUGUCAAGGAGAUAGAAGCAGCCGACCAGAUCCGCCUACGCGCUAUAUCGGCUAUCCAAGCGCUGCUAAGUAUGUAAGUUCCUCAUCGGCAACACACUUGCCUCUGCCUGCUCUUCAGCUGUCUUGAUGUUCAGUCUAGCCGAUAGGACUGUUAUCGGCAUCUUUUGAAACAUUAAGUUCUGCCCCAAACAUUUUAAUCCAGCCGAUAGGAGUGUUAUCCGCAUUUAAACUUCAUGCAUCGACCCAUAUGCUGGGGUAGUACUUCUUUAAAUACUUGCCAUUUAAUGCUCUGGGAAAUUCAACUCCUUUGAGAGUCUCUAGAAUGUAGGCAUUACCAGGAGCCGAUCGAUUUAUCAGAUAGGGAUCUUCCCAAUUGGGAGACCAUUUGCCAAACUUUGAAUUUUUGUUCCGAUCGGUAGGAUUAACUUCCAUACCAAGUCCCCAUUGGCAAAUUCCUUAGCCUUUACCUUCUUAUCAUACCAUCUGGCAACUCUUUUCUUAUUCUCUUCUAUACUCAUCAAAGCCCUCAGCCGAUGCCUUGCCAGAUCAUCCAACUCGUCUGUCAUCAAAGUAGCAUAAUCAUCGGCAGCCAAUUGAUCUUGAAAAGAUAGUCGCCUAGAUCCAGCCUUAACUUCCCAAGGCAAUACCGCAUCAUGUCCAUACACCAACUGAUAGGGUGAAACCUUGGUUGAUCCAUGACAAGCCAUCCGAUAGGACCAUAAGGCUUCGUUUAACAAUGUGUGCCACCUUCUAGGAUUUUCUUCAAUCUUCCGUUUAAUAAGCUUAAUAAUUCCUUUGUUAGACGCCUCGGCCUGCCCAUUAGCUUGAGCAUAGUAAGGAGAAGAAUUCAAUACUUUAAUCCCCAUGCCGAUCGCAAAUUCCUCGAACUCCCCUGAUGUAAACAUAGUGCCCUGAUCGGUAGUGAUCGUCUGAGGGAUUCCGAAUCGGUAAAUGAUAUUCUCCUUCACAAAAUCAAUCAUAUUGGCCGAUGUGACUUUCUUCAAAGGAAUAACUUCAACCCAUUUAGUGAAAUAAUCGGUGGCAACUAGAAUAAACUUAUGCCCUUUGCUAGAUGGUGGAUAAACUUGGCCGAUCAAAUCAAUAGCCCACCCCCGGAACGGCCAAGGUUUGAUAAUAGGAUUCAUAGCCGAUGCGGGUGCUCUUUGAAUAUUGCCAAACUUUUGACAUCCUUGACAUCCUUUGAAAUACUUGAAGCAAUCUUCAAGUAUGGUCGGCCAGUAAUAUCCAUUCCUUCUAAUCAUCCACUUCAUUUUGAAAGCCGACUGAUGCGCUCCACAUACCCCCUCAUGGAUUUCUCCCAUUAAACUUCUAGCUUCAUCAUCAUCCAAGCAUCGGAGCAGAAUCCCAUCAAUAGUUUGGUAGUACAAUUCAUCUUCAAGGAGCACAUACUUGGUGGCUUGGAACCGAACUGGCCUUUCAACUUUCUUGGAUGGAUCUUUCAAAUAAUCAACGAUUUCUUUUCUCCAAUCAUCGGCACCAAUUGCCGAUAUUGCAUCAAUCAUAGGCUGAUAUCCCGAGGCAUGUUGAGCCAACCGAUUGGCUUCUUCAUUAUGCAAUCGAGGAACAUACUCCAAUCAGAAAUCUUUGAAUUCCAUGAAUAAUUGCAUGCUUCGCUCGUAAUAAGUUAUGAGAACUUCACUUCGGCAUUCAUAGCUUCCGGUUAAUUGAUUUAUAACCAGCAUAGAAUCUCCGAAGACUUCGACAGCAUCAGCAUGAACCUCCCUCAAUAACUCCAAUCCCUUUAUCAAAGCUUGAUACUCAGCCUGAUUAUUUGUCGACGUGGCAACAAUCGGCAAGGAAAAUUCAUACUUCCUUCCCCGAGGGGAAACUAACACUAUGUCGAUUCCUGCCCCCCGGUCACAUGUAGACCCAUCAAAGAAAAGCGUCCAAGGCACAAUUUCCAAAGUCUCCACUGUACCGCAAUGCUGGGUUACAAAAUCGGCUAUAAUCUGUCCCUUAACUGCCUUAACCGAUUCAUAACGCAGAUCGAACUCCGACAGCGCCAAAAUCCACUUACCGAUCCUGCCACUCAUAAUCGGCAUGGACAGCAUGUACCGGACCACAUCAUCCUUGCAAAUAACAGUGCAUUUGGCCGACAGCAAGUAAUGCCUCAACUUGAUACAAGAGAAAUAUAAGCACAAGCACAAUUUCUCAAUAGCCGAAUACCUGGUCUCAGCAUCAAUCAACCUCCUGCUUAAAUAAUAAAUUACACGCUCUUUUCCUUCAAACUCCUGAAUUAAAGCCGAACCGAUGACCAUCCCAUCGGUAGACAAAUACAAUCAGAAGGGCUUUCCUUGCUGAGGUGGAAUCAAAACCGGAGGAUUCAUUAAAUACUUCUUGAUUUCAUCCAAAGCCAACUGUUGUUCCUCCCCCCAAACAAACUCUUGAUCGGCCUUUAACUUAAGAAGAGGGCUGAAAGCACGAAUUUUACCAGACAAGUUAGAAAUGAACCUUCUAAUAAAAUUUACCUUGCCGAUCAAGGAUUGGAGCUCAGUUUUGUUGGUAGGGGCUACUAUCUUAUUGAUGGCAUCAAUAAAUCUUCGACUGAUUUCAAUUCCCCUCUGGUGCACCAUGAAACCAAGAAAUUGCCCUGCCGACACACCAAAUGCACACUUAUUGGGAUUCAUCUUCAAUCCAUGCUUCCUUGUGCACUCCAACACCUUUCGCAGAUCGGCAAGAUGCUUUGCGAAGUCCCCAGACUUGACUACCACAUCAUCAAUAUAAAUUUCCACUAUCUUGCCGAUAAACUCGUGAAAUAUAAAAUUCAUGGCCCUUUGAUAAGUAGCACCAGCAUUCUUUAAGCCAAAGGUCAUGACUAUCCAUUCAAACAAUCCAACAUGCCCAGGGCACCUGAACGCAGUCUUUGGAAUAUCUUCCUCAGCCAUGAAUAUUUGGUUAUACCCUGCAUUGCCAUCCAUAAAGCUGAUUAUCCGAUGUCCUGCCGCAGCAUCAACCAACAGAUCAGCAACUGGCAUCGGAUAUCCAUCCAUCGGCGUGGCCUUGUUGAGAUUCCUGAAAUCAAUGCAGACCCGAAGCUUCCCAUUCUUCUUGUAGACCGGAACGACAUUGGAAAUCCAUUCGGCAUAUCGACACUGCCGAAUAAACUUAGCUUCAAUAAGUUUGGUGAUUUCGGCCUUAAUAUCAGGGAGAAUAUUAGGAUUACAUCGGCGAGUUGGCUGCUGAUGUGGCCGAAAUCCAGACUUGAUAGGCAACCGAUGUUCAACAAUUGAUCGGUCCAAACCAGGCAUCUCAGUAUAGUCCCAAGCAAAGCAAUCUUUAUAUCCCUUUAACAAAUCAGUUAACUGUUGCUUACACUCAGAAUCUAACUUAGCACUAAUAAAAGUGGGUCUAGGUUUAUCACCACUACCUAUGUCUACCUCUACUAGAUCAUCGUCGAUGUGAAUCCCUGGCCUAAUUUUCCAUCAUCGGCGAACCUAUCCAUUAAAAACCUUCGUCAGAACCGACUGCUUGGAUCGGUGGAAUCUCGUAAUCGGCAACCUUGAGAAAAUCCUUCUCCCAAACUUCUCCUGAAAUACACCUAGUCCUUUCAUAGGUGUCCGCCUCUGCCGACGCAAUAACAUAAGAAGAAUCUCCCAGGACAAUCUCAAUUUUAUCUCCUACCCACUGAACCAAGCACUGGUGCAUUGUAGAUGGGAUGCAACAAUUAGCGUGAAUCCAAUCUCUUCCCAAUAGCAAGUUGUAAGCACCCUUUCCACUGAUCACAAAGAAGGUUGUCGGCAAGGUUUUGCUGCCGAUGGUCAACUCUACACAUAUUGCCCCCUUGACUGGAGACACAUUCCCUUCAAAGUCUUUAAGCAUCAUAUCGGUCUUGGUGAAAUCAUGAUCCCCUUUCCCAAGCUUCCGAUACACUGCAUAUGGCAUGAUAUUAAUAGCAGCUCCACCAUCAACCAGAAUCUUGGUCAUCGGCUGACCAUCUACUUUUCCUUUAACAAACAGGGCCUUGAGAUGCUGCCUUUCAUCAUCGGCAGGCUUCUCGAAGAUAGCCGUCAUCGGAUCCAGAGCCAACUGAGCUAUUUGGUCGGAAAACUCCCCCUCAUCAUCGCUAGACGGCGCAAGGAACUCCAUCGGCAACAUAAAUACCAUGUUGACAUCUGCCGAUGGACCUUCCCCCUUAGGACCUGAUUGUUGUUGAUCCCCAGACUGUCCGGAGUUCUCCCCUUUGCUCAACCCUUCUCGCCUUUCACGCUGCAAUCUUCUCUUCUGAGUCCUGGUCAAACCCUCUAGACACCAUGGAGGAAGUUGCUGCUGUCUUGCUGCUGGGCGACGAUACUCCCUUGACUCCACCCGAUGCGUAUUGGCAUCCCUGCAAAAUAUGAAUUCGUUGGGAACUCGUGCAUUAGCCAUCUCCUCAAGUUCUUCCUGGUUCAUGGGAAAAUAUUGGACACGAUCACCAAGCCUGUCGUGCACACUGAGUCUGCCCCCCAGCCGAUCAUGGACGGAUGCUCUCCCUCUAAUCGGCCCAUCGAAGCGUCGAUCAUUAUCACGAUAGCUCCGAUCGGAUCUGUCGUACCGAUCAUAACCGUUGCACUCAGGGCAAUCUCUGACAGUAGGAAGCUUGAUAUUCUCCUCCCAGCAAUGGAUGAAGAACGGACAAUUCCAGUGAUCCUUAUGCCGAUUCCACUCCUGUCGCCGUCUUUCUUCUUCCCGACGAUAAUCUUCUUGCUGGCGCUGGUACCGAUCUUCUCAUUGCUGCCAAGUUUCCUGAGGCCUUCUGUGAGUUAUUACAAUCCCAGAUCGAGGAGGCCUUUCUGAGCUGGUUCCUUCCUGGACCAAGCCCCUUCCUCUCGCAUCGGCAGUAGUGACUUGAUGCUGAGGAUCCACCGAUGCACUUCUUUCGGCUGCUUCUGAUGUUAAGACCUUGGCCUUUCCCUUAGCAUCCACCAUGUUUGUUGGGAAAUGAUGUUGGUCAAUCUUCAUCGGCUUCUGGGUCUUGGAACUAUCAAAUUUGAUCCUCCCAGAUUCUAUAGCCGAUUGCAGCUGCUGUCUGAACACCUUGCACUCGUUAGUGUCAUGAAAAGUUGCAUUGUGCCACUUGCAAUAUUUCAUCCUUUUCAAUUCUUCAACCGAUGGGAUCACGUGAUUAGGUGACAGUUUGAUCUGGCCUUCCUGGAGCAGAAAGUCAAAUAUCCUAUCGGCUUUAGCAGUGUCAAACGCAAAUUUCUCUGGUUCUUUAUGUCCAAAAGGACAAGACAUCGGCUUCUUGUUUUUCACCCACUCUGCCAAGCCGAUGACUGGUUCCUCGUCAGAAUCCGAGCUUGCUGCUUCAUCAACGAACGACACCUUUUUGUUCCAUGCUCUCUUAGGUUCAAAAGGCUUGAUAUCUUGAUCACAAAUUCUCUGCACCAAAUGACUUAAGCUUUCAAACUCCUGAGAAGCAUACUUAUCUUUGAUGUGUGGCAACAAACCCUGGAAAGCCAAAUCAGCUAGCUGCCGAUCGUCCAGAACCAGACUAUAGCACUUGUUCUUGACCUCUCGUAUCCUCUGCACAAAACUUUCAACCGAUUCAUCAUUGCGCUGCCUCAAUUUGACCAAAUCGGUGAUCUUCUUCUCAUGGACCCUAGAAAAGAAGUACUUGUGGAAUUGCUUCUCCAGAUCGGCCCAAGUAAUCACCGAGUUGGGAGGCAGUGAUAUAAACCAGGUAAAAGCCGAUCCAGACAAUGAUGACGAGAAUAGGCGAACCCUUAACUCGUCCCUGUUACCAGCUUCCCCGUAUUGGAUGAUGUACCUGUUGACGUGCUCCAUGGUCGACGUGUCAUCCUGCCCAGAAAACUUAGUAAAAUCCGGUACCUUGUACCGAUGCGGAAGCGGAAUCAAAUCAUAUGUGGGAGGAUACGGUGUCCGAUAAGAAUAAGUAUUGACUUUGGGCUUUAUCCCGAAUUGGUCUCUCAUUACUUCAGCAAUCUUAUCGGCCCAAUAAGCAUCGGCAUCUUGCCGAUGGGGUUGUUGCGGAUCAGGCACCUGCUGAUAAGCUUCCACGUGUCGGUGUGGCGCACGAUCUGCAUGAAACAUUGGGUUAAUCAUCUAGCCUCCAAUCUGUGGACCGCCAAGCUGCUGCCCACCAAUCUGCUGUCUGCCGACCUGUUGCCCAAGGUUCAUUGGGUGGUUAGGCAUCCCCUGAUUGUGGAACCCCGGAUAGAUCUGUCCUUGGUGGAACCCUGUAGCCUGAUGAUUCGGUUAGGGCGUUUGCGGAAAGACUUGCUGCCCAAGCCAUCCACUAUUAGCGUUCAUCGGCAUAGGCCCUGCCGAUGACUGGUAAUUGGGCAUUAUCAUUGAACUGACAUACCCUGGCUGGAUCAUAGACCUCUGUUGCAUCAGCAUUGAGUCUGCCGAUGCGUUAGGCAUCUGGAACGUUGGAGCUUGAGAAUUCCCAGUAUGCGGUCUUGCAGUAGUAGUUGUGGUAUACUGGGGACUCUGAUUCAUCGGCAUACUUGGAGGUGCCGAUGUCAUAGGAGUCUUGCCUCUCAUGUCAGUUGUCUGUGACGUACCCGGCGUUAACUCCGGAGGCAUACCAUAACCCCACCAGUUAGGAGGAAGAGUCAAUCCUGACACUGCCGAUGCCAACAUAUCUGUAGCGAGUUUGAUCUGCCCAUCUGAAGUCUGUGGAUUGGUUGUCAUCGGCGUAGAUUGUGCAUUAGUGACUCCCAACGUGCUUGGCGGAACAGGGAUCUCCAUGCCCGCAGCGGCCGUAGCGGCCAAUGGAGCUGUGACCACUGGUGACUUCGGUUGGUGAUAAGUGGGACCCACAUAAUCUGGUGGCAGCUGUCCUUCCUUGAAAGUUCUUGCCACGGCAUUGAAGACCGUAUUGGACAGUACACCAGCUUGGUUGAUCAAAGCACGGUUUAUAGCGUUGUCAACCAUCUCUUGAAGCUUGCCAGGAUUGGCUUCAAAAGUAACCUGCCGCGGAGCCGGCAGUGCAUCCUUCUGGAUCACCUCGCCACUCCUGUUCAUGCUGAAGGACCUCAGGCAUUGCUGCUUGUAAUCCUCCAUGGCUUUAGCAAUAGCUUGCUUCUGCUCAUCCUUGAGAUUGGCUUCCGUCACGGGGAUGACGUUCUCUUAAUCAAACUCAGAAGUCAACAUGUUGAUCUUGAUCUUGAAUCUGUCCCACCAGGCGUGCCAAAAGAUGUGUUGGUGCAAAAGAUGGUCUGCAAACACAAAGGGCUAAUACCCGAUUCAAACGUUAAGGCGUGCCAGCCGAUUUGACCUUACUAUCGGCAAAGGUGGUAACUCGAAUACUUUAGUCCUGACAACAGCGAUGCACCUGGAUGUCACGGCUAAGAGGUACUCACGCGGAACUUGAGAACGCACCGAGCUUAAGUCGACGAAUUCCUAAGAACUCGUAAUGAAAAAGAAAAAUGUAUGACGAAGUCGUCGAAAAAGUAGAUGCUGGAAUAUGAGUAAAAACGUGUGUUUGAUUGAUUGAUUGAUUGAUUCUAUUAUUACAAGGCCCUAGGGUCUAUAUUUAUACCCUGCUCAAAGAGCUACAAUCAGACACGACUAAAACUCGAGUUCCAAAUUACACAGAAUCCGUAUACAAAAUGACUCAAACAACUAUGGAAAACAUAAAAUUAUCCUUCCGUGACGAACUCGAACAAUUCCACAAACCGUUCGGCGGCCUCCAGGCUCUCCCUCCAUAUCAUCGGUAUACUCCCUUGUCAUCGGCAGACUUCCUUGUCACAGCUAUCGGCACAGACAUGUCACCACUUAUGGACUUAAUCACGUUCAUUCACCCUUCCAUCGGCAACCAUCUCCAUCGGCAACUCUUCCUGCAGACCAAACACCACCGCCUUAUUCUGCCGAUCUAUACUUUUACCGAUUAUGGACAUGUGCCCAAAAAUGGUGUCAACAAAAUGUGAAUCCACUUAUGUCAUAGGUUUUCCAUGUUAUGACUUGGCGUGAUGGUCCAGAUGCCAAAGCCUUGAUGGUUUGUUUCUCAAUUGUUUCCCCAUAUGGAAUGUCCUGCUCCCUUAGCCAUGUGUACAACUGUUUCUUGUGUUCCUUCAUUACCCAAUCCUCUAUUUGCCUAGGAUUAUGUUCUUGAAGCUCAUUCAUGUGUUGUUCAAUCAAAUGCUCCAUUAUCGAGAGCUGAUGUAAGAUGCUGUGAUGUGCCUUAAGUACUGUAUUGUAAUCUGGUGGGAUGAAUAAUUUCCGUCCAAUCCUCCCACAUCCAUGUAGCCUAGCCUCAUGUCUUGACGGAGGCAAACCUAUUGCAACCUGGUCUUUUAGGACAUUAUUGCAGAAUGGUCCUCCGGACUCAAUCGCCUCUUCGGUACAAUACCCCUCUAUCAUGGACGCCUCGGGACAAGCACGAGUUGAUACAUAGCCAUUUAGUAUUGACAUAAAACACUCGUACGUCCACAUUUCAUGCAGGUAUAUGGGACCCAGUGCCUGUAUUUGUGGAACCAAGUGCACCACAAGGUGCACCAUGAUAUCAAAGAAUGAUGGGGGGAAACACAUCUCAAACUGUGACACUGUUUCCACUGUGAAUUCCUGAAGGGAUUCUAACUCAUCACGGUCAAUUACCUUUUGUGUGAUCUUGUUGAAAAAGUAGCACAAUCUUGUGACGGCCAUCUUUAAGAAUACUAGAUUUAUAGCCCUUAUUGCAAUAGGGAGGAAAGUAGUCAGCAUGACAUGACAAUCAUGUGAGUUGUAGUUGGUGAGUGCUAGGUCUUUCAUUGACACAAAACUCCAUAUGCUAGAGCAGAAUCCAGAUGGGACUUUCAAUUUCUUCAACCACUCACACAGCACAUGUUUCUCAUCUAUGUUGAGGUUGUAGCUUGCUGUUGGGAGAUGGUACUUCCCAUUUUCUUGAAGAACAGGAUGAAGCUCUUUUUUUAUGCCUAACUGCACCAUGUCAAAGCAUGAAUUGAGUCCUUCCUUUGUCUUGGUCUUGAUGUCUAGCAAUGUGCCAAUUAGACUUUCAAACACAUUCUUCUGGAUGUGCAUACCAUCGAUCACGUGUUGUACAUCCAAGUCUUUCCAGUAUGGCAAAUACUCGAAGAAAAUGGACUUCUUCUUGAAUGUUGCCCCUGGAGUUGAUUUGACAUCCUUUCUUAAUUUUCAAUCCUUUGUCUUCUUUCCAAACACAAAUUCAAUGUUGCUCACUAUUUUGAAAACACUAUGGCCUUUGCUAUUACCUAAUGGUGCAUCUGAGUUCCUUUCAUCAUUAUAGUCAAAGUACAUAUCCAUCUUUUUCAGGCGGUACUUGUGUCCUUUCGAUAAGAAGCGUUUGUGCCUCAUGUACACUAUCUUCUUAGAUGCAUUAAGGGACACGUAAUGGGUUCCAUCUAUGCACACCAUGCAACCAACCUUUCCCUUGAAUUGCCCUGAUAAAAUAAAGAGAGCAGGGUAAUCGUUGAUAGUAACAAAAAUAAUGCUCUUAGCGUGAAUGAAUCUUUGUGAUACUCAUCCAACAUUUGAACACCUUUUUCCAAUAACAUUUUCAUCUCCUCCAUCAAUGGCUCCAAGAAAACAUCCAUGUCAACUCCAGGUUGGACUGGUCUAGAGAUAAGUAAGGUUAGUAAAAGGUAUUUUCGCUUCUGCAUCAACCAUGGAGGGAGGUUGUAGAUGGUGAGAAUCACCGGCCAUGUGCUAUGCUUGCUGCUCCUCUCAGCAAAAGGAUUCAUUCCAUCUGUACACAGUGCGAACCUAACAUUCCUUGGUUCGCUGGCAAAGUCUCGGUGGUUGUCGUUGAAAUCUUGCCACUGCUUUCCAUCGGCUGGAUGGCGAAGCUUGCCAUCAUUUUUGUGCUCAUCAGAAGCAUGCCAACUCAUAAAUUUUGCAUCCUCAGGGUUAGCAAACAAACUCCUCAGUCGAUCUACCACUAGAAGGUACCAUAUCACUAAAGCAGGAAUCUUUUUCUGCGCAUAAUAGUCAACCUCUUCUUUAUCUUUGCUCAUGGGUUUUGAACUCUGUUGGGUGUUCUUUUAGGACUUCUUUCGCUUCUUCCCUGCUUUACACAUGGAGGCAGCACAAUCCUCUCGAUAGUCUUUGUUUGUCUUGUACCGACUUGCACCACACUUUGGACAACUAUCCAAGUCCUUGUAAUCAUCACCUCGGUACAUGAUACAAUGAUUUCUACACGCAUGGAUCUUCUUGACACCUAUAGUCAGCGGACUGAUCAGCUUCUUUGCAUAGUACGUGUUAGCAGGCACUUUGUUCUCCUUUGGAAGCAUAUUGCCGAUAAUACUUAAGAACGUAUCGAAUCCAGCAUCAGACAAACCAUACCUGGCUUUUGUCAUUAACAGUUUUAGCACAGCUCGCAACGUUGUGUACUCUUUGCUACAACCUUUAGACUCAUCAUACAAAGGCUCUUCUGCUGCCUUCGUCAAGGCCUUCAUCCCUUUCAUUAAUAACAUUGAUGGUUCAGUAUGACGACGCAACAUUGCCUCCAAGAAUUCAGCAUUUUCCGCAGCCGUAUCAUUUGGUAAGACAUGAGUUCUUGCACCAUUAUUUCCCCCAGCAAAUCCACCAGCGGUAACAUUUGGCCCAACAUGUUCACUAUGGGGUGUCUCGUGAAAAAACUGAUCAGCAGGCAUGCCUAGACCAACGGUGUCGAUGUGUGCUGGGUCCCCAACAUGUGUAAGGCGCUGAGCUACCCUCUCCAUGCUUUGUCCAAAUCAAGUAAUCCUUCAUAAAUCCUCGGCAGACUAGAUGAGAAAUGAUUACUUCAGUAUCUUCAAAUAGAAGAAUAUUUCUGCAGUCGUAGCAUGGACAAUAUAUAUACUUCGUCUUUGUUCUCAAAGCAUGGUUCUUAGCAGCAUCAACAAACCUAUGCACCUCAGGUAUAUAUGAUGGAUCUAGUCUUGAUAAGUUAUACAUCCAUAAGGACCUCUCCAUCAUGACCUGUUGAAAAGUUAGUAAAUUAAUUGAAAUAUUGUCUAGGAAUAUUUGUUAUUAAAAAUAAAAGAACACCUAACAAUUAAAUCAAAUUGAAAAAGGAAACAUGGAAAUGGUGAGAGGAGAGGCAACAUCUUAACCAACCUCAUACAUGAAAAAUGCUUAUCGCGUAAUUAAAUCAAAUUUACAUAAAAAAUAACAUCCUAAACAAUAUAAUUUAAAAAACUAAAAAGAAAACUUAUCUUUCUCUCUCUUCCCAAGCAUGGAAACACCAUUCACGGAAACUACUACAUAUAUAUUUCUUGGAUUCACUAAUUAGAGAAGGAAACAUAAAAAAGAAGAGAGGAGAGACAUCAUCUAACCAUCUUAAGCAACCCCAUUUGAGCAAAUAUAGACCAUACCUAGCUAUUCUACUCUCUCCCUCUCAUGGUGAAACCCUAGAUCUAAAAAGUAGCUUAAAUUGAGCAAGAGGGCACAAAAAGAGGCAUUAGAGGCAUCAACUAACCUUUCUUAGCCACCUCCUUCCAAGAAAUGAAGAUCAAAACCUCUCCCUUGUAUUUUGAAAAAUCUGGACCUCCAAGAUGGGCUGCAAUGGAAGGUGGCUGCGAGCUACGGUUCUGCUUGAGGAGGAAGAAGGGGCUGGGGGUAUUUAUAGGAAGAUAAAUCACAGGCGGUUUGCUAUGUGAACCGCCUGUGAAAAUCUAUUAACACAGGCAGUUCAGUUAACAAACCGUCUGUGAUUUAUCUUCAUAUAAAUAUCCCCAGCCUACACAGGCGGUUCAGUUAUGUGAACCGCCUGUGUUAAUAGAUUUUCACUGUAAAUGGUUCAUUUACACAGGCGGUUUUCUUACAAUAACCGCCUCUACUGAGCCUUUUAUACAUGCGGUUUUCAAUUCUAGCCGUAGAAAUUUACAACACAGGCGCAUUAUAAUUAAAACCGCCUGUGCAAAUGUUUUACCCCCGCCGACUUAGAACCUCUGUGUACUAGUGGAGGGAGGUGGUAAAGAACAGGGAGAAGCACAAGGGAAGCUUUGAGACCAUUCAUGUGGAGGAUGCCUUGGGGCUUGGGCCAUGCCUUUGCCACCCGUAUGGGCAAUGUGUUCACAAUUGGCAAGGGCAACAAACCAUGGGUGAGUCUCCCCAAGGGCAAGGGUAUCAAGCUCAGCAUCAUUGAGGAGCAGAGAAAGCGGGAUGCUGCUGCUCAGACUGCUGCGAAUGCUUAAGUAGUUUGCAUAAAGUUUGCUGAAACAUUCAAUGAAAAUAUGCCUUGCAUCCGAGUUUGGGACUGAAAUGUAACCCUUUUAGGCUAGUAGUUAUUAGUAUUUUGAAAUACUGUAGACAUCUAUCUAUCAGGUUAACAUUAUCUCAUGGCAAGUCAUUACAGAAUGUUUUAUUUGGUUCCAUUCUAGAUUUUGUUGUGCUAUCUUAAUUGCGCUGUUC
rnacentral:lncRNA from 1 species